GUUACUCGAGCGUUCAAGCAUGUACUUAAAGGAGUCAUCGCAUCUGUUGACUAUUUAUCAGACCUAUCUGCAGCUAUAGCUUCUUCCCUAAAUUUCUUAUUUGGCUGUUGUGAGAUGGAAGAUGACCAAAGCUUGAAUGAAGAUCAUAUCCUUAGAUUGCAGUGGCUACGAACAUUUCUUGGCAGAAGAUUUGGUUGGUCCCUGAAAGACGAGUUUCAGCAUUUGAGAAAGAUUUCAAUUCUACGUGGGCUUUGCCAUAAGGUAAGGUACUGUCUUUCGGUUCCUUUGGCAGCGGAUUAUUUUCAAAACUUGAAUUUUGCUUGUAAACUUUACCCAGGUUGGGUUGGAGUUGGUUCCAAGAGAUUAUGAUAUGGAAUGCCCAAACCCAUUCAUGAGAGAUGAUAUUGUCAGCAUGGUUCCUGUGUGCAAGGUGAGACUAUUUUCUCUCUUAAUUGUGUUUUGAUUUAGUUUUUACAUUCUCAAUGAGUCACUCAUUUGUAAAUUGAAUGUAAUUGUGCUAUUUUUAUGGCAUUCUACAGCAUGUAGGUUGCACUUCAGCUGAUGGACGGACUUUAUUAGAGUCAUCCAAAAUUGCCCUUGAUAAAGGAAAACUAGAAGAUGCUGUAAAUUAUGGGACAAAGGUAAUAACCCACUCGAUCUAUACGUAAGAAUUACAUUAUUCUUUUCAUAAUAAGGCAUCUCUUGAUCUCAUAUGAUGUAUUACUUGCAUUGUAAGGCACUGGCAAGGAUGAUAGCUGUUUGUGGUCCCUACCAUCGGACUACUGCAAGUGCUUACAGUCUUCUAGCUGUAGUUCUCUACCAUACUGGAGACUUUAAUCAGGUACGACAAUCUUCAGUUGUAUUUCAGUGUUAACUUGGUGAUUCUAAGUCGAGUAUAAUUAUAAUGUCCUUCUGUACGGAGGUUCUCAUUCAGUGGGACAUUUGAUUUGAAACUGUGUUAUGGCUAGUUUUUAUGGUCUUGUAUAAAGAUAUGCAUUAGGAAUUAUAAUUUUCUGGACUUAGGAAUUACAUGAACAGGCAUUAGCAUAAUUUUGAUAUCAGAUUAUAUAUUUUAACUAAAUCAAACACGUUCAUGGUUCUUAUGUUCUGGCAUUUGGUCUAAUGGCAUCUGCGUCUGAGUGUUAGCGUUCGUAUGUACUCAAGAUAUCUUCUUCUUCAUUUUAGGCAACUAUAUAUCAGCAGAAGGCAUUGGAUAUUAAUGAGAGGGAACUUGGUCUUGACCAUCCAGAUACAAUGAAAAGCUAUGGGGAUCUUUCAGUUUUCUAUUAUCGCCUUCAACACAUUGAAUUGGCUCUUAAGUAAGUAGCACUGCUUGAUUUACCGGAGCAACUUUGUGAUUUUCAUUCUUUAACUGAUUAAGGUUUAUUUAUUCAUAAAUUAAAUUGGAAGUUUCGAAAAAUGUGACCUUUGUAUUGAAUCUGCUUCGAACGAAUGCAGUUUUUAUGUACCUACUUUAGCUUUUAUUUGUCUUUUAUUGGCUAUAGCUCCUGAUCAUACCGUACCAUUGGCAGAUAUGUAAAUCGUGCCUUAUUCCGUUUGCAUUUUACUUGUGGACUUUCACAUCCAAACACGGCUGCAACAUACAUAAAUGUGGCUAUGAUGGAAGAGGGCAUGGGAAAUGUUCAUCUUUCUCUUAGAUAUUUGCUUGAAGCCCUUAAAUGCAACCAAAGACUAUUAGGAGGUGACCAUAUACAGGUUUUUCUCUCUCUAUUUACGCAUGUAUACACAUUCUUUAGAAUUAUAAAUCUUUCUGUAAACUCAGAAUUUUGUUUGAUUUCUUCACGUGACAGACAGCUGCAAGUUAUCAUGCCAUAGCCAUAGCUCUUUCUUUGAUGGAGGCAUAUUCACUAAGUGUGCAACAUGAGCAAACUACACUUCAGAUUCUCCAAGCAAAGCUUGGACUAGAAGAUCUGCGUACUCAGGUGACUACAUGUAGUCAUAUUUUAAUUGGUUCUGUUGUGCAAUUUGGCUAGUUGGCUUCUCUCUUGUCAAUCUUUUACAGGUGAUAUUAUGAUAUAAAACAAAUUGUAUUGGAGGCAUAUUUUUGGUGUCAAAUAUGGAUAUGACUUAUUCAUUAAUCGUAUCCAAAUAUCAAAAUACGGAUAUGACCCGUUUAUUAAUCGUGUUGACUUGUUUAAUAUUAAAUACAAACAAAUUAAAAAUUAAUUUUAAAAUAACAAAUGUGUCAAAAAAAUGAGUUAUAAAUAAGUUAAAAUGACAUAAGUAUGACAUGAAUAAGUUUAUAACAUAAUGUGAGUAUGACAUGAGUCAUUAAUUUAGUGUUUAGUAUAUAUUUUAGUUUUUUUUUCCAAUAAUAUUAACACAUAAUAAUUGAUAUUUGUGUUAUAAACGUAUAAUCAUAUUGAGAUGGUCCAAAACAGAUACGACAUGGUUAUUUAUCGUGUUGUGUCAACUCAUUUAUUAAUCGUGUCAAUAUUUGUCAACACGAAUAUGGGUCAUAUGUCAUAUUAUGUUGUGUAAUCGUGUCGUAAUCCAUUUUCCCACCUCUAAUCUUAACUGUCAUAAGAGAAUUUCUCAAGUUCCAUAUUAUUGAUGGGAAGAGAAUUUUGUUAUUUUGUUGUAUUUUUUUUCGUUUUACAGGAUGCUGCUGCAUGGCUGGAGUAUUUUGAAUCAAAAGCUCUAGAGCAGCAAGAAGCGGCACGGAAUGGAACUCCAAAGCCAGAUGCGUCCAUUGCGAGUAAAGGUCACCUUAGGUAUUAACAGGGUAUUCCCACAUUACUUGUUUCUAAAUUGUUGAUUAUUUCUUGUGGCACCAAGACCUAUAAUGAUUGCUUUUUGCAGUGUAUCAGAUCUCCUGGAUUACAUUAGUCCUGGUCAAGAUUCUAAAAGAAGCGAAGCACAUAGGAAACAACGACGUGCAAAGGUAGUAUAUACUUAGUACCUGUUUAGUAUGAUUUAUCUAAUAGUCAUAAAUUUUUAUUUAAUCCCAUAAGCUGUUAUCAAUUUUUUUUUUGUUGUUUAAUUGUUUUUUUCGUAGAGCUCUUGAAAAUUAAAUAAGUUAUUUUACCUCUACUACCAAAAGCUCAAAUUUUGUGCUUUUGAGAGUAGAGGUUAAAAAGUUUUUUUUAAAUGUUAAAAUAUCUAAAAUAUUUUCUACUUAUUUGACAAUCUUAUUUUAUUCUUUUCAAAACAUAACUUUAAAAAAUUUGCUUAUUAAAGUAAUUUUAUAAUUUUUAAUAAAAGCUUUUAUUGACAACCAAACAACACAAAUUUUUUGGGUAAAAACUUUACUUAUAAAAUCUUUACUAACAAAAGCUCUACUCAGAUAAGAUUUAUUUGAAAAGCUAUGUCAAAUGAAGCAUUAAGCCUGCUGCUGUUCUCUGUUCCUUUUUUCUUGUGAUGUCAUCUGAAUGGAUUCUUAAACUAAUUGUAGUUAGGAUUUGGUGUUUUAGAGUACACUCUGCUGGCUGCAUAUAGUUUUGGAUUUGCUGAUUACACGAGUAAACUUGUUGUCAAAUGCAACUAUAUAUCAGCAGGAUAAUAGUUCUACUUUUCUGAGUGAACUCUGAAGGCGCCAAUUAUAACAUCCAUUUCUAGUAUAGAAUCCCCCGCCCAACAAAAAGAAAUCUAACAUGCUUAUACAGAUCGCAGACAUGAUUGAAACUUUAGAAGUUUCUGAUCUAUUGAUGGUCAUAGAUUGGGCCAGCUGAUAGUUAGUAGGCAAUGAUGGAGGGUUGCUUGGUCAAGCUGCUAGUACUUUGGAAAUUCAGAGAUGAUGUGCAGAACGAGUGAUAGUUUUUGUUUUCCUCCGUAAUCUUGAACAGAGUGGGAAGAAACCAUUAAUUUGAAGUGCAAUGGAUGGAUAUGACAGAUCUAUCAUUUUGGCUAGUAGAUGGAGUUCUUCCAUUCUACUGUUAUUUACUGGUUGUUUUUAUUGAUUCUAGAAAAACAUUUUUCGAUUUGGCAGUUGGAGUUUUUCCCUUUUUUUUUUCUCCCCAUUUUGUAGGCCUUAGAGAACCAAAUAAUACUACAUAUUAGAUAGACAGGAUUAUUAUGUGCUAAUUUGAAGUAUUACCUGGUUGACAAUUUAAGACACUAGUAAAGUAUUUCGCUAUGAUUAUUUUUUUUUGAGAAUUCCAUGAUUCAAAAGGCCGAAGAAUUUCAUUAGUUUAACAUAGUAUAUAUUAACAUAAUUUCUCACUGAGUGUUUUUUUCAACAUUUCAGGCAUGUACAUAUCAAAUUCCCAUUUAUGUUCCGCUGAAUUCUGCCUCAUGUUAUGUCCGGAUUUGUUGUAAUAAAUUUUGCUACUGUAAAAUUACAAGAUGAUUGUAACUUAAAAUGAACCAUUUCUAUUUGCUCAAUUUUUUUUUUUUUUUUUUUAUUUUUUCAGGUAAUGCAGAUUAGGGAAAAGAUUCAUGGAGCACAUCAUGAUAUGAUGGUGGAAGAUGCACUGCCCCAUGAUGGAUUGAAAAAGAGUAUGACUAUAGUGGAAAGCAAGACCGAGGAAGUAAUAGAAGACAGUGUUCAACCUGAAGAGCCAGAAGAGAAUGAUGAUAUUACUAGAUAUGGACCGGCAAUUUCAGGUGAGUUUGUGGAAGAAACAAAUUCAGAUGAGGGGUGGCAAGAAGCCAAUCCAAAAGGUAGGUCAGGAAAUGCUGCUGUUCGGAAGCUCAGCCGGAGGCGACCUGUUCUUACAAAGCUAAAUGUCAAUGGUUGUGAACAUUCAAAUCUUAGAGAAAAAGGCAAUAGACGGGAAAUUGUAUCUCCAGCACGGGAAAAAGCUUCAAGGACCACCACCACUGAGUUAACAGGCACGAAGGAUUCAAUUAAAUUGCAGGCAAAAGCUUCUGUCUCCAAAGUUUAUGCAAGUCCACCAAACCUUACUGCCAUGGCUUCCAAGUCGCUGUCUUACAAAGAAGUAGCUGUGGCACCACCAGGUACGGUUCUAAAGCCAUUACCAGAGAAACCUGAUGAAGAAAUUGAAGAAAAAACUGAAACACAGAUGUGCAGUAAUGCUCCUGAGACAUCAAAGGCGGAGUUGAAUAACCAUUUCUCUCCCGUUGAAGAUGCGCCAGUUGAUGGUCAGUCUCAAGAAACUCAUGGAAGUGUAACUCAAUCUGAAACUACGGCUGCAGAUACCGAGGAAGUUCCUUCUUCUUCUAAUGAGGAAAAGCCCAUGGAAACAAAUGGGAGUAAGCUUUCUGCCACAGCUGAACCAUUCAACCCAGGAGCUUUCUCCAUGACUCAUCUGCUAAACUCUGUAGCAGCCACGAGUAUUUAUGAUUCGAGAACUAGUCAAGGUAUGCUUGCAGAACCUGCUGUACCUUCGGCUGCUGCUAGAGUUCCUUGUGGGCCAAGGUCGCCUCUCUAUUAUAGAAAUAAUUAUUCUUGCAUGAUGAAACAUGGAUUUCCAAAAUACCACUCUUCCAUUAUAGAAAGAAACCUGUUGGGGCCUUCAAGAAUCAUGAACCCACAUGCACCUGAGUUUGUGAAUAAAUCCUGGAUAUGCAGAUUCAAAUGUUUCAAAUGAGUCGAACUCUUCAAAUGACACAAGUGAGGCAGACGAUGAGAAACUUGACAAAAUGUCCAGUAUUCAAGGCGAGGAUAAUACCUCAAGAAAGAGCAGUACAGAGGCGGAGAAAUCAGAGCUGGGAAGACAGAUACUACUUAUCUUCAUUGUAAAGUCAGUCCAGCAUAAUAUGGAUGCUCCAAGUCAAUCUUCAGGCUACGAAAAGAAGAGUGGGUAUUCAGAAAAUUCUUCAGAUGCAAUUGCAAAUGAUAGUGCUAUCAUAAAGAUCCUUUAUGGAAAUGAAAAGGGCAAAACAAACUUGGCAUCUCAGUCCAAUGAUCAAGAACAGCAAAAACCCAAAGAUAAUAACCAAAAAAGUGGGGAUGGUGAAGGAUUUAUAGUUGUCAGAAAACGGAGAAGAAACCGACAGCAGAUCACAAAUGGGGUAACUGAGAUGUACAAUCAUCAAUCCAUCUGUGCUUCUGUUCGUUAAAAGAGAGAGCAAAGCAAUAAAAUGCAAAGGUGCCGUCCUGUUUCUCCCAAUUUUAUUCGAAAAAUUUGUUAGUGAAUGUUACCGUUGUAGAAAUGGUUAAAGUUUGGAGCAAGUUUUAAUCAAUACUUGAUUGUAUCAUUUUAGAUAUCCUCUCUGGAUGUUCUAAUAUAAUAUUUGUACAAAUCGGUUUCUUGUUUUGUUAAGAGAUUUUGUUUUGAUCAAUAAAUGAUGAUAAAUUAAUUGGGCGAUUUUCCUUCUCAAGAGAUCUGUGAUGUUGUUCUAUAAUGGAUUUUAAUGUUUUAGACUGAGAUUUGUAGUUAAUUAUGCCUCAAAUUAUUUGGUAUUUGGUUGGUGCGUGUGAACAAUACGUUCGGAAUGGAGUUGAAUUGACCCACUGAUAGAUAGCUUACAUUUGCAGCUGAAGUUGCUGCACUGAUGAUAUUACAACUAACAUAGUAGUUGGCAAAAUUCCUUAUUCAAUUUAAAUUUGCAAUCAACAGAAAUUGAAGAAGAAGCCGUAAGUCUAAUCCUAAUGGAUGCAUAGCUGUUUGGAGAAAAGCCAACGGAGACAUAACACAGCACGAUAAGUUAUACACGGCAGAACCGUAUGUGCUAGUAAGCACAGUCACCGAUGGAAAACAUAUUUGAAAAGCCAAUAGUAGCAUGUGUCAAUACAUCUAUCAAUGAAAUAGAACCACAGUCUGCACCAGUACGAGUUUAUCCAAAGUGCUGCAAAUAAACCCAAAGUUACUGACACAUAGGAUGCUCCAAAACUCCAUCUUAAUGCCACCAUAUCAAUCACAGAAUCGCCUUCAUCUCCUCCUCCUCCUCCUCCUGUAGGGGUCGCUGGUGGUGCCAACGCACUGCUGCAUUUCCUCUUUAUCAUUGAGCCACAAAGAGCCGAAUUACCUUUAUAACUGCUGUCAUCAAAGGUGGCAAACUGCUCUUUGUCUGGGAUUGGGCCGGACAAAUUGUUGUAUGACACGUUAAAAUUUGACAAAAAAUUGAGCUCAGUUAGUUGAGGAGGAAUUCGGCCACUUAAUUUGUUGCGGGAAAGGUCCAGGCUCUCUAUCAUUUUCAGAUUGGAGAAGGUCUCUGGUAUAGCACCUGAUAGUAAAUUAUUCGACAGAUUAAGUGCACGAAUAUGUUGAAGAUGCCCAAUUUCCCAUGGAAUUUCUCCACUGAAUUCAUUGCUCGACAAAUCCAGUCCAGCCAUGUCGACGAGAUUGCUACCGAUGAAAAAUUCAUAUCUAUACUUUGUCACAAAUUCUACACCUACUUGUUGAUCUUGUCCACCAUGUAGUUCAUCUGGCAACUGCAGAUCAAGAGUGGAAUUGUAGUAAGUAUAAGUGAAAUCACGAUUUGACCCAGCAAAUCCGUAUCCAUAUGGAUAAUCAUCAAUCGCUUCUCUCCAGAAUGACACGUUACCCAGGCAUGAAGGUAUCGGCCCAUUAAGUCUGUUAUGUGAAAGAUCCAUGAUACGUAAUUUUCUUGAUUGGCACAACUGAUUAGGAAUACGUCCUUGUAGAUAAUUCCCUCUCAAAAGAAGAACAUGCAAAUUCGAAAGCUCAUUGAUCUGAUGAGGAAUCCUACCACAAAAUUUAUUGUCCCUCAAAUCGAGAGUCAAUAAUGUAGAGCUUCUAAGCAAUGCAAUUGGAAUUAACCCAUUAAUUGCAUUGUUAUGCAGAAAAAUGUGCUGCACUGAUGAAAGAUUGGAGAGAGAUACCAUGGACCCAGACAAACUAUUUUCGGAUAUGUCUAUAAACUCAAGACUUUCAAGAUUGCCGAGCUGGACCGGAAUACUACCUUGAAAAUAAUUUUCUGACAUUAAAAGAAGCCAAAGGCUUGAGAAGUUGCCAAUCCAGUGGGGAAUAUCGCCGGAUAACUUGUUGUUGGAUACAUUUAAUACCUCUAGCCAAGUGGAGCUCAACAAACCAUCUGUCAUCUUCCCACUGAAAUGAUUGUUGUCCAAAAGUAAGGAACGCAAAUGAGUCAAGUUCAUAUAAUUGGGAAAAAGUUGGCCAUAGAAAUUGUUAUUUGAUAGGUCCAACAUUUCUAAGGAGAGGCAACUAGAGAAUAUAGAUCGAGGUAAUUCUCCUGAAAAAUUAUUUUCAGACAAAUCCAAAGUAAUUAGCUCUUUCAUCUCACUGAUUGAAUGCGGAAUAUUACCUUCAAAACUAUUUUUUGACAUAUCCAAAUAUAUCAAUUUCUGAAAGACAAUACCCAAAUUCUCUGGUAGCUUACCAGAGAAAUUGUUAGUGGAAAUAUCUAGAUGACGAAGCUUGUCGUAUUUGGCAUUGGGAAGUCGCGGAAGAAUUCCCGAGAAUGAGUUAUUCCACAAAAUCAAAAUUUCUAAUCCUGUGUUGUUUUGCAACAACCAAGUUGGGAAAUUGCCAACCAACUCAUUGUGAGAGAGAUCAAGGAAUUUUAAGUGGUGUUGGUGUAAAAGAAAACUACUAUUGACAUUUAAGUGGCAGUGAGAUAAUUGGAGAACCUUGAGAGGAUAUGUGGGGAGCCAAUUUUCGGUUUUCACUUGCAACAUAUCGUUUCCUGACGAGAGUCGCAAGACCUCAAGCUUUGAAUGAUUAGCCAAUGAAUUUAUUGAGAAUGUUCCUUGGAAAUCGAUGAAAGAGAGAUCCAAAUAUUCAAGUGAUGUGAGGUUGGUCAAGGCAGAAGGAAAGUUUCCACUUAACUGAUUGUAAGAAAUAUCAAGAACUUUGAGAUGGGUCAAGUUGUUGAGGCACUGAGGAAGGUGAACCACAAAAUUAUUUGACUUUAAAUCCAACUCAAGAAGAUUCUUCAAAUUACAUAUUCCUGAAAGUGAAAAUAAAAAGCUCAGAUUUCAUAAAACGAAAACUAAUUAUAGUGCAUUCAAUCAUAAACCCAAUAUAAGACUUAUAAAACGGACAUGAAAUCAAAUUGUCUAAGUAUUUUGGUCAACAUAAAUAAUAAUAGAAUGAUAUGAAUUUAUUUCUCAUAUAAUAUGAUGUUGAUUGCAAAAGCAUUUCAAUUAAUCUAACAAUAAAAUAAUAAUAAUAAUAAUAUAAAAGCAGUCAGCAAUUCUUGCUCAUCAUAAUCCAUUCAAAAAGUGUUUCAGCAAUUCUCGUUGUUUAAAAUAAUGAUUUUCUGUGGAAGAGUUUGUUGACUUCGUCUUUUUCGUUGGAUAUUGGUUUUCUAAUCUCUAAAUUUGUUGGAUAAUGUAAAGAGAAACUCAUAAUAUAUUAGUUGUUUUCAUAAACUUUAUUUAUUCUUCUCAUAGCAUUAAACAAAAGUAUUUGCCCAAGCGGGGAAAAAAAAAACUGGUCUUCAUAUUUAAUUUCGUCGAAGUACUUCGACCAACAAGUCACUGGGAAGUAGGAAUUGUGUAUCAGUAAUGCAAAUAUUGGGUACGUUGGCAUUGUUUUUAAAUGCUGUUUUUUAUUUUUUGAAUUUAGAAAAUAUUAGAUACCUGUUCGGUAGAUUGUUUCUGAAAUUUUAAAAAAAAUAUAAAAUUCAUUCUACACAUUUUAACAAAAGAAAUGAGAAACAACUUUUUCUUAUUUUCCUUAUUUCCUAAUACAAGAUUAAGUUCCAAAAUGAAGAAUUCUCUUUACCUCCUCUUGAAAUAAUAAUAAUAAUAUCAACAUUAUUAUUAUUAUUAUCAUUAGGUCUAAUUAUCCUUGGGUGACACAUGUUUUAAUAAAUUUCAAAAAGAUGACACAUGUUUUGAAAAUACUCGAGUGGGUGACAUUGCAUUAACUUUUACUGUUAAUUUUAACCAGUUGAGAGUAGAAUUGGAAAAAAUAGACUUUUUUUUUUUUCAUAAAGCCAAAGAGACGAAAAUUUUGAAUUUAUACAAUACUUUAUAAUUCAUAAGAUUUUUGCUUCUUUAUAUGCACAAAUCAGUUUGAUUCAACAAGAUUUUUUUUUUAAAAAAUUUGAUUUAACAAAAAAAACCUGUUAAUUAGACUUAGGUUUAAUUUUUCUAUUUAAAAAAUUAAAAAUGAGUGAGUAUGGGCAGAAACAUCAUUUUGUGGGGUAGAAAUGUCAUUUAAUUUAUUAUUCUCAUUAAAAUUAAUGGCAAAAGUUAAUAGAAUGUCACUCGCUCCAAUAUUUUUAAAAAAUGUGUCAUCUUCUUAAAAUUUGUUAAAACAUAUGUCACCUAGAGAUUAUCAUUGUUGUUGUUGUUGUUGUUGUUGUUGUUGUUGUUGUUGUACCCAAAGAAUCAUUUUCCUUCACAAAAAUCUUUUCUUUUUAUAUACAUUAUAAUAUUUAUGUUUUUAUAUAUUAACUAAAUCAAAUAUGUAGGGUUUAUCAUUUUUCUUUGAACAAAAAAAUAGAAAGAUCACCUAAUUUAUUCUUAAAAUUAAAAUAAUCAAUAUACAUUGCUUAAUCUUAAGUUUAUGGAAAUUAUUCCAAUAAUAAUUCUUUGAGAUAUUCUUACCAAACAUAUUUUUUUUUCUCAUUUUUUAGAUUAUUUUUUAAAAUGAUACUGAACACAUUUUUAAAUUUUAAAAAUAAAUUUAAAAAUAGCAUUUGCAUUUUUACUUUGUCAAAACAACAAUUAGAAAACAAUAUUGGGCUCUUAUUUAUCAUGUUUCAACAUAAAAACACAGUGUAAAAUGUUUAAUAUGGGUUUCUAGAGAAUUUUUUAUGUUACUAUUACACAAAUUCAAUGCUUCCAAGUUUUUGAAUUUAGCUAAUCUUGCAUCAAGAAUUAAUGGACAUAAGAAAAAAAAAAUUUCAUUCAGAACUAUAAAUAUUGAAAUAAAGAUAAAUAUCAUUGUUGAUUUUUUUAUAAAAAAGAUUUAGAAUUAAGAGAGAGUGAAAGAAAUGAGUGGUUUAUGUCGGAAAUUGGUGAUAGAGUAUGUCAAGUACUAAACUUUGUAUAGAAAACAGUGCUUCUAAUUUAAAUUUGAUCUAGUUUAAAGCAAUUAAAAAAUGCAAAUAUAUCAUCAUCUUGAUUAACAUCUAAAACAAUUUUUGUCAUCGGAGGAAGUGAAUUGUUAUAUACCUUGAAUUGUAGUUAUCCCACAAUAACCAAGAUCCAAUAUUUUCAAGUUUGGCAAAUCUGCAAAUCCUACAUGCGCAGAUAAAAAUGUAAACAUUACAUUUAAAGGAAUUGUAUGUGAUCCGUGCGUUUGAUGAACAUUAAUUCUACAUUUAAUUUGCUUCUUAUCUUAGAUUCAGUGGCCUACCUAGCGUUGUCAGAUUUUGAUUACCGCUUAAAUCCAACACUUGCAGGUUUGUCAAAUUUGCUAAUCCUGUUAAAAAAAAAACACAUAAAUUUUGUCAAUAACAGUUAUGUCACUCUCGUCUAAAUUGUUUAAUUAAAAUAAUAUGGUAAAUAUUGAAUGAAAAUUAAUUGUGCACAUAGUUUUUUUUUUGUUUCUAUUGAUAUUUUAAUAUAUACCGUCACUUUUAGCAUUACCAAGAUUAAGAGUGUUUGAAUCAUAAUUUGUAAAUUAGUUUGCACAUUGACUAAACUUGAAAAUGUGAAAAAAACAAUUAAAAAAAUGGAAAUAUAUUAUCAUCUUGAUUAACAUCUAAAACAAAUUUUGUCAUUGGAGGAAGUGAGUUGUUAUAUACCUUGAAUUGUAGUUAUCCCACAAGAAUGAAGAUCCAAUGUUUUCAAGUUUGGCAAAUCUGCGAAUCCUACAUGCGCCGAUAAAAAAUGAAAAUAUUACAUUUAAAGGAAUUGUAUGUGAUCCGUGCGUUUGAUGAACAUUAAUUCUACAUUUAAUUUGCUUCUUAUCUUAGAUUCAGUGGCCUACCUAGCGUUGUCAGAUUUUGAUUACCGCUUAAAUCCAACACUUGCAAGUUUGUCAAAUUUGAUAAUCCUGUUAAAAAAAACACAUAAAUUUUUUCAACAACAGUUAUGGCACUCUCGUCUAAAUUGUUUAAUUAAAAUAAUAUGGUAAAUAUGAAAAUUAACUGUGCACAUUGUUAUUUUUUUGUUUCUAUUGAUAUUUUAAUAUAUACCGUCACUUUUAGCAUUACCAAGAUUUGGAGUGUUUGAAUCAUAAUUUGUAAAUUAGUUUGCACUUUGAGUAAACUUGAAAAUGUGAAAAAAGCAAUUAAAAAAAUGGAAAUAUAUUAUCAUCUUGAUUAACAUCUAAAACAAAUUUUGUCAUUGGAGGAAGUGAGUUAUUAUAUACCUUGAAUUGUAGUUAUCCCACAAGAAUGAAGAUCCAAUGUUUUCAAGUUUGGCAAAUCUGCGAAUCCUACAUGUGCCGAUAAAAAAUGAAAAUAUUACAUUUAAAGGAAUUGUAUGUGAUCUGUGGGUUUGAUGACCAUUAAUUCUACAUUUAAUUUGCUUCUUAUCUCAGAUUCAGUGGCUUACCUAGCGUUGUCAAAUUUUGAUUAUAGCUUAAAUCCAACACUUGCAGGUUUGUCAAAUUUGCCAAUCCUGCUAAAAAAAAAACAUAAAUUUUGUCAAUAACAGUUAUGUCACUCUCGUCUAAAUUGUUUAAUAAAAAUAAUAUGGUAAAUAUUGAAUGAAAAUUAACUGUGCACAUUGUUUUUUUUUUUGUUUCUAUUGAUAUUUUAAUAUAUACCGUCACUUUUAGCAUUACCAAGAUUUGGAGUGUUUGAAUCAUAAUUUGUAAAUUAGUUUGCACUUUGAGUAAACUUGAAAAUGUGAAAAAAGCAAUUAAAAAAAUGGAAAUAUAUUAUCAUCUUGAUUAACAUCUAAAACAAAUUUUGUCAUUGGAGGAAGUGAGUUGUUAUAUACCUUGAAUUGUAGUUAUCCCACAAGAAUGAAGAUCCAAUGUUUUCAAGUUUGGCAAAUCUGCGAAUCCUACUUGCGCCGAUAAAAAAUGAAAAUAUUACAUUUAAAGGAAUUGUAUGUGAUCCGUGCGUUUGAUGAACAUUAAUUCUACAUUUAAUUUGCUUCUUAUCUUAGAUUCAGUGGCCUACCUAACGUUGUCAGAUUUUGAUUACCGCUUAAAUCCAACACUUGCAGGUUUGUCAAAUUUGCUAAUCCUGUUAAAAAAAAACACAUAAAUUUUGUCAAUAAUAGUUAUGUCACUCUCGUCUAAAUUGUUUAAUUAAAAUAAUAUGGUAAAUAUUGAAUUAACUGUGCACAUUGUUAUUUUUUUGUUUCUAUUGAUAUUUUAAUAUAUACCGUCACUUUUAGCAUUACCAAGAUUUGGAGUGUUUGAAUCAUAAUUUGUAAAUUAGUUUGCACUUUGAGUAAACUUGAAAAUAUGAAAAAAACAAUAAAAAAAUGGAAAUAUAUUAUCAUCUUAAUUAACAUCUAAAACAAUUUUUGUCAUUGGAGGAAGUGAAUUGUUAUAUACCUUGAAUUGUAGUUAUCCCACAAUAACCAAGAUCCAAUAUUUUCAAGUUUGGCAAAUCUGCAAAUCCUACAUGCGCAGAUAAAAAUGUAAACAUUACAUUUAAAGGAAUUGUAUGUGAUCCGUGCGUUUGAUGAACAUUAAUUCUACAUUUAAUUUGCUUCUUAUCUUAGAUUCAGUGGCCUACCUAACGUUGUUAGAUUUUGAUUACCGUUUAAAUCCAACACUUGCAGGUUUGUCAAAUUUGCUAAUCCUGUUAAAAAAAGGUAAAUUUUGUCAAUAACAGUUAUGUCACUCUCGUCUAAAUUGUUUAAUAAAAAUAAUAUAGUAAAUAUUGAAUGAAAAUUAACUGUGCACAUUGUUAUUUUUUAUUUUUCUAUUGAUAUUUUAAUAUAUACCAUCACUUUUAGCAUUACCAAGAUUUGGAGUGUUUGAAUCAUAAUUUGUAAAUUAGUUUGAACUUUGAGUAAACUUGAAAAUGUGAAAAAAACAAUAAAAAAAUGGAAAUAUAUUAUCAUCUUAAUUAACAUCUAAAACAAUUUUUAUCAUUGGAGGAAGUGAAUUGUUAUAUACCUUGAAUUGUAGUUAUCCCACAAUAACGAAGAUCCAAUACUUUCAAGUUUGGCAAAUUUGCGAAUCCUACAUGCGCCGAUAAAAAAUGAAAAUAUUACAUUUAAAGGAAUUGUAUGUGAUCCGUGCAUUUGAUGAACAUUAAUUCUACAUUUAAUUUGCUUCUUAUCUUAGAUUUAGUGGCCUACCUAACGUUGUCAGAUUUUGAUUACCGCUUAAAUCCAACACUUGCAGGUUUGUCAAAUUUGCUAAUCCUGUUAAAAAAAAAACACAUAAAUUUUGUCAAUAACAGUUAUGUCACUCUCGUCUAAAUUGUUUAAUUAAAAUAAUAUGGUAAAUAUUGAAUGAAAAUUAACUGUGCACAUUGUUAUUUUUUGGUUUCUAUUGAUAUUUUAAUAUAUACCGUCACUUUUAGCAUUACCAAGAUUUGGAGUGUUUGAAUCAUAAUUUGUAAAUUAGUUUGCACUUUGAGUAAACUUGAAAAUGUGGAAAAAGCAAUUAAAAAAAUGGAAAUAUAUUAUCAUCUUGAUUAACAUCUAAAACAAUUUUUGUCAUUGGAGGAAGUGAAUUGUUAUAUACCUUGAAUUGUAGUUAUCCCACAAGAACCAAGAUCCAAUGUUUUUAAGUUUGGCAAAUCUGCGAAUCCUACAUGCGCCGAUAAAAAAUGAAAAUAUUACAUUUAAUGGCAUUGUAUGUGAUCCGCGCGUUUGAUGAACGUUAAUUUUACAUUUAAUUUGCUUCUUAUCUCAGAUUUAGUGGCCUACUUAGCGUUGUCAGAUUUUGAUUAUCGCUUAAAUCCAACACUUGCAGGUUUGUCAAAUUUGCUAAUCCUAUUAAAAAAAGGUAAAUUUUGUCAAUAACAGUUAUGUCACUCUCGUCUAAAUUGUUUAAUUAAAAUAAUAUAGUAAAUAUUGAAUGAAAAUUAACUGUGGACAUUGUUUAAUUAAAAAAUUAUCUUCUAAAGAACCGUGUAUAUAAUAAUUAGAACUGAAAUCCAACGCUUCCAAGUUUUUUAAUUUAGCUAAUAUUGCGCCAAGAAAGAAGAAAAAUCUUAGUAAUCAUCUUUGGGAAAAAAAAUAAAGAAUUAAGAAAUAAAUUUCAAAGUUAGAUUAAAUAAUUGUAGUAAUAAAGCUUAUGAUUUAGAUCUAAUUAAAUUGAUCAUAUACUCAAAAAUGGUUUUAUUUUUUUCUUUUGUUAAAAAAAUUUUACUAAGAAAUUAGAAAGCAAAUUUUUGUCGUGUACCAAUUGUAGUCAAGUUUGUCAAGUUUUCCAGUCAAAAAUUGGUUUUAAUUUGACAUUAUACAUGUGUAAAAAUUAAGGGCAUAAUAAUAUCACAAGGAAUUUGGGUAGUGACUUGUUGCCGUGUACCUUGAAUUGUAGUUAUUCCACAACCAGUAAGAUCCAAUUUUUUCAGGUUUGUCAAAUUUGCCAAUCCUACACCAACAAAAAGCAAACUAUUAUUUUUAAAAUUAUUGUUGAAAUUUGUGAUUAGUGUGCUAACUUGGUAAUUAUCUUAGUAGCCUACCUAGCCUUGUUAAAGAGCCACUAGUUAAAUUGUUGUUCCAGCUUAGAUCCAACACUUGCAAGUAUCUCAAAUUUGCUAAUCCUGCUCAGAAAACAUUAAUUUUGAUCAAGACAAUAUACAUAUAUAUUUUAAUUAAGAAAUUAAUUAAGUUGCCUGACAAGUAUAUCUGCUGGCCUGAAACGUAUAUGUAUAUACCUUGCCUGGUUCUGGAACCUUCAAUCUUAUUGUAAUGAAGAUUCAGAGUGGUAAGUGAAGUAAGUGUAUUCAAAUAUGGUAAUAUUCUGUCGUUGAAGAAAUUAUUUUCAAGAUUUAAGGUCUUCAGCUGCUUCAAACUCCCAAAGCUAUCGUAAGCUGCAAAUGAAUAUGAAGUGUUAUUAUUAAUUAGUCACUGACAAAAUAUUUAUGGACGAGAAAUAACUGUAUACAUAUAUACGGACCUCUCUUCUCAUAGAUGCCUGUAAACCAAUUCCGAAAUAAGUUGAGUCUUUGCAAUUCUUCAAAAGGAUGAAACAAUGACAUAUUCAGAAGCAAAGUCGGAGGUCCUUCAUAAACAAAAAAGGAGUUAAAAGGGUAGUUGAAUUUUGUCGUCUCAUUGAGUGAGAGUUGCAUCACGCGUCGUGUGGUGGCGUUGCACAUAACUCCCUCCCAAUCAUCACAACAAUCAGACGGCAUUCCAUCAUCCUCACCAACCCAUGAAGGAAGGAUUUUGUCAUCAUAUCCAAUAUCACUGACUGACAGGAAGAAGCUCUUGAUUUCCAACAGAGCAGUCCUCUCUGUUUCCAAGCAUGCUUUGUAUCCAUGAAUUUCAUUUAUCAAUACAAUAAUCCAAAUUAGUGACAUUAAUGAGAACUUAUUACAGGAAGUACUUUCCAUUGCAGAGCAACUUUUCAUUUGGUUAAAAUUCAAUGUGCAAUGAGCAACUUUCCGUUGCAGAGCAAUUUAUACUAAAAGUUUAUCGCAGGUCUUGCAAUUUGAUUGGAUGAAGACUUUUUUAAGACUUUCCAAUACAUCGCCAUCUUUGAAGACUUCUAAGCAUUCCAUGUUUUGCAACAUUCGACCAACGGGAAAAAGCACUUCAUUAAUACCCCGUGGAAAAUAUAGAUAAAGUGAUUGUAAACUAUAAAUUUUUCCAAUAGUUUGAUGGAGAUAAUCAUAACUAAUAAAAUAAAAGUUGACUGAGAGAAUUUAAAUAAUUUAACCGUUUGUUUGGAUUUCCAUUGCAUUAUCAGUCAAUCUAUUAAAUAAUGUGUUUUGAGAAGAAUUUGAUUGGAUGUUUGAUAAGUUUAAAUUAAUUUAUUAGAAAAUCAAUAAUUAAUCAAAGUAAAUCUUCAUCUAUGUUUAGUUACUGUGGCGUAGUCUGAAAUGAAAAAACACAUAAAUGUUAUUUGAAGCUCUUGUGACACUUUUAUUGGAUAAAAUGUUAAAUAGUUAAGUCAGAUGGACUAAAUCAUAAAACACAUACAGUACUUUGAAUCAAAGCUACUAAAAUCAAAGAUAUUGGGAAUCCUUAAUAAGGAAAGUUUCCAUUGCUCUCAGUCUGCACUCUUCAUUACUAUUGCAAUCACUUGAAAUGACUAAAACAGAAAUUUCGUAUGAACUUGGGACAGCGGUACGGGUCCAAUUUAAAUGACAACUACGUGGAAAAUAAAAAUUUUGCAUCUUUUAUUACAACUACGUGGAAAAUUAAAGUUGACUGACUUUCAAAUUAAGCCAACAAACAAGUGGCAAUCAAUUCUUUUUCCACUAACAAUUAGUGGCGACGGUCAAUACUAUAAAAUAAAAGUUGACUAAGAAUUUAUGUAAUUUAAGAUCCAGAGGUCUAUAAGGUGUCGAUUGUAUGAUUGGGUUUGCACUGAAUUAUCAAAAAAUCUAUUCAAGGAUUUAUAUUCUAAAAUAUUUAGUGAGUUUAGAAAAUUAUUUUAUUAGAUUUUUGUUAAUUUUUUAUUAUUAGAUGGCCAACAAUUAAUCAAGUAAUUUUCCAUAUAUAUUUGAUAAUUUACUCAUAAAAGCGUGGACUACAUUCAAAUGACAUUUUAUAUGAUGUAUGAUAUAUGUAGAGGUGAAAUUUAAAUAGGCUUAAUUUUAUAAAUAAAUACAUAUGUAUUGCAGCAUUCAAUCAUUGUGUUAAAGCGCCAAUCACGGUGACCCCCAAAGCCUGUGAAUGAUUAGUCCAUCAAAACCCAAUGUAUGCUCAAUUAAUAUUUCCUAUCAAGAUCAAAAUUUUUGCUCUAUGGCUUCACCAAUCAUGAGAAUAAAAGCUCGAUUUAUACAAAAAUUACGAAUUUAUGAAACAAAAAGUCACAAUUAUUAUAAUUGGAAGUUUGAUUGAUUUUUAAAGAUUGAUUCAAUCAAUCUUAAUGUUACUGGACAAUCGAUCUUAAUAUUAAUUCAAAAUCAAUCUUUAUAGCGAUUGGCACAGAUAAAGAUAAUUAGUUUUGGUCUCUAUAAUGACUGACGAAGACUUGUAGGACCUGGACCAAUGAGGAAAAACACUUCAUUAAUACUCCAUGGAAAAUAAAUGCUGACUGACUUUCAAAUUAAGCCAACAUACAAAUGAUCGUCAAUUCUAUUUUUUACAAAAAUUGAUGGAGAUAGUCAACUAAUAAAAUAAAAGUUGAUUGAUAUAAUUUAAAGAAUUUAGGCGUAAGUUUGGGUUUUAAAUUAUCAAAUAAUUUAUUCCACUAUUGAUACAUAAAAAAGUGCUUUGGAAUUAAUAAUUCAAUAGGAUGUUUGAUAUAUUGGAAUUUGUAAAAAUCAAUAAUCAACUAUUUUUUAUACAUGUUUAGAAAUUUAUCCGGUGUGUAUAAGGGCUUGUAUAUUUCACAAUAAACUGAGAUUCUUUUUUGGAAAGCCAAUAGAAACAUGAAUUAGUACAUCCAUCGAUUGACGUAUAAUUAUAGGACAAAACUACGUUACAGAAUCUGUAAGGUACAGACUGCAGCAUCAGCCGUUGGAUGUGGUUGGAUGUGGAGUGAGAAACUAAACAAAAGAAAAUCGGAUGGUGGGAUGACGGGAGAUGUUUGUUACAGAAUCUGUAACAUAGACAGGUCCAUAAUUAUAAUCAUAUAAUCAAACAUGAAUUAACCCGUGGGAUACGGAGGAUGUGUGUUAACGUUAACCAAUGGUCAAGCUUAUAAACACAAUCAAGCAAUCAUAUCAUCAAUCAAAGCCACAUUCAGCGCACGACUAGUAAAUAUCAUAAUUGAGUUUGAGGACCACAGCCGCACAGUGAAAGAAUUUGAAUGAAGGAAAAGUAAAAGAAAAUGAAAAGGAAAAGUAAACGAAAAUGAAAAGAAAAUGUUAAGCUGAUUCAUCAGUAACUCCAUAUGACAAUUGCACACAACUUUUGGAUGUUUUUAGCUUCCGUGUGAAUCAAAAUGAUUAACAGAGACUGUCCUGCGUGUCACGUGUAACUAAUGUUGGCGCCAUCUUGAGCUAAUUCUGUUAAGGCCUUCACUCCAUAGUCUUAAGAUCUCAGUGAACAAUAAAUUCUUCAGAUUCAUAUGGCAAAUGAAUUGCACAACAAGGCAUAAACCCCGCUUGAAAGCAACCGACUAUAAUUAAUACAUUUCAAUUGCUCAUAAAAGAAAGAUACAGUAAGCUAGUGGUAUUGUAGUAUAAACAAUACUCGUUUUUCUAUCUUGGUGGUUUCUUGAUAGUGUUCAAAUAUCAGAGCUCGAAGAAAGAUAGAGGAAAGCCAAAGAAAAAUAAGCUAAUUCAUUAUUGACAUCAUAUGAAGGAGGUUCAUCAUCAUCAAACCAUGAACUAAGAGUUUCAACUACUGUUUCAAAAAUUCCUUUCUAAAAUUACGAUAAAUUUAAUAGCUAAUAGAAAUAUUUCAUUAUAUAAAUCAAAUUUCAAACUUGUAAGAAAAAAUGUAAAAAUAUUGGUUUUCAAAUAUUUUUCUAUAUUUUUUUAAAAUUCAAAAUUAGAUAGAGUCAGUCAACCAAUAAAUCAUCAAGAAUUAUCCAUUGCGUCCCCAAUUUGAUCACCAUUCUUGAAAGCAUGGAAAAUUUCCAGUUUUUACAAGUCAAGCGUGGAGUGUACGUUUUUAUGUUAAAGAUGGUUGAGUGGUGAUCACGUUUUACUUUGCAGCCUGCCUAACCAAUUUCAAAGCGUGUUUCACGGAUGACUUAUUUUUAUGAAUUGGAAACUAGCACCAAUAGACUUUUCUCUGUAAAUAUAAAAAGUUCAAAUGAAUACUUUCAAUUAUUGUUUCAAAACUGUCUUUCUAAAAUUACGAUAAUUAUUUUCUAUUGAAUUGUAUGCUUGGAUUUGCAUGGAAUUAUCAAAUAAUUAAUCUAUGCAAGCAUUGAAUUGUAAAGACUAACGAAGACUUAUAAGGCUUGGACCAACGAGGAAAAGUGCUUCAUUAAUACUCCGUGGAAAACAAGCCAACUUGGAGCCGGUUGAUCGAGAUAGUCAACAGUUAUUUGAGAUAGUCAACUAAUAAAAUGAAAGUUAAUUGAGAUAAUUUAGCGUAAGUUUGGGUUUGAAAUAAUCAAAUAAUUUAUUCCUGUAUUGAGAAGAAUUGAAUUCCGUUAUUUUAUUGAGAAGAGAUCCGUCGCUCCCUCCCAAUCAUCACAGCAAUCAGACGACAUUCCUUCAUCAUCGUGAAAUCAUGAACUAAGAGCUUGGUCAUCUCAGCUUCCAAGCAAGCCUUGCAUCCAUGGAUUUCAUCCAAAACAACAAUCCAAAGUAGUGAGGUUAAUGAGAGCUUAAUGAAGGAAGUAUUUCCAUUGCAAAACAACUUUUUAUUUGGUUAAAGUCAAAUGUGAAUUACAUAUCUUUGACUGGUGAUAUAUAUACAUAUAUAUAUUCAGAGAUAUGAAGUACUCAAACCAAAAUAAAAAAAAAUAUAUAAUUAUUAUAAAAAAAUUGAUGAAUAAUAUAGUUCCAGGCAGUGCUAAAACCAUAAUGUACGCCAGUAUGACUUUAUCCAAAGUCACCGGCUACACCAAUAUCAUUGUGACAUAGGAAGCCAUGAGGAAAUUUAAGAAAGAUUUAUUAAACCAUAGUCUACGCCGGUAAGAGGAAAUUAGCAUUCAAUGAUCAGACACUUUCUGCAAUUUCAUUGACUUGUGACCAGGGAGUCCUCAUUCUACGACCCGGGGACAGGGGUCAUAAUUGAUAGAAAUUAACCAGUAGUCAAGCUUAUGAACACAAUCAAGGACCUUGAGUAUGUAACGUAGCAAAUGCGGAGCAUCCACGCGUUGCAGGGGAGAGGAAAAGUUGUUGGAACUUAGCUGAUACAAGACCAAUUUGCACUGAGCUGUUACAUACAGAGCCUGUAACUUAGUUUUGUCCCACAAUCAAGCAAUCAUAUCAUCAAUCAAGGCCACAGUCAAGGCACGACUAAUAAAUAUCAUAAUUUGGUUUGAGGACGACAGCCUUACAGCAAAAGAAUUUGAAUGAAGGAAAAGUAAAGGUAAAUGAAAAGGAAAACCGACUAAAGUUGUUAGAGUGCAAUUUAUGCACUAGUUUUGUAUUGUUUACUUCCCUUAAUAUUGAUGUUUUGCACUUAAUAAUAGUGAUUUACUUGUGUUUUAUUUUUAUAGGUGCAAUUCUAUUGAUUGGUGCUAAAAUUGAGCUACAAGAUGAUGUUUAAGGAUGAUUGUUCUCUUGGAGAAAUUAUGAGUGUCAAAAGAACUUUUUUGAUAAGGCGUGGGCGCGUGCUGUCAACUACGGACCUGCAGUUUUUAGUUUAACAUGUUUUGUAUUUUUAGUUAUUUUUGUAAUUACGAAUUUAAUAUUUCAGAUAUUAGUAUUUUAUUUUAAAAAGAACUCUAGGGGGGAUUGGAAAAAAGAAAGAAACCCUAGAUCUAAAUUUUUCUUUCUCUCUAUGAAGAACUAAACCUAUUUUUCUGGUUGAAGGUUAAUGAAGCUUUGAUUCAUCAUUACUAUGAGAUAUUUCUUAUGCUUUAAUUGUUUUAUUACUUUUUGGGUAUUUGUUUAUUCUCUGAAUUAUUUUCAUGAUUAUGUUUGUUAAUUAGAUAACUGACCACUAUUUAAUUAUCAACUUAAUCUAUUGUUAAUUAAAGGAUUCAUCGUAUGAAGAUUUUAAUGUUUGUGACAAAUAACAUAGCAGUGAGUUGUGUUAUGAGAAUGAACAAUCUAAUUUAAAUGAAGCAUCGUAUGCGUUUAUUGAUUAGGAUUUGGGUCUCUCUGGUUUUUCAGGUUGUCAAUUGAUUAAAUCCUAUGAUCGUAUCUAGGGUUGUCUAUUGAUUAGGGAAAUAACCAACGGUCGUACAUUGGUUAUCGACUAGUUAAGGAGAGAUUGGCUAUUAGAGGGUCUCAGUAGCUAUAACCAGUCUAUUCAUUAGUAGUAAUAAUUUAUAUUUGAAUCAAUGAUCAGUAGCCGAAUCAAGCUGAGUUAAUUCCUUCAACCAAAGCUUUCUCCAAUUUGAAUUACAACUUUAAUUUGCAUUCUUGUUAUUUUUAUUUGAUUUUUAUUAUUGUCAACAAAACCCCUAUUUUAUGUUUUACGUUUUAAAAGGAUUUAAAUAAUUACCGAUCUCUGUGGACACGACCCUGCUCAAUCACUAUACACAAUUUAUUUAGAAUAGGUAUUUAUUUUUGUUGGCUUUGACAACCAUCAAAAGCCAAAGAAAAAUAGGCUGAUUCAUCACUAACUCAAUAUGACAAUUGCAGAAAACUUUUGGAUGUUUUUAGCCUCCGAAAUUUCAACAUCAAUUAUAAAUUACAGAUAUGUGAAGGAAAACUUAGAAACCAAUUUUUAUUAACAAAGAAAAUGUUAAAAAAAUAAAAUAAAAGAUUGUGUGAAAAUGUUGAAAACUAAUUUCAACAUCAAGGCAUGUCACAUGCAACCAAUUCAUGUCACGCAUGUCACGCGUUUCUUUAUUUUGCCAUGUGAAUCAAAAUCAUUAACAGGGACGCCGCGCAUGUCACAUGCAACUAACUCAUAUUUGUAAGCACAUAUAUAUAAUAUAUUGCAGCAUUCAAUCAAGGAGUUAAAAGCGUCAAUCACGGUGACCACCAAAACCUGUGAAUGAGCAGUCCAUCAAAUGUUGAGGGUGGUGAAUUAAUAUUUCUUACUAGAAGAGCGAGUAUAAUAGUACAUGGACCUAGCUCAUUUAUAAAAAUUAGUUCAAGAGUUCGAAGGUUAUUUAAGUAUUAUAUACUUGAAUCAAUAUCAAUUUUUCACUCUAUUAAUUCAUCAAUCAUGAGCAUAAAAGCUCAAUAUAUGCAAAAAUUAAUUUUGUGAAAAAAAUGUUUCAAUCAUGAGUCAUUAUAAUUAGGAAUUUGAAUGAUUUUUAAAGUUUGAUUCAAUCAAUCUUUAUGUUAUUGGACAAUCGAUCUUGAUAUUGAUCGACAAUCAACCAUUAUAGUGAUUAGCACAUAUUAAGACAAUCAGUUCUAAUCUCUAUAAUGAUUAAAGAAGACUUGUAAGACUUAGAUCAAUGAGGAAAAAUGCUUUAUUAGUACUUUGUGUCUAUUAAGUAUAGUUUAUUUAAUAGUCAUAAGUGCUUAUUUAAUCUCAUAAUCUCUUAUCAAAAUUUUUGUUGUUUAAUUGUCUUUUUAGUAGAACUUUUGAAAAUUAAAUAAGAUAUUUUGUCUCUACUAACAAAAGAUAAAAAAUUUUAGGAGUAGAGAUUUAUUUUUUAAAAAAAUAUUAAAAUAUCUAAAAUAUCCUUUACUUUUGACAAUCUUAUUUCAUUAUUUUCAUGACAUAAUUUAAGAACUUGUUUAUUAAACUAAUUUUAUAGUUUUUAAUAAAAACUCUUCUUGACAAUCAAACAAAUAAAAUUUUUUGCGUAUAAGUUCUACUUAUAAAAGCUCUACUAACAAAACCUCUAUUUAAAUAAACUUUAUUUAAAAAGUUAUACCAAACCGAACCUUCGUGAAAAAAAAAUGUUAAUUGACUUUGAAAUUAAGCCAACAUACAAGUGGUCGCACGUCAAUUCUAUUUUUUUCCAAUAGAUGAUGGAGAUAGUCAACUAGUGAAAUAAAAGUUGAGAUAAUUUAAAGAAUUUAAGUGUAAUUUUGGGUUUGAAAUUAUCAAAUAAUUCCCAGUCUAAAGCUAGGUGGAAGUAAUAAACGUCUUGGAAAUCAAUAAUGUUAAGGAUCCUGAUAUUUGAGUCCCAACUUGAGUCCUAAUACUAUUUGUCCCUCAUUUAUUAGAUGAUGGAUUUCCUAAUUACUAAAAUUACUUAACUACAAUGUAAUAGAUGAAUGCCACAUUAAUUGGGACUUAAAUGUUGAGAUACCUAUCAUUGCUCCUUGAAAAUAUUAAACAAAAUAUUAGAAUUCUUUUUGGUCGUUUUAGGUGGUGUUUGCUUUUUUGUCUGCAAUCUGAAUAGAUCUGAAUCAGUUUGAAUUCUGAAUAGAGCUAAAUGUCUUAAUCUGAAUGAUAUGUUUGUUUUUUUAUCUGAAUCACUAAAAAUAAAUAUUAUGUUGUUUUUUAACUAAAAAAUGAAAAUUAAUAUUUUUUACAUUUAUGUCCUUACAAAUUGUAAAUGUUAGAUAAAUAAUAAACAUUUCAAAGAAUAUAAAUAAGAUAAUAAAUUAUCAUAACAUAAAUCAUAUUCAAUUGAAUACAACUCUUUAAUAUUCUAUAUUAUAUAUGUUAAUUAAUUUUAUUAUAGUUUAUGAAAUUAGUUAUAGUUUAUGAUGUUUUUGUAUAAAAAUAUUAAUAAAAAAUUAUGAAGAUAAAUAAUGCUAAUUUGAAGAAAAUAAAAAGAUAAAAAUAAUAAUAGUUUACCACCAUAUAUUAUCACAAGUUAUAUAGAGAUGAGUAAUAAUGCUAAUUAUUAAAUUUUAUUUAGGUAAAAAAUUAAUUAGUUAGAUAGGGAUAUUUUAGAGAACAUUUUUUAAUGAUAUCAUUCAGACUUUUUGUAUUAAGCAAAAGACUAAAAAAAUUAGCUUAAUAACUUAAUGAUUUAAUGGCUGAAAAUUUUCAUUAAAUUGAAAAAAAAACAAAUAGACUAAAUAACUUAACUAAUUAAAAUUAAGUCAAUUAAAUCAUUAAGUAAAAAAAAAAGGGGGUCCUUAGUCUACGUUUACACAAAUAUAGCAAAAUAAUGAAGAUUAUCUAUGUGCGGAUAUAUACGUGUGGUUAUCAUGAAAUGACCCGCCCUGAGUCUAAUCUCAUCAAAACUAGAUAGAUAAUAAUUUAAUUAGUGAGAAUUCUGCCGAAUUUAAGAGUUUCUUUUAUAAAUAUAAUACUUUCAAAAUAAUUUAAUAUACAACCAACUCUAAUGAUCAUCAUUCUCAACCAGAAUACUGAAAUUUUUACCCAAGAUAUCUCCAAGGUAUCAAAAGAUUAUAUUAUAACUAAUAUUAACAUACAUUGAUUUAUUCUUAAUUCCAAAAGAAUAAUAUAACAAAAUUAUACAAUCUCAAAACAAUAAGAUGAUUAGGAUGUUCUAACAAAAAUCAUCUAUAUCUUCUAACACAAUCACUUGGAUAAGACUCAAAAUAUAUUUACAGUUGUCGGGUCUAUCUCGUGUACCUGCAACUUUCUGUUGGGGGGAAGGGGAAGAAUACAAUAAAAAUGAAAUGAGAAUAAAACUCGAUGAGUUCAGUGUGUGGAUCGUAAUUUUUUGAAAAUAAACUUACUUUAAAAGAAAUAAUCAUAUCAUUUCCAAACACGAUUUCAUCAAACUAUAUGCAAGAAACCAUUAAUAAAUCAUUUAACAUUUAAAUUAGAUUACUAACCUUGAAGAGCAUAUAUAUAAAAUCGUAUGUAGUAACCGUCGAAAUCAUAUCACAAUAUCAUAUAAAAUACAUAAAUCUGAAAUCAUUACUAAACAAUUACCCAUGAGAAUAAUCUCGUUGUAUCCGAACCUCAACAGACAAGUAAUGACGUACUAUCUAGGUACUGUCACGCCUCGGAGCUACACAGAUAGACAAGGAAGUGUCAUCUCAUAUCUAGUCAUAUAGCUCAUCUUUUUAUGCAUAAUCUAGCCCCUAAAGGACAAAAGCAUCCAAGCACAAGGCCCAAAACCUCUGUGUGUACUCAGACAGGGCCCAAAAGUCUGUAUCUCAUCUAUAUAUGUAUCACUGUUAUCAUCAUAUCACAUGCAUAUUCUCCUAAAAGGCAAAAACACCCAAACACAUGGCCCAAAGUCUCUAUCUGUGUUCAGACAGGCCCCAAAGGCCUCAUCAUCUUUGUAUCACUGUAACCGGAGAAGGGUCAUAUCCAAUACUUUUACAAACAAUAGUUUACACACAUAUACAUAAACACAUAAUCACGUAUGAAAUCUCAUUUCCUUUUCAUUUAACAUACUUUGAAUCUAAUUCCUUUUCUUAAAAAUAUUACCAUGCAUAUAUUCAAAAUCAGCAAUAAAAUCAUCAAUCAUACACAUCUUUAAUAAUAAACACUAAUACGCAGAUAAAAUCCAUUUUUUUAAAAAAAAAAUAUCAGAGCCUUUAAAACUUAUUUCGUAAACAUACUUUACCAUAUUUUAAAAUCAUAAUAAACUAUAAAGAAAAUAGAUUUUGUAUAUUUCACUCACAGUAAUGAUAUUCAAACUCGGAUAUUGUCCUUACCUACGGACUGAUUCUCACUAUAAGAUCCACAUAUACAUAAACACAUAAUCACAUAUGAAAUCUCAUUUUCUUUUCAUUUAACAUACUUUGAAUCUAAUUCCUUUUCUUAAAAAUAUUACCAUGCAUAUAUUCAAAAUCAGCAAUAAAAUCAUCAAUCAUACACAUCUUUAAUAAUAAACACUAAUACGCAAAUAAAAUCCAUUUUUUUUAAAAAAAUCUCAGAGCCUUUAAAACUUAUUUCGUAAACAUAUUUUACCAUAUUUUAAAAUCAUAAUAAACUAUAAAGAAAAUAGAUUUUGUAUAUUUUACUCACAGUAAUGAUAUUCAAACUCGGAUAUUGUCCUUACCUACGGACUGAUUCUCGCUAUAAGAUCCACCUAAAUCAAGGAAAUGACAUAAUUCCAUAAAUCAAAAUUAGGACUAAAUUUAAGCAAUAAAUUCAAAACAAACAUUUAUCUAUAAUUUACAACUCCUUUGUCGGUAAAAUUACUAACACACUUUCGAGUCCGUGAAUCAUUAAAAUACUACAAAAUCAUAAAUCACCGAAUCACCCUCGUAAUUACAAUCAAUACUCAAUUUCAGAAAUUACAAAAUCACUCUCAAAAUGUGAAAUUACCGAAUUACCCUCGCCGGUUAACGGAGACCGGAAUUCAGUAAACGGCAGCCGGUAAGCUCGGGUCUGAUAUUUCCAAUCACGCUGAGUCUAAUAGUGCCGGCGGUGAGCUCCCACGCGCGACAACAGCGGCGGGUCGAGCUUCCCAAGCCGCAAACUUUCCGGCAGUCGUUCGCGGCCAAAACGGCUGUUUCCGGUAGCAGGGAUGGUCGAAAAAUGAUGAGCGUGAGCUGAGGAUCAAGAUUCAAGCGGUGGCGUCACCCAAAACCGGCGGAACCGACGGCGAGAAAGGGUGGGUUUUACAGCGGCUUAUCGAGCUUGAUUGCCAGCGUUUUGACUGUUACGCGGCAACGGUGAUGGCGGGGAUACAACGACCAGUCUUCAAGCUUCAGAUUGGUACCUUGAUCGGCCGGUGAGGUGGCCGGAAAGUGGAGAUAUGGCCGGAUCGGGUUCGUGGGUGUGGGUCGGGUUUCGGGUCGGUUUACAGCUCCACUCACUUUCUCACACGUGUGUAUGUGUUCCCCUGUUUCCAGCUUCUUCUUUUAUUUUUAUUUACUUUUUAACCGCCUCAUUUUUUUUUUUCCCGCACAUAUGUUACAUAUCAUGUGCGAAUAUAUGAGUCUUUCAAAAAGGGAACUCGCACUUUAUAAAAAGAGUAAUACUAUAAAUAAAAAAUUUGUUGAAAGAACUGAAUUUUUAUUUAUGAUUUGAAGAUUUUUAUUUAUUUGUUUUUUUUUUUUUUUUUUUUUGCCACAAGUCAGUGUGUCGAAAAGCAAAUUUUUUUUUUUUAAAUUAGUGAUAUAAAAAAAGGAUCAAACAUCAUACUUGAGAGAUUUUUUUUCCCAUAUUUGCCAUAUAAAUAUGCGGGUUAUAUUUGAGAAAUUCUAAAGAAAAAUAUACUGAAAAUAGUAAUAAUUGGUACUGAUACACUUCAACCUAAAAGGUUCAAUUUAUACAUGUGUUAGAAUUAAAAAAAAAAAUGAAAUGACAUGUUUAUAAUAAUUUGGGAACGAUUGAUUGACAAAGAUUGAUCAAUCAGUUUUUUUUCUUCCCUUUAAUCUACAAACAUUAAGACAAUUAAUCAUGUGUUGACUAUCAGCACGAUCAAUCAUAUGUUGAUUUUUAUUUAUAUCAAUUUUGUUUUGUUUCUUUGCUGCUUCUCUCAAAUUGGCGAGGAAAUAUUUUUUGAACUCCGAGUUUGUAUUAAGAUGUACACUCUUGAUUUUUUUUUCUUUUUUCUUACUCAAUUAAACCAGGAAGUCAUUCAUUUAAACCUAAUCACGGAAGGGAAAUCUUUUUUAUUUUUUCCACAUACUCUUUUUUUUUGGGGGGGGGGGGGGGGGGGGGGGCGCAUGAAAAACCAUUAACUCAUUCUUUUGAUCAAGGAACUUUUUUCAAUUAGAAAGUUGUUCCUUUGAUCUUUGAAAGUAAAGGAAAAUAAGCUGAUUCAUCACUAACUCACUAUGACAAUUGCACACAACUUUUGGAUGUUUUUAGCCUCUGAAAUUUCGCAUGAAUGAUAAAUUACAAAUAUGUUAAGGAAAACUUAGAAACCAAUUUUUGUUCUCAGAGAAAAUAAAAAUGGAGGAUUAACAUGGAUCAUAUUUGAUAACUGAUAUUCCUAGUGCAAGGCUGAACAUAAUUCUUUGGCGUGUGAAUUAAAACUCUGAAUUAAAAUGUUAACAGAGACAUCACGCGUCACAUGUAUCUAACUUUGGCGCCAACUUGGGUAGAAAAAAUUCUCUAGAUUCAUAUGAGAUACGACAGGUGUUAAGCAAAUAAAAGCAUCAAGUCGGCCAUGCUACUAUUUCCACCCCGGUAUGAAUCACCUCAGCCAAAUGGUACGAGCAGAACAGGGGGAACAUGAGCCGAUCAGAGACGAAUACUGACCAGAGGUAUAUACCGAGCCGAUACCCGUCCCCCAAAAAAGCGGAAACAAGAUCUCACAGGAUCACGGUAGUUGCGCUUUCCCAGAACCGUUGCGGGAGACGCGAGAUCCCACGUUUGCCCAUGAGGGGCUGCCACUACCCGAAAAAGGUGGGAUGGAGGGCAAACGGGAACGUGGGACAGCGGCUAUAAAAGAAGAAGAAAUCGAUGAAGAAAGGGAUAGAAAAAUUAAGAGAGGGAAAACGCUGCCAAAUUGCAAUCAGGCCUUUUUCUUACAAACUUCGAAACAAGUUAGAAACCUUUCUUGAAUCCAAAUUACACUGUUUUCCCGUAAACACCUUGUGCCAACUUAGGCAUCGGAGGGUUUACGCCGGCAAAACCACCGGCGUCUCUGAUCCGUUUUUGGUGAACGCAGGUCUAGUAAGAGAAAGGAGGGCGAUUCCAACCCCAGUGGUCCGAGCAACAGUUGUCAACACAAACGUUGGUGAAAGAAUCUGGUCGGUCAAAAGGCGAGCAGAUUUAAGCAUCAACAUUUUGGCGCCGUCUGUGGGGAGCUGAAUAAAAAGCUACCACCAAAUUAGUAAUUAUCGGAGAAGCAGCGAACGAUUGGAUAUGGAUGUGUCAAGAAAGGAUACUUUAAGGGAGGACAAUGAAACGGUGGAGACAAUCACUCUCCGGGAAAUUGCAAAUGAAGCCCAAGAGAGGAUGAUGCAAGAUAGACUGGAGCGGAUGGAGAAACAAAUGGAGACUCUCGCGGCCAUAUUGUUUGAGCUGAGGGAUAAGCGGAGAAGGGAUUGUUAAACCCCCGUGGGAAGAGAUGAAGUUGGAGCAGAACCCAGCCUCCGGAGGCGUAGAGUCGAGGAAAUCCCUCCGCCCGCAGACGAACCUAAUGGGGUGCAUCCCCACAGAAGUACUGGUUGGGUCCCAGGGGAACACGUGGAUGAAGGGAGAGACCAACCUCGCCCCGAACGGAUACUGGAAAUUAAUGGCCGAGGGGCCAGUGUUGAUGAAGGAGAGCUUAGACAGCGGUUGUAGAACGCCGAGCAGGAGCGAGACCAGAUAGCUGCACGUGAUCCUGAUCGUGCUAUAGAAUUGGAGGGGGAGGUGCGCAGAUUGGCGCAGGUGAUAGAGGAGAUACAAGGCAAGAGAAAGCCCCCGAGUUGGAGGAUAAUGCUAGAUGAAGAAUCUCCGUUAUCAACUGAGAUCAUGAGUACCAUAAUCCCAAGAGAUUUCCGCUUCCCCGACCUCAAAUACUCCGGGCGAAGUGACUCGCUGGUGCACAUUGAGUGUUUCAACGAAAUGACGGUGCAGGGUGUUCCUGUUGACACUAGAAGGACGAGCCCGAGAAUGGUACCGCAAGCUGCCCCGAGGAAGUAUAAAGGGGUAUGAGCAGAUGUGCCAGGAGUUGGCCGAGCAGUUCCGAGGGGCAGUGGCCUCAGAGGACGACAUGAUGGAACUGAUGGGGAUGAAACAGGAGGAGCAUGAAUCCCUUCGAGAUUUUGUAAAACGAUAUCACCGAGCCGUGCUGGAUCUGGGAGCUUUUAAUCACCCGCAGGCGUUGAGGGGAUUAAAAGAAGGUGUAAGAAUCGGCCGAUUGUGGUAUAACUUAAGAAGCCCUCUCGUACAGAAUUACUCGUCGGGGUAUGAGCAGGCGAGGCGAGAUAUAGAAAUCGAAGAGGAGAAAUCGGCAAGAAUUAAAAGUGAACAGCUGGAAGAGCUGAGGCGAAAGGAACGGAGAGCCCCGAAAGGGAGCGGGUCGGGAAAGCGAACUGGAGAAUCUUCAGUGAUGGGCGGAAUAUCAGCUCGGUCUCGCCCUUACCCUAUAGCUCCAAGAGCACAACAGUUCCAACACAGCCGGGCUCAACCUCCGCGCCCUCCGAUCGAAGAGCGGCAGCGAGAAUUCAGGCAGAUGGCUGCCCACCCUUAUCACAGCGCUCCCAAAGCGUUAAGUGCAACUAAUUACAGGUCUGGACGACCAGAGCAGCUACCGGCUAUACCAGCCCGAGGUGACAUCCAUGAUAGCCGAGCAGUUCAGUUGGUUGACCAGAGCGUGGCAUAUAGACAGUACACUCCAUUAAAAAUCGCCAUGGAGGAACUAUAUGAAAGGAUCGAGGGACGAGGUCUGCUGUAUACUCCGGCCCCUAUAACAAAAUCCGCUCACCGGCGUGAUAAGAGCAGGUUCUGCAAAUUCCACAACACUCACGGUCACACUAUCAGCCAAUGCCGUGACCUAAAGAUUCAGGUGGAGGAUUUGGUGAGGAACCAGUACUUGGAUGAGUAUGUAGAUGGAGUGUCCCCCGUCAUUGAAUCGCAAUAUGCACGGGAUGAAGGAGUUGAAAGGGGUUUGGAACGAGAACAACCGACCAUCCGGGUGAUAGCAGGAGGGCCAACAUUGGCCGGGGAUUCGAACAGAGCACGAAAGAACUAUGGGAGAUAUGCCAUGACUGGCAAAGAGGUGCUUCUCAAUUUGCCAGCAGCCAAGAGGGCAAAAGUGCGGCAAGUUCCCAUUAUGUGGACAGAGGACGACGAAGAGGGCAUUUUAUAUCCUCAUGAGGAUGCACUGGUGAUUAAAGCAUUGGUGGCUAGUACAGAAUUGCGGCGAAUACUGGUGGACACGGGCAGCUCAGUAGACAUUCUGUUUAAGUCGGCCCUAGAUGAUAUGGGGAUUUCAGACUUGAAGCUGGAGCGGACGAAUACAUCCUUGAAGGGAUUUGGAGGAGGACGGCUAACUCCCAUGGGGAUCAUCGAACUCCCAAUUACCGUGGGAUCAAAACCGUUUGAAAGAACGAUGAUGAUGGAUUUUAUCGUGGUAGAAGAAAGAAGUCCUUAUCAGAUGAUAUUGGGGAGACCGUUCAUGAGGAUAAGUCAAUGUGUAAUGUCCACGCAUUAUCUGGCGCUGAAGUACAGAAUAAAUGGAGUUGUUGGUGUAGUAAAAGGCGACCAGAGAAUGGCCAGGAGCUGAUAUGCUACAGUAGCCAAGGAAACGCUGCAGGUUACCUCUCUAGAUAACCGAGGGGAUUCAAAAAAUGGUCGCCAGGAACCUGUUGAGAAGCUGGAUGGGGGUUGUUGUAAGCAGGAGUGACCCGACCAGAGUGGUUAAAGUCGGAUCAGAAUUGGGCGAAGCAAUAAAAGGCGAGCUGGUGAAGUGUCUACAGUCCUAUGCAGACAUAUUUGCCUGGUCUCAUGAGGAUAUGCCAGGUAUUGAUCGCGCGGUAGCUUGUCACAAGCUGGCAGUCAAGAAAGGGGCAAGGCCGGUGAGGCAGAAAAUGAGGUGCUUCAACCAGGAAAGGUACGAGGCCAUAAAUGCCGAGGUGGAAAAGCUGCUGAAAGCAGGAUUUAUAAAGGAAGCCAAGUACCCAGAGUGGAUUUCCAAUGUAGUACUGGUAAAGAAGGCCAAUGGGAAGUAGAGAAUGUGUGUAAACUUCACGGACCUCAAUAAGGCAUGCCCGAAGGACAGCUUUCCCGUACAAAAAAUAUAUCAGUUGGUGGACUCAACCGCGGGUCAUAGUCUGCUCAGUUUCAUGGAUGCCUUUUCCGGAUACAACCAGAUACCCAUGGACGAGCAGGAUGAGGAAAGCACUACCUUUAUAACUAACAUGGGUUUGUUUUGUUACAGGGUGAUGCCCUUUGGCCUGAAAAAUGCAGGAGCUACCUAUCAAAUGCUAGUGAACAAGGUCUUCAAACCAUUGAUCGGUCACACUAUGGAAGUAUACGUGGACGAUAUGAUCACCAAGUCAAGAGAACCGAGAGAUCAUGUGAAACACUUGGAAGAGACCUUCGAUUUGCUGAUGAGGUAUGAAAUGAAGCUAAACCCGGAGAAAUGUGCAUUUGGGGUCAGCUCGGGCAAAUUUUUGGGAUACCUGGUGAGCCAUCGAGGAAUUGAGGCCAACCCGGAAAAGAUACGGGCGGUGAUAGAAAUGAGGUCCCCACGAACAGUUAAGGAGGUGCAGAGCCUUACGGGGAAAUUGGCAGCAUUGAACUGAUUCAUUUCGCGAGCCACUGAUAAGUGCCACCCUUUCUUCCAAAUCAUAAAGAAAGGGAAGAAGAUGGAAUGGACACUGGAAUGCGAGGAGGCAUUUGGACAGCUGAAUGAAUAUCUGGCCCGCGCCCCGUUACUAUCAACCUCGAGAGAGGGUGACCAGCUGCUUUUGUACUUGGCAAUCUCCAAGCGGGCUACCAGCUCGGUCUUAGUCAGGGAAGAAGAAGGGAAGCAACACCCGGUAUACUACACAAGCAAGGCCCUGGUAGACGUAGAAACCAGGUAUCCACUAAUGGAGAAGUGGGCGCUGGCUCUGAUAACGACAGCACGCAAACUCCGACCAUAUUUCCAAGCCCACCAGAUUAUUGUGAUGACUGACCAACCUCUUCGGCAAGUGCUUCAAAAACCAGAUGCGUCUGGUCGGUUAGUAAAAUGGUUCGUGGAGCUGAUCGAAUUUGACCUGUCUUACAGGCCCCGAGGAGCAAUCAAGGCCCAAGCCCUGGUAGAUUUUAUGGUUGACUGUGUUGAACCAGGGGAAGAGGUCCAAGGGGAACAACCAGCAUAACAGGAGGAUUCAAAGGGGAUAUGGCUGGUAAUGGUUGAUGGGUCACGUAGUGAACAGAGAUCCGGGGCAGGAGUUAUAAUACGAAGCCCAGAAGGUGUUGAGGUAUCAUAUGCUGUAAAGUUUGAAUUCCAGCUUACGAACAACCAAGCUGAAUAUGAGGCCUUCAUUACUGGGCUCGGUCUUGCACAUGCACUACGAGCAGAAAUGAUAGAAAUCCGAGCCGAUUCCCAGCUAGUAUGUAACCAGCUCAGCAAUCAAUUCCAAGUAAGGGAAGAGAAAUUGAGACUUUAUUUGAAAAAGGCGAAGCAGAUGGUUGAACUCUUCAAUGAGGUAGAAGUGAAGCAGAUAUCCCGGAAUGAAAAUUACCGAGCUGACAUGUUGGCUAGGAUGGCCACAACUGUAGAUCCUAAAUUACCUAAAUCAGUUCCACUAGAGGUGAGAACCUCGCCGAGUAUAGGAGAGGAAGUAGAGGUAAUGAGAGUAAGCACUGAAGAAUCCUGGAUGGACCCGAUUCUUGCAUACAUCCGCGAUGGCGUUUUACCAGAGGACAAAAGCCAAGCAAGAAAGCUAAAAUGCCGAGCAGCGAGGUACACACUACUCGAUGGGGUACUUUACCGCCGAGGAUUCGCUUUGCCCCUUUUGCGAUGUGUGGAUGAUGAGGAGGCAGAUUAUGUACUAAGGGAGAUUCAUGAAGGAAUUUGCGGCAAUCACUCGGGAGCAAGAACUUUAGCCUUCAAGGCACUCCGGCAAGGAUACUUCUGGGCAACCAUGCACCAGGAUGCAAAAAAGAUGGCAAAAAACUGUAAAACAUGCCAAAGCUUCUCUGAGGUUCUUGCACAACCCCCAGAAAAGUUGACCACAAUGACAUCCCCAUGGCCUUUUGCCCAAUGGGGAAUCGACCUAAUCGGUCCAUUACCUAAGGGUCGGGGAGCGGCAACACAUGCAAUUGUGGCAGUAGACUACUUCACCAAGUGGGUAGAGGUGGGAGUCCUCAGCCAAAUUACGGAGAGAAAGAUGACGGAUUUUAUUUAGAAGAAUAUCAUCUACAGAUACGGGAUCCCCUAUGCCAUCAUUACAGACAAUGGGAGACAGUUUGACAACAGCAACUUCAGGGAAUUUUGCCGAAAUUUGGGGGUGGACCUGAAGUUCUGCACCCCCGCACACCCCCAGGCAAACGGACAAGUGGAAGCAGCCAACAAAGUGAUAAAGAAGCUCUUGAAAACUAGAUUGGGAGAUAAGAAGGGAGUUUGGGUUGACGAGCUACCAGGGGUAUUGUGGGCUUACCGGACAACUCACAAAACUGCUACAGGGGAAACCCCGUUCGCUUUGGCUUUUGGUCAUGAGGUAGUAGUCCCAGCAGAAAUUGGAGUGGGGACACAUCGAACGGAAUAUUUCGCUGAGGAACAAAACGACGAACAGAUCUGCCUAAGCCUGGACCUACUUGAGGAGAAAAGGGAAGGGGCCUCACAGAAAGUGGCCCAGUGUCAACAAAGGGUCAUGCGUUAUUACAACAAGAAUGUACGCGUGAGGCAGUUCCGAGCAGGAGAUUGGGUACUUAGGAAGGUGAAUCAAAACACUAGGGAUCCCAACCAUGGUGCUCUUGGCCCAAAAUAGGAAGGCUCGUAUAGGGUAAUACGAGCGACGGGACCAGGAGCUUAUAAGUUAGCAUACCCAGAUGGACGAGACGUGAAGAGGCCGUGGAACGCCGAGCACUUAAAGAAGUAUUUCCAGUAAGCAAAGUACUCUACUAAAUCUUCAAUUUGAUAAGUUAUAUUUGUCAAAUGCAUGGUGGCUUGGUGCACAAGCAUAUAUUUUGUAUUUCUGUAACGCAUUCAAAUUUCAAUAAAGAUGAAUUCAGCAUGAAAUCCCUCGGCUAAUAAGCCCAUUAGAAAGUUCUGCUAAGGCAAGUCAAUGCCUUAUUCUGCUCGGUCAAUGAGAGACCAGCAGCUAAUUCUGCAAAAAAUCCGCUAAGGCAAGUAAGUGUCUGCUUCUGCUCGGUCAACGAGAGACCAGCAGCUAAUUCUGUAAAAAAUCCACUAAGGCAAGUAAGUGCCUGCUUCUGCUCGGUCAACGAGGGACCAGCAGCUAAUUCUGCAAAAAAUCCGCUAAGGCAAGUAAGUGCCUGCUUCUGCUCGGUCAACGAGAGACCAGCAGCUAAUUCUACAAAAAAUCUGCUAAGGCAAGUAAGUGCCUGCUUCUGCUCGGUCAACGAGAGACCAGUAGCUAAUUCUACAAAAAAUCUGCUAAGGCAAGUAAGCGUCUGCUUCUGCUCGGUCAACGAAAGACCAGCAGAUAAUUCUGUAAAAAAUCUGCUAAGGCAAGUAAGUGCCUGCUUCUGCUCGGUCAACAAGAGACCAGCAGUUAAAUCCACAAAAAAUCUGCUAAGGCAAGUAAGUGUCUGCUUCUGCUCGGUCAGAAAAAGACCAGCAGCUAAUCCUACGAAAAUUCUACUAAGGCAAGAAAAUGCCAGUUUCUGCUCGGUCAACGAAAGACCAGUAGGCAAUUUUACGAAAUUUCACCAAAGCAAGUAAGUGCCUGUUCCUGCUCGGUCAUCGAAAGACCAACAGAUGAUUCCAUGAAAUUCGACUAAGGCAAAUAAGUGCCUGCUCCUGCUCGGUCACCGAAGACCAGCAGGUAAUUUUGCGAAAAUUUUACUAAGGCAAACGGAUGCCUAUUCCUGCUCGAUGCACUAAAGAACCAACAGGCAAAAUCAGAUAAAUUGUCAAGUUAUUUUGCAGAAGCAACCCGUGAGCAAAACCAGACAAGAAAGCCAAUAGAGAGCAUUUAAAAAUUUAUAAACGUUCAAAUGUUUACAAAGCAACUGAAAAUCUAGAGUCUUUACAAAAAUAGACCUAAGGAUUAGGAGGGUCAACGGCCUCAAUAGGUGAAGGGUCAGCUAUCUCGGGAGGUGGAAGAUCAGCAAUACCGGGAGGAGGAGGCACGGACCCCUGUCCCACUUCAAAAACACGCUGCCCAGCUUCUCCCUCCUGCACUCCAUCCAAAGGAACCUCCACCUGCUCCUGCUCACCCUGCACCUUAUCUCCCUGGCCGGCCCCAGACAUAUAUCUCUCCACCCCAGCCUCCAGCUUGCUCAUGUCGAGCUCGGGGUAUUCUUCCUUGAGCACAAACAUGAUGCACUUAUAGCUUAAAGCAACCCCGGAGUCAUACUUGGCAUCCAGCCGAUCAUCCACAUCAGCGGAUUUGCCUUUCUCUUCAGCCAGCUGGUCACUCAGGGAUUUAAUCUCUCCCUCAAGGGCGGUCCUCAGAGUAUCUCUUUCACUUUGAGUAGCCUGAAGAUCGGACUUCAGAUCACCCAACUCGCCCUCAAGCUUGGAGGAAGUGGACUCAGCAACCGCAACUUUCUCCUCAAGCUCCAUAAGCUGCUUGUUCAGCUCGGCCAGUUUCUCCUUGGACCGAUCAGCAGAUUCGGCUUUCUUUUUCAACUCCUGGUUAUCAGCUUGAAGCUUCCUCUCAUGACGCGCGGACCCGGUCUUGUAGCACGAGACCAUUGUGGCCAGCCUGAAGGAGACUCUUUGAACAGAAGCAGCUAACUCGGAGAGGUUCAUGCUCUCAAUGUCCUUCACCAUCUUGGGCCCAACCGAUUUUUUAUAAUCCUUCUGAUAUGGGCUCAGGUAGUCACCUUGAUCCCGAGAUGGAAGAGGAGAAGAUCGGUCCCCAGACUGCAAGCUGACCUCAGGACUCUUGUCGGAGGUUUUCUCCCCACCACUCUUACGAGGUGGAGGAGGGGGCAGAGCAGGAACAGGCGCCUUGGAAGGACCGACGCUGGGUUUCUUUGGAGGAGGAGGAGGGUUGCUGGAGCUACUCGGAGCCCGACCACGCUUCCUGCUCAUCGCGCUGAGGAUCUUGUUAUCCAUUCCAGCGGCUAUGUCCACUAGGCCCGAACCGACCAGGUUUGUUGACGACAGGAGGUCUUGGCAGGUAGACGCGUUCACCAGAGCAGUUUCCACCUGAAGCAAAGGUCGAUCUUCAAGCCCCCCGAUCAAACCCCACGACUUUGAAAUAGCAAAAGAGGUUAAAGAACUCGAUAAGUGACAAUUUGAGAAAGAAUAUAGGCAAAAAAUGAACGACCUGGGGUGACAAACUCUGUUGGAAGGUAAAUAUCACCACCCAACGAACGGAGUGCUGAACACCACUUUCCCCCAGCAAAGAAGAAUUUGUUCUUCCAAUUUUUGCACGAGGAGGGGAAACCGGUGAUUGGCUUUCUCUUCGCAGAACUGGACAUGAAGUAGUACCAGCACGCCUCCCUUGGGCUGCUCCGCAGCUGAUACAGAUGUUUCACUUCAAUAAGGGAAGGCUCCUCCAACCCGCACCUCUCCCACAACACAAACAUUGCCGAGAGAACCCUCCACCCGUUCGGGUGUAGCUGACUUGGGGCCAGGUGCAUACCUCCCAAUAUCUUGGCAAAAUAAUGCUGAAGGGGCAGCCGAACUCCUAGUUUGAAACUCUCUAAGUGCAUCGUCACAUACCCCUGCGGAGGCCGACUAGGAACGUCACCCUUCCCAGGAACUACAAGGAGAACCUCCUCAGGAAUGUCGUAGAGGUUCCUAAGCUUGAAUAGGUCAGUUUGGGUGGUGGCACAGGCUAUGUAAUCAAUAGGGUAGGAAUCAGCCUCCACCCUAUGGCCAAGAUUCCUUUUCUUAGCAGGUCCACUCGGUCCGGAACUGCUCCCUUCACCAUCACCAACUCCUUCAGGGAUCCCAACCCCACCAAAGCUGUGGUUCUCACCAGAGCCCGACGCAGGUCCACCUCUAUUCCCUACAAGCUCUAGUUCGGGGGAGGGAGAGACAACCAAGGGGCGUGGGUACUCAAGGGUAUCCCUGCCAUGGGAAGGACCUACACUACUGGAGGGACCUAAGAAAUCGGUAGGUAUUGACACGUUGAGGCCUGAAUCCCCUAAUUCUUCAUCACCCUCAUCAACAAUUAACUUUCUUUUCCGGUUUGACAUAUCGAAUCCCAAAAGAAAACAAAGAAAACUCGAAUAUACGGAUACAAAAGGGGGCAACACGGAACCCAAUCAACAACAACCAGAGAAGAGAUUAAAAGCAGUACCUGAAAUGAACUGACCCUGAUAGCGCUGCCGUGACAGAGAAAAAACCAGCAAGUAGAAACUCUGGACGCAGGAAGUGUGAGUAAAGUUCAGAAAGGGGGUAGGUUAAUGACGGAGAGACGAGUAACAAAACGAUGACGAUGUAAGUCUAGGGAUUUGAAACGAAAAGGGGGAAAUGAAAGCAUUUAAGUGAUGGAGACGCUAGCUCACUCACCGUACAUCAAGGACAGAUAGCCCGUCGUUUCAAAUUUCAAAUACGAAGAGUCUGGAGAUGCCACGUCACCAACCGUUACAAGAGGCCAGGCUAGAUGCAAGCUCAUAUACGCAAUGGACAUGCUCAUUUAGGCCCAUGCUCAGGUCAAAAUCUCCCCUGAAGAAAAAUGAUACCUCAGGUCCGUCCCGGUAGACAGAAGACCAGAGGAGAAGCCCCCGGAUUGGUAAGAUUUGACUAUCAGUUUCUACUCUUGACUUAUUUCACUCACAAGACCAGAAACUGGGGGACUGGUGUUAAGCAAAUAAAAGCACCAGGUCGACCAUGCUACUAUUUUCACCCCGGCAUGAAUCACCUCAGCCAAAUGGUACGAGCAGAACAGGGGGAACAUGAGCCGAUCAGAGACGAAUACUGACCAGAGGUAUAUACCGAGCCGAUACCCGUCCCCCAAAAAAGCAGAAACACGAUCUCACAGGAUCACGGUAGUUGCGCUUUCCCAGAACCGUUGCGGGAGACGCGAGAUCCCACGUUUGCCCAUGAGGGGCUGCCACUACCCGAAAAAGGUGGGAUGGAGGGCAAACGGGAACGUGGGACAACGGCUAUAAAAGAAGAAGAAAUCGAUGAAGAAAUGGAUAGAAAAAUUAAGAGAGGGAAAACGCUGCCAAAUUGCAAUCAGGCCUUUUUCUUACAAACUUCGAAACAAGUUAGAAACCCUUCUUGAAUCCAAAUUACACUGUUUUCCUGUAAACACCUUGUGCUAACUUAGGCAUCGGAGGGUUUACGCCGGCAAAACCACCGGCGUCUCUGAUCCGUUUUUGGUGAACGCAAGUCUAGUAAGAGAAAGGAGGGCGAUUCCAACCCCAGUGGUCCGAGCAACAGUUGUCAACACAAACGUUGGUGAAAGAAUCUGGUCGGUCAAAAGGCGAGCAGAUUUAAGCAUCAACAACAGGGAUACAGUAAACUAUGGCCUAGCACGAUCACAGAUGAAUUUGGUUUAAAGUACACUCUGCUGGCUGCAUCUAGUUUCGUAUUGAACCGACCCGCUCCAAACUUAAAGCACAAGUCUGAUAAGUUUAAUCUAACGUGACUAGAUAAAAUUAUUAAUACGAAUCUUGUUGAAAUUUCGGCAGAAUCUCUCUAUAUUUGUGACAUUUCCAACCUACAAAAUUUCCCUAUAUUAAACUAAUUUCAUUAAUUAAUCUCCCCAAACAUAAUACCACACAGCAUAGUAAAUAAUAUGGUUAAAUGAUCUCAUUCAAAUGUCACCCAAUUUUUCUAAUAGUAUAAAAAAGGUUAUAUUGUAGCUAAUGCCGGUACACAUUAAACAUUCAUAAUCAUCAAAUGAUAAUAUAAUAAUACAAUCCAAUAUUAGAUAAUCAAAUGUCCUCAUAAUUUAUCUAUGUCUUCUAACACUAUCACUUGGCCAAAAUCAAAAUAACUACAAUAACUGAGUCCAUUGGUGUACUUACAAUCUCCUAUGGGGGAAAAAUUUAGUAAAACAGAGUAAAUAUAAAACUCAAUGAGUGGAUAUUGAGUUUUAAAAAUAAGAUUACUUUAAAAUAAUUAUAUCAUUACAGCAUGCAAUUCCAUUAAACUAUAUGUAAAAAUAUAAGUACAAUUUUUAAACUUUAAGUCAAGUAAUUAGCUAGUAUUAAAAAGGAAUACAUGAUGUUCAUAAUAAUCAUAAAAAUCAUAUUAAGAAAGAACAUAUAUACAUGAUUUUAAAAUUAUCACUAAACAAGUACCCAGGGGAAUAAUCUUGUCAUACCCUCAUACAGGCGGUGUAAUGAUGCACUGGAUAAGGACGACAAAAUUCGGGUUCGGGCCUGGGUUUGUCUGUUCCAGUUCCGGAUCUAGAUAUAAAACUAGAUAGUUUAUCUCUAGAUUCGGUAUGGGUUUAUCCGAGUUCCGGGAUUGUGGAUUUCAAAACUUAGAUACCUUUAUGAAUUUUUUCUUUUUUAAGUUCUCCAAUAGGGCAUGGAUACAAUGGGGAAAAAACAAACACCUACAUAGCAAUUUCACCUAGAAAAGUAGAAGAAAUACUAGAAUGUGAACUGCAACUUAAAUCCAACCACACAACAAAUAAGCAAUGAAAAAAACACAAGCUAAAAACAUUACAAACACAGAUUAUCUCCCUCAUCACCAUCUUCAACCUCACUAGACUCAGUACCAGCCUCCCCAUAAUCCUUCUCCAAAGUCGCAAGAUCCUCACGGGCUUCAAAGAACUCACCUUCCUUUAUGCCUUCUUAGCAUACAUCAAAUCAAAUUUGUGGUCAAUGCGAGAAAACACCUUAGCAACACUAGUUAAGUUCGAUAUCAUGCACAUAGCCCUCUACACCUUCGCAAGAUCACCACCUAGAACAACAGUUGGAGGCUGGUAAUUGAUACCACAUUUGAAUCCAAUUUAUCAUCAGUCAAUAAAUUGAAUGGUAGCUGAUGAUGAUAAUGAUCAACACAGGCGUGAAGGCUAAGCGAUGAUGAUGAAAUAGGUAAUUGUUGGCGCUCUGUGUUAGAUUGAUAACGAGAAGAGGAAAAUGAUUGGCGGCUAUGUUGAGGAGAAGUUAUAAAGUGUAAAACUAGGGUUUCCUGUCAUUACCCAACCCAGACCUGGCAAGAUAUUGUUCGCUUUAGGCUUUAACAAGGCCCGCACAAAUUUGUUCUUGGGGUGUCCAUACACCCCAAAACGCGUCUUGCCAAUUAAGGUGUAGAUCACCUCUUAUAUACCCAACAUCUCUCUCGUGCUUUGCCGAUGUGGGAUUCGCCUAGGGUGUUACAUACACCCCCCUUGGGGACUCAGCGUCCUCAUUGAGGUUUGCCCCACCACCGCUCAAGAGGACAUGCGGAGAUGCUUUGAUACCAUAAUGUCAUGAACCAACCCAGACCUGGCAAGAUAUUGUCCGCUUUGGGCCUUAACAAGGCCCGUACAGAUUUGCUCUUGGGGUGUCCAUACACCCCAAAAUGCGUCUUGCCAAUUAAGGUGUAGAUCACCUUUUAUAUACCCAGCAUCUCUUCCGUACUUUGCCGAUGUGGGAUUCGUCGAGGGUGUUACAUACACUCCCCUUGGAGACUCAGCGUCCUCGUUGAGGUUUGUCCCACCAUCGCUCAAGAGGACAUGCAGAGAUGCUUUGAUACCAUAAUGUCAUGAACCAAACCCAGACCUGGCAAGAUAUUGUCUGCUUUGGACCUUAACAAGGCAUGCACGGAUUUGUUCUUGGGGGGCCCAAACACCCCAAAAUGCAUAUUGCCAAUUAAGGUGUAGAUCACCCCUUAUAUACCCAGUAUCUCUCCCGUGCUUUGCCGAUGUGAGAUUUGCCUAGGGUGUUACAUAUACCCCCUUGGGGACUCAGCGUCCUCGCUGAGGUUUGCUCCACCAUCACUCAAGAGGACACACGGAGCCGCUCUGAUACCAUAAUGUCAUGACCCAACCCAGACCUAACAAGAUAUUGCCUGCUUUGGGCCUUAACAAGACCCGCACGGAUUUGUUCUUUAAUGCGUCUUGUCAAUUAAGGUGUAGAUCAUCCCUUAUAUACCCAGUAUUUCUCUCGUGCUUUUCCGAUGUGAGAUUCGCCUAGGGUGUUACAUUUCCUCGUUCAUUUUUUAUUCUUUUAAUUUUUUGCUUUUCUAUUUAUGUUAAAAAUUUUUUAAAAUGUAAUAUUAAGAAUAAGGAUAUCCAGGUUUGGGUUUCAGAUAUGCAAGUUGACUCAAUACUAGACCUGGACCUGGAUACAUCAAGGUUCAUGAUAUUGUUGUUGGAUUCCGGAUGUUAUUUGUAUUCGGUACGGGUUGAACCUAGUCCAGAUUAUUUGGGUUCAUUCGGGUCCUGUCUGGGUAUGAGUUAUUUUGCCGUCCCUAGUAUUGGAAGUGUACUAUCGUGCUCAGAGUUACAACAGCAGACCUCGCUAUCUCAUGUAUCUCAGUGUAUCUCACUAUAUCGCAUGCGUAAAAUAGCCUCCAAAAGGCAAAAGCAGCCAAGCACACAACCCAAAGCCUUGUGUGUGCUCAAAUAGGCCCCAAAGACUUAUAUCUCAACUGUAUCUUUGUAAUUGAAUAUUUAUAACUAAAAUUAUAUCUCUAUGCUUAUCUGUGUAUUUGAAGAAAAGGGUAUUGUCUAAUGAUUUUGAAGACAAACUUUUAUAUACAUAUGCAUAAACAUAAAUUUUAAGCAUACUUUGAAUAUAUAUUCCUUUUCAUUAAAAUACUCUCAUAUGUUUAUAAUCAAAAUAAAGAAAGAAAAUCACUUAUCAUAUCGUUUACAAGACACAUCAAUAUGUAAAUAUAAUCCAUCUCUAGAAAACUUAAUCAAAGUAUCAAACAUUACUUAUAAAUAUACUUUAAUUUACUAAAAUUAGAAUCCUAAGAAAAAUGUUAAAUAAAAGUUUGUACUUUCGACUAACAACGAUGAUGGUCAAACUCAGCUAUUAUCAAUAUCUGGGAGUUGACUCAUGUUCUCACAACUAAUUUUAUGCGAUAGACUUGCAAUGAACAUUUACCCCAUAGCUUUUAACUCUGGAUUCCAUUACUUGUAAGUUAAAAAUUACUUUAAUACCUUCAAAACCAUCAAUUACACAUUUUCAACAUUCUUUUCUCUCUUAAUCUGGUCAAUUAUUUUAAUUCACUCGUUUCUUGUUAAAGCGGAUGUAACAUUCUCGCGUACUUUGUUCAAAACUAGCAAGACAUACUAUAGUAACUCAUUUGAAUAAUGAGCUAGAAAUCAAAGUGAAACUUGAAGGAGAUAAUCCAACAUGCGGGCUCUAAAAAUAAUUUGUGGUGUGUUGGAAGUUUGAAUUUAUAGAUUUAAAGCUCAGUCCAAAGAGUUAUCAAUAUUAAGUAUAAUCUGAAAAUCGAUAAUAUAUCUAUUUUGACUAGUAAUUGAAUUAAUGAAUGUAUCCUUAUCUAUAUUUCAAAAGUGGAUUAUAAAGAGGCUAGAUGAGCAUUGUUGAGAACUGCAGGCCGCAGGCCACGAUAAGAGACUGAUCGCUCAAUGCUUCUUUAUAAAAACUUUUUCUAUUCAUGAAAAACGUUUCUGAAAACGUCUAGCCGAAAGUUAAAAGGAUUUCCAUUUUGCUAUUUUUCGUUUUCAGAAACAGAAAACACUUAUAAAGCCAAAUUUCAUGGUAACUUAAGAUGUCACAUAAUUUGCAUAUGAUGUCAGCUUGAUUAAAAAUUAAUCUUAUUUUUUCCCCUAAUAAAGGUAAAGGGAUGAGUAAAGCGGAAGUUUAUUUUUUAACCCCUUUUCUCAAAUAAAACCUCGGACGACCAACCAAAAAAAAAAAAGACUGUUUGAAAAUCACUUGACGAUGCCCUUGGGGGCAAAAAGAAUAAAUUGAGAAUUCACACUUGAUUGCGGAGGAAUUACUUCUGCCAUCUCAGCUGAAAACUUGUUUAUUUCCAUUGCAUCUGGGUGUUGCUUAAAUUUUUAUUGAAGGAGUCAAAUAUAUUUAUGGGGGUUUUGAUGUUUUCAUCACUUGACGUUCAAUGGCAACUGUUAUCUUACCUUAACAAGCAUUUGAUGAUUUUUCAGUAGCUUUCUUUACGCCAAUAUUUUACUCAGUUUUAACUUUAAGCCUUUAUUUUAUCAAAUUAAUUCACCAGUAGAUAACAUGUAUUUUUUGGCAAGAUUUUACAUUGCGAAAGAAAGAUAAGCCUCAAUUCACUUGUAACUUGUUAAAGCAGAUGCAUUAUAUUAGACAAAAAAGCACUUAGUGGUCUAACCUAUUGUAAAAUCUUGUAUUUAUUUACAUAAUUAUGGUCAUCAGUAUCUUUUGCUUCAUUCACUUCUCUUUUUCUUUAAUUAUCAAGGAAACGCGGUUUAAGUAGUUAUCAAAAUUAUGUUAAAUAUUUGUGAGUCUAGAGUGAGUCCCCACUAACAAAUGGGACUGAUGAUACGAAAUAGCGACCCUCAAAAUCCAACUGAGAUGCCGCAAUUUCCUUAUGCUACAAUGUUGACACUUGAUUCAGUUAAUAAUGAAAAUCUAUCACAAUGAUCACCGUCUUCUACAAUAAUUUUAAAGUAACACUUUGCUAUUUACUGAAGUAGGAUUGGCAUAUUUCACGAAAUUGAAAGCAAUUGGUCUUCGUGGUUGUGGAAUAACUACACUUCAAGGAAUUCCGCAACAAUCACCCCUUCCUACUUAAUUUCCUAGUCUUUUUGGCAAUAUUAUGGCCUUUUAUUUUUCGAUAUUUUUUUUAGUAAAUCAGCUUAAUUGAAUCUUAACUAAUCACUUUAUUAUAAUUUUUAAGUCUAAUUUUGAAUUCUCAUUCUUCAUUCUUUUGAUUCUCGAUGCAUAAUUGACUAAUUCUAACUUGAUCAAAUUUGAAUUAGAACCACUGCUUUCUUUAAUAAACUUUAGUCCUUGACAUACUCUAUCACUAUUUUCUAACAUAACCUGCUCAUUUCUUUCACUCUUUCUUUUUUUUUCUGAAUUUAAUUUUUUUAAAUCAGCAAUGAUAUCUAUCUUCAUUUCAUUACUUAUAGCUUUGAAUGAAAAACGAUUUUUUAAUAGCUCUUACAUUUCAACGCUUUUGAAGUUUUAUUUAUGUUCAUUAAUUCUUGAUACAGGAUUAGCUAAUUAAAUUCAAAUACUUGGAAGCAUUGAAUUUGAGUAGUAAUAAUAAUAUAAACAGUUCUCUAGAAACCUGAAGAUUGUUGUCCAAAUAUAACCAAUGCAAACCGUGUUACUUGGUUGUUUCGCUCUAGAUUUGCUAGAUCUAUCAAAUAACAAUUUAUAUGGCCAAAUUUUUCCCAAAUAUAUAAACUUGACUCAUUUGCAUUGGUUAUAUUUGGACAACAAUCAUUUUAGUGGGAAGAUGGAUGAUGGUUUGAGGAGCUCCACUUCAUUAGAGGGGUUAGAUAUAUCCGACAACAUGUUAUCUGGUAAUAUUCCUAAUUGGAUUGGUAACAUCUCAACUCUUAGGGUUCUUUUAAUGUCAAAAAAUUAUUUGGAAGCUAAUAUUCCAGUCCAACUCAGCCACCUUAGAGCAUCUCCAAAAGACAUAAGAUUUUACUCUUCAAAUUUCAAUUUGCUUACUGAUGUGGCAAAUAAGUGUAUAGAAAAAUACAAUCUCCUCCAAAAGACUCAUCAAAUAAGAAUAAGUUAAUAUUAUUUUAAUUAAAUCUUUCCCACUAUCAAAUUGAAUUGUUGUUAUGUUUUUGAAAGGAAACAUAAAUAAUAAUUAUUGCAGUCUUAUCUUUUCAAUAAAUAAUAAUAAAAUAUUAAUAGAAGAGGGAGAAACUCACUCAGCAAUAUUGAAGAGUGAGAAACAAAUCUUAUUUGAAGAAUCUAAAUUAACGUGUCUUUUGGAGUGUUUAAUAUUGAUAUGACUCUUCAAAUAAGAAGUAGAAUUUUAUUUGAAGAGUCUUUUGGAGAUGCUCUUAGAGGUCUUGAUCUUAUAGACAUCUCUAAAAAUAGUUUGUGUGGGUCCAUGGUAUCUUCCUCCAAUCUUUCAUCAGUGAAACACCUUUAUCUGCAGAAGAAUGCUAUUAAUGGGUUAAUUCCAAAUGAACUGUUUAGAAGCUCUAAAUUAAUCAUUCUAGAGUGAGGGAUAAUAAAUUUUCUGGUAGGAUUCCUUGUAAGAUCAAUGAGCUUUCGAAUCUGCAUGUUCUUGUUUUGAGAGGGAAUUCUCUACAAGGGCAUAUUCCUAAUGAAUUGUGCCAAUUAGGAACAUUGCGUAUUAUGAAUCUUUCACAUAAGAUACUUGAUGGGUCAAUUGCUGAGGAAAAAUCAGGUUUUUAAAUUUUUAUAAAACAUUUUAAAGACCGCUCUCAUAUAAUAUAUAGGAAUUUGUAAUCUAGAAAUCGUACCUUGAAAAUCCAAUUUGGCUUUUUCUGCUGAAAUGAUUUAGGCUCCCAGAUCAUGAUCCGUCACCACCACUCCUGUUAGAUCACGAUCCGUCACCACCACGCUUGCCAGAACAUGAACUGGCACCAAUGAUCUUCCAGGUUAUGAUUCAGGUUUGAUCUGCACUUGAUGUGUGGGCGCCUUUAUCACUACCAAAGCAACUGGCACGAGAAAAUUUUUCUCUCAACAAUAGAGAGAAAUCUUUCUCUGAUCUGUAUAAAGUGGCUGCUCUCUUUUUCUUUAGAGAAAAUAAGCUUUUUUAUAUCACCCUUCAGUGAAAACCCUAGGCUCCAAAUAAUAAAAAUCAAAACUCACGUUACUUGCUUUUUCUAUAGGGGACCCACCUUGUAAAAUAACAUAAGGCCCCUUACACACAAGCUAAUUAAAUGGAGCCUCCCACUAAAUAAUAUAUUUAGGCUUUUGACCCAAAUAGCUAGUUAUCUUGCUUAUUAGUCCAGUAGUGGUGCAAUCAAUUAAAUGAGCUAACUCGGGGAUCAUUUGGCAACAUACAAUAGUGGCUGUAACAAUUAGGCCUGUGAUUAAACUAGCCUAAUUAUUUAAUUUCAAAUCUACUCUACUAAAAGAUUGGAAUUGACCUCCAUAAUUGUAUGCUCGAAUAAUAAUUCGUCCCAAGCCACAUUGAUUUCUUUACUGCAAAAUCCUUUGUACCACAUCAUUAAUUAAAUCGAUAUCUCAACUGUCCAAUCGAUUUAAUUACAUCUUAUUCCUUGAUACUUACUGGUUUUCUCUAAUAAUCAUUUUCAACAUACUAAAUAUAUUGACACACUCUGGCCAGAGAAUUCUAUGAUUAAGUGCCGAAAACCCAUCAAGAGAUGUGUUGUACAAAUUAUAUAUUGUUAAUCUAUAACUCCAAUACUCAUAAAUGCUCCCACCAAGAUACUGGGUAAUCCAGACUACAAGUAUGUGUCAUGCCCAUUGGUAACUCAAAUUGAAUAAUAAUUACAAUCAUGAAAUCAUAAUUAACUCAAGAUUAAGAUUACAGUAAAAUCAAUGCCUAUGAGAUUUAAUAAGUCUGACAAUUAUUACAAAGUUAAUUAAAUCUCAUAUGUGAUCAUGUUCAAUGUAGUCAUACUACAUCAAUAAAUUCAUACAUGAUUAAGACAAAUCAUUCAAUGAAUUUAUUACAGUCUAUAAUUAAAUAAAGUGCCCAACUUUAUUUAUCAACUGCGAACUAAAUUUAUUUAAUCAUAAGAUAACUUGUAUUUAUGUCUUCUGUGAAUCCACAUGGUGAUCACAUAAAUACAUAUAAUAUGAUUAAUUGGACUUUAAUAAAAAUAUUAAUGCAAUUAAGAUAUUUGAAUAAAAUACCUCAUUAAUUUUAUUAAUCAGAAAAAUAUUUAUUACAAUUAAAUAAAUACACAUGCUUUUAAAGAGCAUAUUUUCCCAACAUCAAUACCUUUAUGCCUGGGUAUAUAAUGUGCCAUUUUGGAAAGAAUGAACUAACUAUUAUUUGUAUGACUAUUGUUUGCUUGGUGAAUACACAGUGUAUCACGGUUUCUACAUCGAUUCUGUUGUUAAUAAUUACUGCAAAUCUAUUCUUGAUCUACAAUCGCCUGUUAAACCACGUGUAUCAAUAUAUCAACGAGUAGAAGCAGAAUUUGAGACAAGGAAUAGAUAUGAAUUUUUCAUCGGCAGCAAUCUUGUGUACAUGGCGGGACUGGAUUUGUCAGGCAAUAGGUUGAGCAGAGAAAUUUCCUAGGAAAUUAGGAAACUUCAAAAUAUUGGUGCAUUAAAUCUGUCCAAUAAUUUAUUAUCAAGUGUUGUACCAGAGAGUUUCUCCAAUCUAAAAAUGACAGAGAGCCUGGACCUUUCCCACAACAUAUUAAGUGGUCAUAUUCCUCCUCAACUCACUGAGCUCAACCUUUUAUCCAACUUCAAUGUAUCAUACAACAGCUUGUCGGGCCCAAGCCCAGACAAAGAGCAGUUCGCCACAUUUGAUGAGAGCAGUUAUAUAGGAAACCAUGAUCUUUGUGGUUCCCCGAUAAGGAAGAAAUACAACAGCGAAUUAACACCACCAGCAACAUCAACAGAAGGAGCAGAAGAAGAAGAAGCCGAUUCGGUGAUUGAUAUGGUGGCAUUAAAAUGGAGUUUUGGUGCAUCAUUUUUUACAGUGACUUUGGGUUCGUUUGCAAUCCUUUGGAUAAACUCCUAUUGGCGUAGACUGUGGUUCUACACUUACUAGACCCAAUUAUCCAUUAGAUUAUUUACUUUCAUGCAAAGACAUGAUAAAUAAUUAUCGUUAUCUCUUUGGGCCUAAAUUUGUUAACAGAGCUUCGUUGGGAAGGUUAAUAACAAACUUUAGUUGAGUGUAUAACCAUUGUUUCAAUCUACGUAUUUUUCAUAUCAAUAGUCACCGUUGGGGUGAACAAUCGAUUGAAAAAUAUUUCAAUUUUAUCUUUGAAGAAGUUCAUCAAAUAAAAUAUCUAAUAUAUAUACCCUCCGAAGGGAGCAUCACCGUAUCAUGAAGUCGAGGUAUAUAUAUAAUUUUAUUAUUGAACUAACAAUGGAGCCCGUGGGAAAAUUAUCUUGAAUUUUCCCUCUCCCACUCAAUAUUUUAAAAUUGGUUUUUCCUUUUUAAAACAUACAUAUUGUUAAUUGCAUGCUUCCUAUAAUAUUAUCUAGAUGAUAUCAAAUAUUAUUAAGCAUAUGCAAAUUUCAAACAAUAUAAUGAAAUUCAUUAUUAAUGAAUGACAUGUAUCAUUAUGCAUAGAGUGGCACUACCUAUUCUAUAUGACAUGUUAUCAUGGCAUGUUAUCAUCCAAAACAUAACAUAUAGAAAAACAAUUAAAUAAUCUUAAUUCAUGGCUUUCCUAAUAAUGAAAAAUACAUUAACCCUAAGCCUAAUCUUCAUUGGGCUUCUUGUCAAUGUCCAUCUUUCAUAAUCUUAUUUUUGUUAAUGGACUAGGGGAAAUUGGGCUUUUAAAUUUAUAAUUGGUCCAAUUUUAAUUUUUGGAAGGAAAUAAAUAAAUAAUUAAAUUUUUUUUUAUUAAAAUAAAACUUUUGGACCAAAAAUAAAUUUAAUGUGUUCAAUUUUAUCCAUGCAUUUUAAUCCAUUAAGCCCAAAUAUCAAUUGGGCCUAAAACUAGGAUUCUUUAAGUUCAAAACUGUUUUUUAGACUUAAAUGCAAAAAAUUAAAACUUAUCAGCCCAAAGAGAAAAUCUAUGGAACUAUAGGGAUCGUAAUGAUAAAAAUCAUUAAAACCCUAAAUCCAUCUUUUUCUCUCCCCAGCCGCCAUCACCACAAAGGGCAGCCACUGUUCACAAUUUCCAGCCAUCUCCGACGCCGAGUUUGCUGCCGCCGUCACACCGGAAAUGUACCAAACACCUCCCUCGCGCUGCACGGAAAGCUCCUGCUCGCGCUACCUGCUGCGUGUGCUGGCUGUUGCACGCGAGCGUGCGCUGGCUGCUGCACGCACAGUGUGCGUUGCUGGCUGCGCGAGCAGCACACGCUGGCUGCUGGCUUGCAGCGCGCGCUGCUGGCAGCGUGUGCUGCGAGCCGCGCGCUGCUUGCUGCUGGUUGCCGCUGUCAAUUUCCGGCCUUCGUCGCUUUGAUCUUGAAAAUCCGAGAUUAAUUUACAAAUAUCCUAGGCCAAUUUUUGGCUUACAAAAAUUCUAUAACAGUAAAAUAAAUCAAGAGGGAAACAUGAUGAUAAAAAAUCACCCCUCUUGUUACAGAUCCAAAGAAAAAAUACAACGGAAAAUAUAACCAUGAAUUAAGACAAAACAAAACAUGCUUUAUUCAUAUAUUAAACAAUUAAUAUAUAUCUGAAUAAAUUGUGCCACUCUAAUACAUAAAUUUCAAGAAUGAUUUCAUACGAAAUUCUUAUAUAUUAAUAUGAGAUGGCUCUGAUACCAAUUGUUGGGGAAAAAUUAGGUUUUUAAAUUUUUAUUAAACCUUUUGAAGAUCGCUCUCAUAUAAUAUAUAAGAAUACGUAAUCCAGAAAUCGUACCUUGAAAAUCCGAUUUGGCUUUUUCCGUUGAAAUGAUUUAGGCUCCUAGAUCACGAUCCGCCACCACCACUCCUGUUAGAUCACGAUCCGUCACCACCACGCUUGCUAGAUCACGAACUGUCACCAAUGAUCUUCCAGGUUAUGACUCAGGUUCGAUCUGCACUUGACGUGUGGGCGCCUUUAUCACUACCAAAGCAACUAGCACGAGAAAAUUUUUCUCUCAACAAUGGAGAGAAAAAUCUUAUUCUCUGAUCUGUAUAAAGUGGCUUCUCUCUUCUUUAGAGAAAAAUAAGUCUUUUUUAUAUCACCCUUUAGUGAAAACCCUAGGCUCCAAAUAUCAAAAAACAAAACUCACGUAAUUUGCUUUUUCAAUAGGGGACCCACCUUGUAAAAUAACAUAAGGCCCCUUAUACAAAAACUAAUUAAAUGGAGCCUCCCACUAAAUGAUAUAUUUAGGCUUUUGAUCCAAAUAGCUAGUUAUCUUACUUAUUAGUCCAGUAGUGGUGCAGUCAAUUAAAUGAGCUAACCCGGGGAUCAUUUGGGAACAUACAAUAGUGGCUACAAUAAUUAGGCUUGUAAUUAAACUAGCCCAAUUAUUUAAUUCCAAAUCUACUCCACUAAAAGAUUGGAACUGACUUCCAUAAUUGUAUGCUCGAAUAAUAAUUCGUCCCAAGCCACAUUGAUUUCUUUACUGCACAAUCCUUUGUACCACAUCGUUAAUUAAAUUGAUAUCUCAACUGUCCAAUCAAUUUAAUAACAUCUUAUUCCUUGAUCCUUACUGGUUUUCUCUAAUGAUCAUUUUCAACAUACUAAAUAUGUUGACACACUCUGGCCAGAGAAUUCUAUGAUCAAGUGCCGAAAACCCAUCAAGAGAUGUGUUGUACAAAUUCUAUAUUGUUAAUCCAUAACUCCAAUACUCAUAAUUGCUCCCACCAAGAUACCGGGUAAUCUUGACCAUAAGAAUGUGUCGUGCCCAUUGGUAACUCAAAUGGAAUAACAAUUACAAUCAUGAAAUCAUAAUUAACUCAAGAUUAAGAUUACAGUAAAAUCAACGCCUAUGAGAUUUAAUAAGUCUGACAGUUAUUACAAAGUUAAUUAAAUCUCAUAUGUGAUCCUGUUCAAUGUAGUCGUACUACAUCAAUAAAUUCAUACAUGAUUAAGACAAAUCAUUCAAUGAAUUUAUUACAGUCUAUACCUAAAUAAAGUGCCCAACUUUAUUUAUCAACUGCGAACUAAAUUUAUUUAAUCAUAAGAUGACUUGUAUUUAUGUCUUCUGUGAAUCCACAUGGUGAUCACAUAAAUACAUAUAAUAUGAUUAAAUGGACUUUAAUACAAGUAUUAAUGCAAUUAAGAUAUUUGAAUAAAAUAUCUCAUUUAUUUUAUUAAUCAGAAAAAUAGUUUAUUACAAUUAAAUAAACACAUAUGCUUUUAAAGAGCAUAUUUUCCCAACACCUUCAAGUGGUUUCGUUAUGGUUAGACUUAUUUUUUAUUCUCCAGUUUCUGUUGGAUGUAAAUUAACAACUUCUUAUUGUAUCUCGAAUAUGCUCAUGUUGAUUAAUUGAAAGAACCUGGGACUCGAAAUCUACAAAAUCGAAUGAGGAAUUAUGCCUAAUACUAUGUUGAUUGUAAUAUCAAGAGUGCCUGGUGGUGCCAUAGCUACUUCUUUGUAAGACAGCGAUUUGGAAGCCAUGGCAGUAUGGUUUGGAACCUGGGACUCUUCUUUUAAAAAUGGAAAAACUCCGUUUGCCAAAUCCAAAAAUGUUUUUCUAGAAUCAAUAAUAACAACCGUUAAAUAAAAAAAAGAUAGAUCUAUAAUAUCCAUCCAUUGCAUAAAAUGAAUCAAUGGUUUCUCCUCACUUUGUUCAAGGCUAUGGGGGAAAACAAAAAUUAUCACUCGUUGCUACCCGUCAUCUCUGAAUUUCGAAAGAUCUAACAGCUUUACCAAGCAACCCUCCUUCAUUGCCAACUAACUAAAUCAGUUGACCUUAUCUAUGGCCAUAAAUAGUUCAGAAUCUUCUAAAGUUUGAAUCCUGUAUGUGAUCUGUAUAAGCAUGUUAGAUUUCUUGGGGGGGGGGGGGGGGGGGAGGGGAAUCUAUGCUAGAAAUGGAUGUUACAAUUGAUGCCUUCAGAGUUCACCAAAUAAACUACAACUUUGCUCAUGUAUUCAGUAAAUCUGUUUAAUACCUUGACUUAUAAAGUUAUUAAUAAUAACUUAUGAACAUAUAUAAGCUGAUCUCCUUAUCUAUAAAGCUCGUUAAAAAAGAAAGCACUUACCACUUCUUUGCAAAAGCUCACGGGCAUGAGAGGAAGACAAUGGGAAAAUUUUCAUGAGUUAGGAUUUUUCCAAAAUUCAAUUUGACCCUUCACAGCUUGAAUUGGAGAGUUAUUUUAGAGUAUUUUUAUCCUUAAAUUCAUUUGGAUUUGAGAAGGAAUUUAAAUGUAGGAAUUGUAGAGAGAGGAUUUGAGUUAGAGGGAAAUGAUUCAAGCUUUCAAGUUGAGUUUCUCACCAAAGGGAGUAAGAUUUCUAUCAUUUUAUCUUUAUUUGAAGUUGCAUUUGCAUGGGAAUAAAGUUAAUUUAAAGACUAGUAUGCUUUGUUUAUAGUUAAGGUUCCGAACAAAUGGAUAAAAUCGGUCCCAAGUUAAUUUUUGUAAUUGGUAGAUCAUUUUAGGUGCACAAGGACACUUACAAGGCAUUGUAGAGAUGAAACGCGUGGCCUUCACCGUUUCCUCAAUUCAUGUGCUUUUGUGUGUGUGUGUGUGUUUUGAUAGUUCAUGGUCAAUAAUGAGAUUGGUGAUGAUGUGGAUGAUUUAUUAGUAUUAUAAGAUAUAGAAAUCUAAUUAUUGAGGUGGAGUAUAGAAUUUGGAGCAUAAGGUGUAAACUUGAAAUGUUGACUUAAAUAUUAUUGUAAAUUGAUUUUGACUUAUAACCGACCAAAGAAAUAAUUGAAGAAGCAAAUUGGUUAGUUUCACGUGCACGGCUUUUGGCAAAGUGAAAUGUCAGCUUCGCACUUCACUUGUGAACGUACAAGAUUUGCUACAUAAGGAAAUUGCGGCGUUUCAGCCGGAUUUUGAGAGUUGUUUUCAAGUUUCGUAUAAUCAGAUCCCAUUUCUUUUCUUUGUAUUUGUUCAUUGCCACGACUUUUUUUUCUCCCACAGCUCACGUGGUCACCGUAAUUUUGAUAACUACUCAAAAUGGGUUUCCGCAAUAAUUAAAGAAAAGGAAAAGUGAAUGAAGAAGAGAUACUGAUGACCAUAAUCAUCUAAGGGUGCGUUUGUCAGACUGUAUUGUAUUAUGCUACAUUGUAUUAUUUUAAUGCUGGUGUAUUGUAUUAUGUUGUAUUGCAUUAGCACUGUAUUAUAAUAAUAUUGUACAAUAUUUGGUGCUACACUGUACUGUAUUAUUUUUUUGUGAUUAAUUGAAAUUAAAUAUUAUAUUAUAUUAAUAUAUUUAAAUUGUAUUAAUAUUUUAUAUUAUUUAUAUUAUUAUUAAUUUUAAAUUAAUAUUAUUCAAAUUUAAAUAUUUAUUAUUAGUUAAAAUAAAUUAUAAAUUUAUGAAUAAAUUAAUAUUAUUCAAAUUUAUUGAACACUAGGGUUUCAAAUAUACAAACUGAUAUUUAUAGUAUCUUCGAAAUUCUUAUUGAUAUAAACACAAGUACUAUUAAAAUUGAAUCAUUUAUUGAUUUAUUAUAUGUUAAAGUUGAUGUACAAUAGACACAAUUCACUUGACAUAUUAAAUUCUUUGUCCACAAGCAAAUUCCAAGAAAAUAAUAAACCUAAUAAGAAUCUAAAUAAAUGUGCUUCACUAUAAUUAGUUACGAAGAUAUUAACUUAGUUACAAAACUCAUAUAUCUCUAUCUUAGGAGCAUCUGCAUAGCAUUUUCCCAUGGAUUAUUCUUCUUCCCAGUAUUAAUAUUGCCCCAAUAAGUAGUCUUUGUGAUGUCGCUUCUCUUUUUAUUGGAAAAAACACCUUCAAGCAUGUCUUCUAAGAUCUGGUUCAGCAUCUCUUCACUUAUUCUUUCCCUAGCAAGCAGCAAUCUUAAGGCUUCUCUUCAUCUGUAAAAUUAAUGUUGAAUAUUAGAAUAAGAACAGUUAUGCUAUAUCCAUAAAUAAUGUCAAAUAUCAUCCCUUACCAUGCGGGCUCUCUUCAGCAGCAACAGCACCGCCAUUUACAGUGCUGCUACUAACCUCAAUAACUUCACUAUUGCAGCAACAAUAGCAACACCAGCUUCAGCAUCUUCAGCAAUCACUCCAUCUCCAUGCUCUUCAGCAACAUCGCAAUCUUCAAGAUUUUCAAGAGUCUAAGGCUCCAUCAUCAAAAUUCAAAACUACUUUCAACUUAAUUUGAAGGAUAAAGAAAAUUUAAAUAGAGUGGAAAACAAUGCAUCCAAAUGGGUGUGAUAGGAAUUUCAAAUGCACUCCACUCUCACUCUAGCUUCUCCUAAUCCAUUCAUUCAUUUCUUCCAUUUAAGGAGGCCAUCACCAUUCACCCCUCAAUGUUAUUGCAUGCAAUUCCCAAAAUGCGUUCUGAGCACCCAAUGAGAAGAUGUGAGACAUGAAUAAGUAUGCAUGAAUUCACAAGAAGGCAUAUAAAAUCUUAAGUUAAGCACCAUAUUUCAAACUUCUCAUAUCAUUCCUAGGACAAAAUCGGACCAAAAAAUACAACUUUGCAAUCAUGAGUAACACUAGCGUUAAUUGUAAUUAACCUAAUUCAAUAAAUUGUCAUAACCUAAUUCAAUAAAUUGUCAUCGUUACUUCAGGUUCCACAGUAUUCAAACUCUUAAUACAGCAACCCAGCACGAAAUAGGAACUAUACAGUUAACAAGAUAUAUUAACACAUAAGCUAUACAGAGCAUUUUAAGUUACUUCAUGUUAAAGUUAUUUAAUCAUACUUCAGAUACCCAUAUUAUCAAAACAUGCCCCUUCAAUUAAGGGUCUGUAACCUAUGCCUAGGUAAUAUAUUUUUUUUAAGGAAUAUAAGCAGAAUUUGCUCCUUUAACUUCCACAAGCCGUGCACUCUUCAUGGUUUGUUGGAGAACAAACCAUCUGUGCCAUCUUGGUUUUAUCAUCAGCCACCAACUCAGGCUUCGCCUGAAUCACCAAGAGUUGGGAAAGUGAAACAUUGGGAAAAAGAAAAAAAAAAAGUAAUUGAUUGUUCUAGCAGCAAUCAUCUUCUUCCUGCAAGAAUCAGCCAUGAUUUCUUUUUUUUUUUUGAAAAAUUCAAAUCACCAAUAUUUUUACGUUCUUCUCCAAAUUCUUAUCAUUCACCUCAUUUCCACAACAAUUGCUAGAAAACAGAACACCAACAUUCAAACCAACAAACAAGCCAACAAAUUAAAAAAAAAAAAAAAGGCCCAUCUCCUAAAUUCAUCAAUUCAACACCACAAUCUCUACUACCCUCUUAAUCACUCUCUCUCACAUCAACGCCUCUACACUUUCAGAUUUCAUGAAAAUGAUUUCAAUAGAUUAUUAUUAUUAUUAUUAUUAUUUAUUUGGCUUUAUAGAGCCAUCAACUAAAACACUUGAAUACCUAAAUGGAAAAAUGAAAUCUGCACGUAAAUCCAUUCGAAUCUCGCCGUAGCACCACCGCCGCACCAUGCUGUUGUUCGAAUUCAAAUGACACCGUCGCUCCAAUCAAAGAUUCAGGUGCUGCAGCUGCACCACUCAUUUAAUGAUUCACGCUGCACGACGGCUGGGCUGCUAUGUUUGGCUCUUGAGAAAUUGGAGAAUGGAGGAAAAUCAGUGAAUAGAUGAGUGAGUUUGAGAGAAAAGUAUUGUUUUGGGUUUUGAGAAGAGAAAUUUUGUUUCAUGGUCGUGGCUAAGGAUCGUGUUUGGAAGAAGAAAAUAUUUUAUUUCUCUUUUCGAAUGCAAUGCGGCCUAAUUACGACUCCCCACGGGUUUAUUUUUUGCGGCGUUUGGUGUAUUAUAAUGAGGUUUAAUACAAAGUUAACUUUUUGCCAAACAUGAUAUUGUAUUGAUUUAAUACAAUACAGAGCUUUAAUGUGGUGUAAUGCUGAGUGACAAACACACCCUAAAUGCAUACAAAAUUUUACAAUAGAUUAGACUACCGAUUUGUGCUUUUUCGUCUAAUAAUAAUACAUCUGCUUCAAUAAGAAACAAGUGAAUUGAGGGAUGUCUUUCUUUCGCAAUAUAAAUUCUUGCCAAAAAAUACAUGCUAUCUGCUGGUGAAUUAAUUUUAUAAAAGAAAGGCUUAAAGUUAAAGCUGAGUAAAAAUAUUGGCGUCAAGAACGCUACUGGAAAGUUCAACCGUGAGCUGCAGCCUGCGGUCCUCAACAACCUGAGAAAAUGCUGAGGUGUUGCGCGCCUGCCCACUACUUUGGCAGGUCUAAUGGGACCCACAGUCGGAUUUAUAAAUUAAAAUAAUGUACUUUUGUAUAUUUUUAAAUAAAUAAUAAAAUAUGGAUAAGGAUACAUAUAUUUAUUCAAAUAUUAGUAAAAAUAGAUAUAUUGCUGAUUUUUAAAUUAUACUUCGUGAACCUUUUGGACUAAGCUCUAAAUCUAUGAAUUCAAACUUCCAACACACCACAAAUUAUUUUUAGCCCGCAUGUCGGACUGUCUCCUUUAAGUUUCACUUUGAUUUCUACCACAUCAUUCAAAUAAGUUACUAUAGCAUGUCAGCUAGUUGGGAACUAAAAAGUGUACUUUAUUCAAUGACAGAAUCAGAGCCAUCAAAGGAUUUGUCUAAUUAUGGGCUGGUGCUAUCAGUGUUAAAGGCAAUUUCCUAACGAGAAAUCCUCACCCACAAUAGUAGGAGAUCUCGUCUUUUAUUUAAUUGGUGUGUAUUUUAGAGGUAUCGAUCUCUAAAAUAGAUCCCACAUUGUAAUAUUUGUAGAUUUUCACAAAGAAAAAAAAAUUAAUCCUACAUAAUCAUUGUUCAAUGAAAUUGCAAACUUAAAAAAAAAAAGUCCGGAUGGUUCGAUUAUUAAGAGCAACCAAUAAGCUGAAUGGCAGGGAAAAUAAGCUUAAAGAAAUCCAGCUUAGAGAAACCGAACAAGCACACAUACAUAGAGACAUAUGACUAUCUCAAAGGAACCAAAAGGAAGGUUAAAAUAGAGGCUUCGUAUUUCAUAUCAAUUAUUGAUAUGAAGAAGCUCUCGAUUUCCAACGAGCUGUCCUCCCCGUUUCGAAGCAAGCUUAAAAUUAAACGUGUAUUUGAUUCAUAACUAUCGUCAAAAUCGGUGAUAUUAAUGACAACUCACCUGGAAACUUGAGUAUAGUUUUAGAACCAAACUGAGAAUUUCACAUAAACUGAUACAUACCAGUUUGCAGAAAAGCUAACCGAACACAUAAACAGCACAACAAGUGGGAAAUAUGUAUAAUAAACUAUAGAGGAGUAAAAUAUAAGGGAAAUAUGUGGGUGCACAGCAUAAUUAAUUAUCCAAUAACAAAACUCUUAAGUCUUUUUAUUUUUCCAAACUCCAGGACACAUGCAUGUUAUAAAGUAGCCGGACCAACUUGUGACUGAGGAUGCUUCUCUGAGUUAAAUUCACGUGGAUAAUUAAUGGUACUUGUAGUAAAAAAUAUGAAAGUAAUUCUUAAUCAUAUGCGACCACUCGAAGACAUAGGCCACAUGAUCCAUAAAAAUCCUUGAGAGCUUACAUUAGGAAAUGAUUUUAAUUUGUAAUUAAAAUGUCACAAUUACCUCAGACUUGUUAAAUAGGCACUUAUUAUAGUCAAACCAUUUAUUUAUAAACAAAAAUAACGUAAUCUGCAGUAAUUUUUAUGUUUUCAUAGAACUUUAUGAUCCAAAAGCAGAAGAAUUGCAUCAAUUUAAAUUUAACAUACCACUUGAAAUCAGCCUCAAUCCUCAUUUAGUGGAGUUUUGUCCAACAAUAUUUGAGGCCAGUAAACAUCAAGUUCCCAACAAUGUUCCACUACAUUCUGCCUAAAUGAGUCAAACUCUUAAAAUGACACAAGUGAGGCAAAAGAUGAGAAGCUUGAUAAAAGAUUAGCAGUCAUGACAAGGAUAAUACCUCAAGAAAGUGCAGUACAGAGGCCGCGCGAGAAGUCAGAGCUUGCAAGGCAGAUGCUACUUAGCUUCAUCGUAAAGUCAGUCCAGCAUAAUAUAGAUGCUCCAGGCUACGAAAAUAAGUUCGAGCAUUCAGAAAAUUCUUCAGAUAUAAUUGCAAUUGAUAGUGCUAUCAUAAAAAUCCUUUAUGAAAAUGAAAGAAGGCAAAACAAACUUGGCAUCUCAGUCCAAUGAUCAAGAAUAGCAAAACCCAAAAGAUGUAAACCAAAAAAGUGGGGAUGGUGAAGGAUUUAUAGUUGUCAGAAAAAGGAAAAGAAACCGACAGCAGAUCGCAAAUGGGGUAACUGAGAUGUGCAAUCAUCAAUCCACCUGCGUUAAAAGAGAGAGCAAAGUAAAAAAAUGCAAACGCGUUGUCCUGUUUCUCCCAGUUUUAUUCGAGAGAUUUUUUACUGAAUGUUAGUAUUGUAGAAAUGGUCAAAAAAUGGAGACUUGAUUGUAUCAUUUUGGAUAUCCUCUCUGGAUGUUCUAAUAAUAUGUGUACAAAUCGGUUUUUUAUUUUGAUCAUUAAAUAAUGAGUAACUAAUUAGCCGAUUUUCCUUGUACAAGAAAUCUGAGAUGUUGCUUUUAUAGAUAGAGGUUCCUCAAAUUAAUUGGUAUUAACCCACUGAUAGCUUUAAUUUGCAGCUAAAGUUGCUGCACUGAUGAUGCUACAACCAACAUAGUAUUUGGCAAAACUCCUUAUUUGGAUUUGUAGCAUUUCGAGUCUCAGGUUCUUUCAAUCAACAAUCUCCGACAGAAUACUUAUUUGGAAAGCCAAUAGUAGCUUGUGUCAAUACAUCUAUCAAUGAAAUAGAACCAUAAUCUGCGCCAAUAUGAGUUUAUGCCAAGGGCCACAAACAAACUCAAUAUUACUGUCGCAUAGGUUGCACCAAAACUCCAGUAUAAUGCCACCAUACUAAUUGCAGAUUCAUCUUCUCCUUCUUCUUUGCCUGCUGGUGUUGCUGUCGGUGUUACUGCACUGCUGCAUUUCCUCUUUAUGAGUGAACCACAUAGAUAAAGGUUUCCUUAAUAAUUGUUUUCAUCAAACGUGCCAAACUGCCCUUUGUCUGGGGUUGGGCCGGACAAGUUAUUGUAUGACACGUUGAAAUUUGAUAAAAAGUUGAGCUCAGUGAGUUGAGGAGGAAUUCUACCACUUAAUCAAUUGUGGGAAAGGUCCAGGCUCUCUAUCAUUUUUAGAUUGGAGAAACUCUUAGGUAUAGAACCUAAUAGUAAAUUAUUGGACAGAUUCAAUGCAUGAAUAUUUUGAAGUUGACCAAGUUCCCAUGGAAUUUCUCCGCUCAACUCAUUGCUUGACAGAUCCAGUCCAGUCAUGUAGUUAAGAUUGCUACCAAUGAAAAAUUCAUAUCUAUUUUUUGUCGCAAAUUCUGCUUCUAGUUGUCGAUCUAUUGCGGAAUGUUUUUCAACAGGCGGUUGCAGAUCAAGAGUGGAAUUGUAGUAAGUAACAAUGGUAGGGUUUAAAGACAGAUACACUUUAUAACCCUCAAGUAGUUCAUAUUCAUAAGAGAAAUCAUCAAUUCUUUCUCUCCAGAUUGACACAUUACCCAAGCAUGAAGGUAUUGACCCAUUAAGUCUGUUCUGCGAAAGAUCAAUGAUACCUAAUUUUUUUAUUUGGCAUAAUUGAUUAGGAAUACGUCCUUGCAGAUAAUUUCCUCUCAAAAGAAGAACAUGCAAAUUCGAAAGCUCAUUGAUCUGAUGAGGAAUCCUACCAAAAAAUUUAUUAUCCCUUAAAUCUAGAGUCAUUAAUGCAGAGCUUCUAAACAGUGCAUUUGGAAUUAACCCACGAAGGGCAUUCUUUCGCAGAUAAAGGUGCUUCACUGAUGAAAGAUUCAAGGAAGCUAUCAUGGACCCAGGUAAACUAUUUUCAGAGAUGUCUACAAGCUCAAGACUUUCAAGAUUGUUAAGCUGGACUGGAAAAUUACCUUCCAAACGGUUUUUUGACAUUAAAAGAACCCAAAGGGUUGAGAUGUUACCAAUCCAAUGAGGAAUAUUGCCGGAUAACAUGUUGUUAGAUAUAUCUAAUCCCUCUAAUGAAGUGGAGCUCAACAAACCAUCUUUCAUCUUCCCACUGAAAUGAUUGUUGUUCAAAUAUAACGAACCCAAAUAAGUCAAGUUCAAGUAAUUGGGAAAAAUUUUGCCAUAGAAAUUGUUACUUGAUAGGUCCAACAUAUCUAGAGGGAGGCAACCAGAGACUAUAGGUCGGGGUAAUUCUCCUGAAAAGUUAUUUCUAGACAAAUCCAGUAUAUGUAGCUCUUGCAUCUCGCCCAUUGAAUGAGGAAUAUCACCUUCAAAAGUAUUUUCUGACAUAUCCAAAGACUCCAAUUUCUGAAGGAAAAUACCCAUAUUCUGCGGUAGCUUACCAGUGAAAUUGUUACUGGAAAUAUCUAGAAGACGAAGCAUAUCGUGUUUGGCAUUUGGAAGUAGUGGAAGAAUUCCUGAGAAUGAGUUAUUCGCCAAAGACAGUUUGUAAUCUUGAGUUGUUUUGCAAUAACCAAGUUGGGAAAUUUCCAACCAACUUAUUGUGAGAGAGGUCAAGGAAUCUUAAGUGGUAUUGGUGUAAAAGAAAAGUAGGACUGACAUUUAAAUUGCAGUUGGAUAAUUGGAGAACCUUCAAACAAUAUGUGGGGAGCCAGUUUUCAGUUUUCACUUGCAACAUAUUGUUUCUUGAUGAGAGCAGCAAGACCUCAAGCCUUGAAUGAUUAGCUAAUGAACUAAGGGGGAAUGUGCCUUGGAAAUUGAUGGAAGAGAGAGCCAAUUAUUCAAGUGAUGUGAGGUUGGUGAUUAUAGAAGGCAAGUUUCCACUUAACUGAUUGUAAGAAAUAUCAAGAACUUUGAGAUGGAUCAAGUUGUUGAAACAUUGAGGCAGCUGACCCUCAAAAUUAUUUGCUCCAAGAUUCAACUCUAAAAGAUUCUUCAAGUCACAUAUUCCUAAAAAUGAAAGUAAAAAUAGAAGGCUUACUAUUUCAUAGAAUGAAACUCCUAUAAAAUGUAGUGUUUUGUAGUUUUUAAUUAUGGCAAAUUCAAUCGUAAACCCAAUCUAAGACUUAUAAAAAAGUCAUAAAAUCAAAUUGUCUAAUUAUUUUGGUCAACGUAAAUAACAUUAUCUAUUUAAUUCUUAUAUAAUGUGAUGUUGAUUGCAAAAGUGUUUCAAUUAACCUUAAAAAAAAAAAAAGAACGAUCAACACUUCUUUUCAUCAUAAUCAGCUGCUGCUUUAUUGUUUAAAUUAAAAUUAUGAUUUUCUCUGGAAUAAUUUGAUACUUCGUCUUGUUUAUUGGAUAUUGGUAUUCUAAUCUCUAAAUUAAAAUUAUGAUUUUUCAGUUGUUUUCUUAAAUAAUAGUUUGUCUUAAAAUACACUUAAAUUUGUCUUAAAUUUUUACUCCUCUCUAGCAUAAACAAAACAUGUUUGAAAAGAAUUUACCGGAGGAAAAACAAAAAAAGAAGGAAAAAAGAACUUUUCUUCAUAAUCUAGGAAGUAGCUACCCACAAACGGUUUGUCAUUAUUUCAAAUAUUCAAUUAUCAUGUUUCAACAUAAAAACGCCGAGUAGAUUGUUUACUUCGGUUUCUAGAAAUCUGUUUAUAUUAUUAUUACUCAAUCUAACGCUUCCAAGUUUUUGAAUUUGGCUAAUUCUGCGUCAAGAACUAAUAAUGAGGAUAAAUAAAAAAUUUUAAUUAGAUUUGGGAGUUUUGUCUUAAUUCUUCUAUAUAGUUUUGAUAUAUACUUAUCCAUAAUACUUCAAAAGCAUUGAAAUGAAAAAGCUAUUGAAGACUUCGUUUUUCAUUCAGAACUUUUCUAUUAAAAGAAUCAGAAGAAACGGAGAGAGUGAAAGAAAUGAGGGGAGUCAGGACUCAGCAGACAGUGGUAGGGUUUGUCAAGUACUAAACUUCAUUAAAGAAAGCAGUGGCUCUAAUUCAAAUUUGAGCAUGAGCUAGUAGUUGAUGGAAUAUGCCGGCUGUCUCGAAUCAAAAUAAUGAAGAAAGGGAAUUCAAAAUUAUAUUAAAAUUAAUUAAGUUAAUAUCCCGAAAAGGAUUCAGAAAAAGAAAAAAGAAAAAGGCCAUAACAGUACAAAAAAGAAAUUAAAAGAAAAGAAAAAAACUAGGAAAUUAAAUAGAAGUUAUGAUUGUUGCUGUAUACCUUGAAUUGUAGUUAUUCCACAAUCUCUAAGAUCCAAUGUUUUCAAGUUUGUCAGAUUUGCCAAUCCUACAUGGCCGAUAAAAAUGAAAAUAUUGUUUCAAAAUUAUUGUAGAGCGAUGAGAUAUCUGUGUUCGAUAAACAUCUUGGUAAAUUUGCUUCUUAACUGUGUCUUAGUACAUAGCUUACCUAGCCUUGUUAAGAGCCCUAUAUUGGGUUAUCACGUAGAUCCAAUAGUUGCAGGUUUCUCAAAUUUGAUAAUCCUGAGGACAUAAAUUAAUGUUGAAUAAGACAUAUAUAUAGAGAAAUUCUCAGAUCAAGAUGCUAAAUGUAAAUUUCGUGCAGAUUCAUUAUUACACUAUAUGGUGUUAGUGUAUUUCUAUUCUAUUAAGUAUAAUACUACAUAAUGUAAUAGCAAAUCCACACGAAAUCUGCAUUUAUGCAUAUAUAAGUUUUUCUCCCUCGAUGUGUGUGUGUGAGCAAUUAAGUUGCGCCUUACAUAUCUUGUGGCCUGGAAUGUAUAUACCUUCUAUGGUUCUGGAACCUUCAAUGUUAUUUUCCCGCAGAAUCAAAGUGGUAAGUGAUAUCAGUGUAUUCAAAUAUGGUAAUAUGCUGUCAUUGAAGUGAUUAGCUUCAAGAUUUAAGAUCUUCAGCUGCUUCAAGCUCCCAUUGCUGUCGUAAGCUGCUAAUGCAUGCACUAUUAGUAGCUCACUGACAUUAAUUUUUCUUUUAAAACGAAUAUGCAAAUUGUAUAUCAAAAACCAAAAUAACAAUAAUAAUAAUGGACGAGAAAGAUAUAUACGAUAUACACACCUCUAUUCUCAUAGAAACCUUCAAACGCAUUGAGAGAUAAGUCGAGGCUUUGCAAUUCUUCAAAAGGAUGAAACAGUGAGAAAUUCAUAAGUGAAACUCCAAAAAGAGAGUUAUAAGAGAAGUUGAAUUUGGCUGUAUCAUUAAGCAAGAGAUGCAUCACCCGUCUUGUGGUGGCGUUGCACUUAACUCCAUCCCAAUCAUUAGAACAAUCAGACGACAUUCCAUCAUCAUCAACCCAUGAAGUAAGAAUUUCUUCUGCAUAUUCCGUAUCACUGAUCGAUAUAAAGAAGCUCUUAAGUGCCAACAGACCAAUCCUCUCUUUUUGCAAGCAACAUUUGUAUCCAUGCAUUUGCAUCAAAACAAUAAUCAAAAUCAGUGACAUUGAAAACUUAAUCAAGGUAGUUUCCAUUGCGAAGCAACUUUUCAUUUGGUUAAUUUACUCGCUCUUAAAAUAAUACUUGCAAUAAUGAAGAAAUUCAAUAAUUAUACUAAACAUUUAUAGACCUUGCAAAUUUUUUUUUGAUACAAUGGGGCCUAAUAAAGAUUAGGACAAAACAGAGCGGGGAAUAGUAUUCCCAUACAUAUCAUUACAUAACCAAUAUCCAAUACCCUCUGGUGGGUUAUCAAAAUCAUGAAAACCGAGAGGUAAAGAUCCUACCAACUUGGCCAUGAAAUCAGCAGCAAAAUUAGCUUCCCGAUAUAUAUGCUUUAUUGUAAUUUGCCAAUCUCUAUUCAUCAACUCCUUGAUGGCAUUGAUAAGUGAAAGAUGUGCAUUAGGCUCUGUUCUUGUGGAAGAGAUAAGUUGAAAGAUACAUUGGCUGUCCACCUCUGCCACCAAGUACUGGAUACCCCGAUUCCAUGCAAGAUGAAGACCUUGAAACAAACCCCAUAAUUCAGCAGAAGUCACCGAACAGAGACCAAUGUUCAUGCCAAAUCCAAACUGCCAUUUGCCAUAACAGUCCCUCACCAAUCCUCUAGCACUUGCCAACCCAUUUUUUAAUCGAGAACCAUCUGUAUUCAAUUUGAAAAAGGAUUCCGAGGGAGCUUGCCAGCCAAUUUCUUUGAUGGUUUUACUGGUACGAACAACAUUGAGACCUGCUCUUGCAAUAUGGAUAUCAUGAACCCACGAUCUAAUUUCCGUGACCAUCUGAGUGCAGCAAGGGGCAUUGUGAGUGAAGAUAAAUUGGUUGCGCCAGAACCAAAUUUUCCAAACAGCAACGCCAAAUAAGCAGGCCCAAUCAUCCACAACCUUAUUGAUACCAGCCUUGCCCAAAUUGAAGCAUAACCAGUCACGGAGGUCAAGAGAGAAAAAGGAUUGCUUGAACAUACCUGGAACCAAAUGAUUCCAAAUUCUUUUUGCCACAACACAAUCACGAAGAACAUGGAUUACAUCUUCUUUUUCCUGUCCACAAUAUUCACAGUCCAUAGAAAUUUUGAUGUGUCUCUUAAAUAGCUCCUCUUUUGUUUUAAUUCUUCCGUGCAUUACCAACCAUAAGAAAAUGCGAAUCCUCUGGGGUCCUUUCCAAUGCCAAAUCAAUUUCCAUAUAUGGGCAUCAUUAUUGGAGAUUGGAUUAUUAAGGGAGAUAUAAGCUGACUUAGAUGUGAACUUGCCUGAUUUUGAGUGAGCCCAAAAAGGUUGAUCCUCGUUGUUGUCAUCCGAAGGUAGUUUGAUUGCUGCAAUCUGGAGAAGAAUCUGAUUGGGAAGAAAAUGACCAAACAUGCUCCAAUUCCAAUUUCCCUCAAUAUCCACAAAAUCCGCCACACAUUUAUUCUUCAAUUCAUCCGGUAGUUGAGUUAUAGUAUGAUUAGCAAUGAGAAGCUCUUCUGAAACCCAACUUUGAUGCCAAAAAUUUACCUUAUUCCCUUUUCCAAUCGACCAUCUCGUGCCCUGCAACACAUACUCCCAUAUUCUGUUUAUGCCUUUCCAGAGAUAAGAGUUGCGUUUAUUCUCAAGCUUGGAGGGAAUAAAAUCUGAAUCAAGCCCAUAUUUUGAUCUCAAAACCCGAAUCCAGUGACUGUGAGUAGAGGUUAGCAUAUUCCAUUCAAUUUUCAUGAGGAGAGCAUUGUUCAUGUUUGUAAGAUUUUUAAAACCUAGACCACCUUCAACUUUUGGAGAACAUAUCAUUUCCCAAUUAAUCAAACUGAGUUUACGGCUUCCAUUCUUGCUCCCCCAAAUAAAUCUUCGAGAAAUCCGAUCAAUUUUAUCCAAAAUUCCAUGAGGGAUCCUUGUUGUUUGCAUGGCAAAAAUGGGGAUCGCCUGAAUUACCGAUUGAGCUAGAGUAAUUCUCCCAGCAAGGGAGAGAUGCAUUGCAUUCCAUCCAGACAAUUUUUUAUCAACAUUAUCCACAAUUUCUUGAUAAGUGGCUCUUGUCACUCUGUUGUGAAGUAAAGGCAUUCCAAGAUAUUUGCCAAGAUUAUCUGUAGCGGCAAAUCCCAAUGAAUCACUGAUUUUCCUUGCCUUUUCUGCAGUAACAUUCUUUGAGAAAUAAACUCGAGUCUUCUGUUUGCUAAUCAACUCUCCCGAACAACUACAAAAAAUAUUCAGCACAUUAUUGAUCACAUGGGCUUGGUUGCAAGAAGCCUCAGCGAGAAGAAGUAGGUCGUCCGCAAAAAAGAGGUGAGUAAGAGGAACACCAUUUCUCGAGAGCCGUAUAGGACACCAACUUCCAUUUCUUACUGCCAAAUUAAUUGCAUGACUAAGGCGCUCGAUACAUAGAACAAAAAUAUAAGGAGAAAGAGGGUCACCCUGUCAGAUUCCCCUAGACGGAGUGAAUUCUUCAGUGAUCUCCCCUUCCCAUAAAAUUUGCAUUCUAGCCGUAGUAAUGCACUCCAUUGUAAUCCGAAUAAACUCUUUAGGCAGUCCAACAUCCUUAAGAGUAUCAUGAAUGAAGUCCCACCUAAGCCGAUCAUAAGCUUUCUCAAGGUCCACUUUGAUAGCCAUCUGCCCGAUUUUUCCUCUUUUGUUUCUCAUGGUGUGGAUAAUUUCUUGCGCCAUCACAAUAUUAUCUGUAAUUUGCCUUCCAGGAACAAAGCUUGUCUGGGUUGGUCCGAUCAACUCCGGUAGAAUUCCCUUUAACCUAUUUGCCAAAAUUUUUGUAACAGUUUUAUACAUCACUGGACAUAGGCUAAUGGGACGGAACAUCCUCAAGUUGGUGGGGUUGUUUGUUUUUGGGAUAAGGACAAUAAGGGUCUUAUUAAGCUCUGGAGGGAGGGGAUUGCCUUUAAAAAUAUUGCUCACAAGUUCACAAACUGAUGAGCCCACCACAUCCCAUUGUGACCGGUAGAAGAGAGCAUGAAGGCCAUCAAUUCCAGGAGCUUUUAGAGGGUUCAUUCCGAAAACUGUAGCUUUGAUUUCCUCGUUAAGAACAGUUCUGCUAAGAUCAGCUAAACUGUACUCAUCAAUUCUUGGAAAAGCAUUAGUAAUCGGGAAAUUAAAACUCACUUCAUCAUUACAAGAAAAAAGUUUAGAGAAAAAAUCAAUGGCAUGGGACUUGAUCUCUUCUUUAUUAUAAAUCCACGUACCCUCGCUGCUCUGGAUUGCAUCCACUCGGUUUCUCCUUCUUCUCGUUAUUGUUUUUCUGUGAAAAAAAGCAGUGUUUCUAUCCCCACAUGAAAUCCAUUCUCUCCUUGACUUUUGGUACCACAAUAACUCCUCCUGGGAUAGUAUGGUUUCAAGUUCCAUCUUCAAAUUGGACUCAAGCUCAAGAAGCCGGUUUGAAUCAAAUUUCUCCAGAGCAUGUUGAAUACCAUUUAAUCUUGCCAAUAAACGCCUUUUCCUUUUAAAAAUAUUCCCAAAAUUCUCUUUAUUCCACACACUAACUUUAUCCACAAAGUCAUGAGCAGCCCGAAUAUAUCCCUUAGAGUUGCACCAUUCCUUAGCCACUAGAGAUUGGAAAGACUGGUCCGUCAACCAAGCUGCCAAGAAACGAAAUGGCCUAACAACAUUCAUUUUCUUCAAACUACGGCCAAAUCUGACAAGAAUCGGACGGUGGUCAGAAUGAAUUUUUGGAAGAUGUAAAACUGAAGCUUCCAUAAAAGACACAUUCCACUGGUCAUUGCAUAUGGCUCGGUCUAAUCUUUUAAAGAGAGAUCCCCUCGACCAAGUGAAACAAGGCCCUUUAAAAUGUAGAUCCAUAAGCUGAUUAUCAUGAAACCAUUUGUUAAACAGUCUACAAACACCAUUGCCUUUUUUUGAACCUCCUUUUUUCUCUGAAACAUGUAGGAUUGAGUUGAAGUCUCCCCCUAGUAGCCAUGGUCCUGUAACUGAAUUAGCUACCAGGUCAAGAUUGCUCCAUAGCUCCCUCCUCAAAUUUGGGUUGGGGCUAGCAUAAACGGCAGUGACCCACGACCAAUUACCAGAAAAAUCUGUGACUUUAAAAUGAAUGUACUGCUUGUGAUUAAAAACAAACUCCAUCCUGAAUUCUUCUUUCCAUAAAAUCCAAAUACCCCCUGCAAAACCUUCAGCUUCCACUCGAUGCGAUGACUCAAAACCACUACGUUUAAUAAAGUUAUCAGCUUUAACUCCACUGAUUUUAGGUUCCAAAAUCGCAACAAUAUCAGGGUUAUAAAUUUUAUUCAUUAUGAUAAAAGCUCUUCUAAAGCCCGGUGAAGCCACCCCUUGGCAAUUCCAAAAAAGGAUAGAUAAAUUCAUUAAAAUAAAGAGAAUAAUAGGAGGAAACCGUUCAAACCGAACUUCAUUCUGACUCCAUGUUGUCCUCAUCUUCCAAAGAGGUUCCACUAUCAUCAGAUUCUGAGUCACUUCCCUCACCUUCACCCUUAAAGCUCUCAUCAUCCGGGUCAUCUUCAUCAUUGGCAUUUAUUACCAAAUCCUCAUCAGGGGGUUUGUCUCGAUUUUCAAUAAGUAUAUUAGGAUCAGCAAGCUCUAAAUUUGGUAAAGAUGGAACUAAACUGACCCCCUUAGAAUUCGAAUGAAAAUCUUGUCGAGAAACAAAUUUUAUUGCCGUGUGUUUUACUGGGUCCAAGCUAGUGGGAACAAUGGUGGGGAUAGGUAGGUUGGUUGAAGUUACAGGGAUUUUUGACUGUGAACAUGACACUGUUUCUACAUGCAUGUGAGUUGGUGAGGUAACAAGGUUUUCUUUCAAGCAUGGGUGUUUGGCUUUUUUUUCACUUAAACUUUGCAUAGCUGGAGAGUUGACGUUUGUAUGGCUAUUUGUGGUAGUAGGUUUCUUGGGAUUCUUUUUGGUUUGUAUUUUAAAAUGGAAAGCUGGCUGAUCCUUCUCGGUUAUGGGCCCAUUGUAGCCUCUAGGGUGGGAAAACAUUCUAUCCUCAUCAUUAUCCUUUUCGAGCACUUCAAACCGUGAUCCCCCUUCAAAUUUGGCAUCUCGAUGACGAGUGGAAAAAUUAUUAUAGCCACCUCCAUUGUUGACUCUUCCCCUUCCUUUUCGGCUGACAAUCAUCCAAGGCCCAAAUGAAGGGUUUGCCGGAGUAAUUGUAGAGGACGACGGUUGAUCACCACCACCACUACUGUGACUGUUCCCAUCCUCAUUAUUUUCUGAGCUCUCUGUUUGUCUUGUCCUUGUGUUGGGCUGAUGACAGUUUUCAGUCCUAUGACCAUAAAUCCCACAAUUAAAACAAAUAACAGGUAAAUUCUCAUAUUCCACUUUUUGCAUUUUGCCAUCGAGAAAAAACUGUGAACAAAGAGGUUUCUUAAGGGAAACCUCAACCGCAAUACGUGCAAACUUCCCUCUUGUUAUUGAUUCGGUAUUGUAAUCAAUUCGAAUCACUUUUCCAACGACAUUCCCGAGCAUGCGAAGAACCUUUUUAUGAUAAUAGUGUAGAGACAUUCCCGGUAAUCGGAUCCAAGCAACAAUGUUUUCAAUAUCUUCACUGGAACCAUCGAAGUGAGGGUUCCAUUGUUGCACAGUGAGAUAAUGACCGAGAAUGGUCCAAGGACCUUGUGUUAGAGCAUAAUGGGCGUCCCCUUCUGUUUUGAACUUAACCAGGAAGAAAUCAUUCUCUAGGUCAAUAACAGAGAAACCUUGGGUCGUUUUCCAAACCUCAUUUAACUUGUUGCAGAGUGCCCGAUAGCCAAGAGUUCUCCCGAGAAGUUUGACAACAACCGUGUUUCUCCAUGGUUUCACCAGCUGUGCUUGGAUCUUUUCUGAGAAGGAAAUGGAUGGGAUGCUUCCCUUUUCACUAACAACAACGUCUUCAGGAUCAAAUUCCAAUUCUUCUUCUCUACCCAAAGGCUCCUCUUCCCCAUCAUUCUGAUCUUCCAUUAACUUAUCUUUAAAAGAUAGCGGAAGUGGAUUUUCAUCAUCAUUCCCGUGACUCCUAAAUCUUGCCUUUUUAGUUGAACGUUCCUCCGCCAGUGGUGGUGGCGGUUCCACUAAGAAGAAAUACCUUGCAAAUUUAUUGGGUAGGAUUACCGACAACUCAAAUCAACUAAGAAGAAAUAUCUUAACUGGCAAUAUAAUUUUGACCAUAGACUUGCAAAUUAUACAGAAACCCUUGAUUUUAUGUGAAAAUAAUUUUGAGACUUUUGGGAAAAAAAACAAAAAGGCAUGUUUGACUAAUUAUGAAACUAAGGAAAUCAUAUUUGAUCAUGUAAACAUAUUUUGAGGAUUUCAGUGUCUUUUCUCUUCAUUGUCUUAUCUACUUAAUCGAUGUCUCUUCAAUUUAUAUUAGAACUUAAUGAGACUUUCGGAAGAAAGCCAUGCUCUCGAUAAUGCUGGGCAAAAAGUCCAAAUUAAGGGUAUGAUCAAUUAUCUAUUCCAGUAUUGAUUCUCAAUUCCUCUUCAUUGAAAAUAAUUUGAUUGGAUAUUUGGUAAAUUUAUAUUAGGAUAAUUACCGUUCAACUUUUCACAAACUGCAAAAUAAUAGAUGACUACAAAAAAGUAUUGACUCAUCAUUUUAUAUAUCUUCACAAAACUUUCUAUUUUAUUACUAUAUAUUUACAAAAACUUAAAUUAAUAGAGAACCAAUAAUCCACUAUUUCUCCAAAUAUCAUAUACAUGUUUUGGUUAAUUACUCACAAAAGUGUGUGGUGUAUAAUGUUACAAACAUACAAGUUCAAUUAAAAUGACUCUAGUUUUCUUUACAUUGCGAGUUGCGAGCAAAAGCGCUUUACUAAUUCUACGUGGAAAAUAAAAGUUGACUGACUUUUUCAACAAACAAGCCGACGUCAAAGUCUUUUUCCUCCAGCAGUUGAUGGCAAUUUUCAUUAAUAAUAAGAUAAAGUUGAUUGACAAUUUAAAUAAUUUAAGGGUACCAUUGGGUUCACAUUGAAUUAUCAAAUAAUCUAUCUGACCAUGACUCUCAAAUAAUGAUGGGUGGGGCCAUUUAUUCGUUCCUCAUUCAAGUAUCUCAGCAGCCAUAAUUUACUUGAGGAAAGACUUGAUCAUUGAAGUUGAAAAUAAAAGCUGACUGCACGCAAAUUGACCGGCGUUUAUGCAACAACCCAAGUUGACUGCAGAGAUAAAAUUUUACACUUGUUAAUUUUACAGGAAAUUAAUAAAAUCCGAUUAUUGAAUUUUAUCUCUGGAAAUUAAUAAUCUAUCCCUCCCAAACUGCAACGUCACAGAUCCCAUUAUCAACCCAAGGAGUAAGAAUGUUGUCAGCGUAUUCAUUAUCACUCACCGAUACAAAGGAGCUCUUGAUUUCCAUUAAAGCAAUCCUCUCUUUCUCCAAGCAACAUUUGACUCCAUGCAUCUGAAUCAAAUCUAUGGCAAACCACACUGAAAACCUAAUUAAAAACCUUUCCGUUUUUAACCUAAGAUUAAACUUUAAUUUAAUUUGUUGCACUCUCAAAGCUUAUGUCUCGCAAGAUAUAACUAUAUAUAUUCGGAAUUUUUUUAUUAAAAAAUAAUUAUUUUGAUUGUAAGAAGGUAUAGUUAGUAAUUUUACAUAUUAUAAAGAUUGACAAUCCAAUAAAUAACUGUUAAUUAUAGUGAGAUAGUGAUGUAACGGAUUCUAUAAAAAAACGCUGAACAGGAAAACUAACAAAUUAUACAAAAGGGUAAAUUGAUGCAGCUAGGGUGAUUGAUAUAGAUAGGAAAUUUUUAAUAUUCUAUUGAUUUUAAGAAUACUUGGAAUAAAAAAUAAAAUAAAAAUUGUGUUGAUUCUGCAAAAUAUUUUGAAUUUAGUUUGCGUCAGAUCUCGAUAGUUCAAAGAAUGACUUAAAGACAAUAAGAAUGGAUUUCAAACAAAGAGUUUACUAUACAUAAAAUAAUGAGUAUCUAGUAUUGAGUCUUCCUCAAAGACUACGAAUGAGUAAUGACGCUUAUGUAUGUCAACUCGAUCGGACUUAAACUAGCGAACUCCAAUUUGAGCAUUUUCACGAGAAGGGUAAACUAGCGAACUCCAAUGAGUAUGACUUCAUAACUUACACAAACAUUUAAAAAUUCAAUUUAGAUAUCUAAGACAAGGGUAAACUUCAAUUUACUCCCUGCUUAAAUUGUUAAUCCUCAAUUUAUUUCCUAAAAAUGUGAAAAUAUUAAUUUACCUCAAUUUUUAGUUAAGAAAACAUUAAAAAAAAAUAUAUCAAUGUGCCCGCAAUUGCCCUCAUCUUUUUAAAAAAAAUGGGGAUAAAUUGAGAUUUUUAUACUUUUUAGAAAUAAAAUGAAGAUUGUCAUUUCAUCUAAAGGACAAGACCUGAUUGUACCAAGUUAUUUUAAUUUUCUAGUUUAAUUACAAUGUAAAAAAAAAAAGGAUUUAUUCAAAAUUUGGCCAAAGCCCAAGUCCAAUGCUUUCUUCUAUACUCCUACAGCCCAAUUAUUAAUAAAAUUAUGAUUUCUACUUUUUAAUUCAUUAAUUUAUUUUAAUUAAAAUUAAAAUUAAGAAAAAAGUUACAUUCGGAACAUUCGGGAUGGUAUUGGUAUUUUAACCGAUAGGAAUUCGUUGCCUUUUUUUAUCCCGAUUAAAAAAUGGUACCGGAUUCGUACAAUUCUUUAUUCCAAUUAAACAAUCAUUAGGAAUUAGUAUUGGACAAUCCCAAUCAGGAUGUACUGAUUACCAACAUUAACAUUUAGGUCUACAAGUUAAUGGGUUUUUAGGUGGGGGAAUGUGAAACCAUAUGGUCAUGUCAUCUAUCCUAAUGAAUUAAUAAAUAAUUGAAGUGUUUUAAGCAACAUUCAAAAAAAUGGAGAGAGCUUUUUCUUUUCCUCGGGUAUUCCAAAAAUUGUGUUUAUUUCAAACUUAAAAAGAUAACACUCAAUGAAUUAUUAGAAGAUGAAGACAAUUUUUUUCUUUUUUUGGAUAAUUUUUUUUCCUACUGCUACACCUCCAUCAAAAUCAAUAUAACAUUAAAGGAAAAUUGAUCAAAACCCUUUGCUGCUAAAAAGAUUUUAAUAAUUUUUAACUUUUCUGUCUUUUAUUAUUUUUAUAUUUGAUAUGGUAAGACCGCCAUUGAUGUAUAAGAGUUGUCAGGAAUAAAAUAAUAAAAGACCAAAAAGUUGAAAGUUAAGUUAUGAGGCUAAUGUCUUGUUAAAAUUUUUCAGAAUUUAGAUGUGCACGGUUAACAUGAGUUUUGUUGAAUGAACCACUAAAAUUGCGUUAUUAUGCCAAAAGGACAAGGAUCCUAAUCCAUGUCAAAAAGGGACUGAAUUGAGAGUCAAAUAGUAAAGAUCAAUAAAGAAGGGAAAAAGUAUCAGUCAUCCUAAUAAAAACCAAUCAAAAGAGAGAAAGAAAAGGAGAAGUCAAUGAAGCGAAAGAAAAAAAAACACGGAUCAAACAAGUUGAUCACUGUUCUAAUACCACUCGAUUUAAACACUCCAAGACCUUAAAGAACUAACAAAGACUCAAUCAAGAGCACACAAAACCCUAGAUUGAUCGCAGCAAGCUCUCUUUGAUAUACAUAAAUCUAGGUGGAUAAAUGGAGUUAGAGAGUGAGGUACAGCGAACAAGAUUUGAUGCCUACUCGCAAAAUACGGAGUGGAUGAGAUUGAGAAGAGCAGUGUCUGAUUAGCAUUUUAAAGGCUGUUAAAACAGAGACCCAGAAGCUUCCCGCUCUUCUUUUAACCAACUUAACCUACCUCUGACCCAGUGUGACUGAACCAAAUCACGUGCCUUGAACGUGUGUUUAAAUGACAGCGAUAGCCAGUUGAGGUAAUGUCGUUUAAGCUUUUUGAUUCCGAUGCGCAGGUGCUCCAAGUAAACUACAUAUUGGACCGAUAUUAAAUUCUUAACUAUAAACCGACGCCUUCGUUUAAUACUGUUUUCAGAUCAACUCUUAUCUCACAUGCACAUUUUAGGCAAAAAGGUGAAACCCACCAAAGCAUGCACCUUUCAUAUCUUGUUUCGAUCACCAAAACAUAGCAUACUAUGGUAGUAAGAGAAGUCGAUAUACAGCCGAACAUAAGCUAUUACGUGGUUCACCAAAUUAAUUCUUUGGUAAAUUAUAAAUCAUGGACUAUGCUAAGUACGUGAAUUUUGGAUUGCAAAGCCCAUAAUAAAAAUUGUAACGGGCUGUUUGCGCAAAGUAGAUGAUAUCUACUUUUAUCCUUUUUGUAAUUUCGUUUAAAGCUAUUUUUGUAAUAUAAAUAAGCUGAUUCAUCAUUAUCUCAAUAUGACAAUUUGCAGACUAGUUUUGUAUUCUUUUAGCCCCUGAAAUUUUAAUAUUAAUAAUAAAUUACGAAUAUGUGAGUCAAGCGUGUCACCCGUACAAGAAAUCUUCAGAAUCAUAUGGCAGAUGAAGUGCACAACAAGGCAUAAAAAUUAACACAUUAUAUAAAAAUUAAUACAUUAUUCAAGAACCCAGGUUGAAAGCAACCGACUAAAAUUAAUACAUAAAAGUUUAAUUACACAUAACAGAAAGAUACGGUAAACUAUGGUCUAGCACGAUCACGGACGAAAUAUACAAAUUUCACAAGCCAAUAGAAACACCAAUCAAUACAUGCAUCAAUGAAACAAAACCAUAGCCAGCGCCAAUAAGAGUUCAACCAAAGGAUCGCAAAUAACCCAAGCAUGAAUGUGACGUACGAUGCGCCAAAACUCCAAUUGAAUGACACCAUAUCAAUUGCAGAUUCAUCUUCGUCUUCUCCUUGAUAGGACGACGUUGCUGGAUUUGCCUCUGCUCUGGUGCAACUCUUAUUAACUGUUGGACCACAAAGACCGAGAUUACCUUUGUAACUCUUUUCAUCAAACGUGCCAAAUUGUCCUUUGUCUGGGAUCAGACCUGACAAGUUGUUGUACGACACAUUGAAGUUGGAUAAAAAGUUGAGCUCAGUCAGUUUAGGAGAAAUUAGGCCACUCAAUUUAUUGUGACAAAGGUCUAGGCUCUCUGUCAUCUUCAGAUUGGAAAAACUCUCUGGUAUAGAUCCUGAUAAGUAAUUAUGGGACAGAUUCAAUGCACGAACUUUUUGAAGUUCUCCAAUUUCCGCUGGAAUUUCUCCGGUCAACUCAUUACAUGACAAAUCUAGUCCAGUCAUGUAGUUAAGAUUACUACUGUUGUAAACUUCAUAUCUAUUCUUUGUCACAAAUUCUACUUGUACUCCAUUUGCUGCUGUAUAAUCAUCUCCAUAAAACUCCAAGUCAAGGUUAGAGGAAUUGAAGUAAAUACCAAUAGAAUCAACAUCUAAACUCCAAGAAAACUCACGUUCAGAUCCAUAAAGAUCAUCAUUUCCUGCUCUCCAGAGUGACACAUUAACAAAACAUGAAGGUAUUGACCCAUUAAGUCUGUUACGUGAAAGAUCCAUGAUACCUAAUUUUCCUAAUUUAGACAGUUGAUUAGGAAUAUGACCUUGCAGAUAAUUCCCUCUCAAUAUAAGAACACGCAGCUCCGAAUGCCCAUUUAUCUGAUGAGGAAUACUACCAGAAAAUUUAUUAUCCCCUAAAUCUAAUGUCAUCAACUUGGAGCUACUAAAGAAUGCCUUUGGGAUUGAUCCACACAGAGAAUGUUGAAAACAGCAGUAGUGAGGAGGCAAAGAUUGACCUUGAAGCCAAGCUGGCAUGCCACCUAAGCCUCUGUAAUCUGCAGCCAGCUGACAUGGAAGAUGAGUCAAGAUUAUUGAGGUGGCAGAACAGCUGUGCUGAAGAAUAUCAGCACAUAAGCAUGGAGCAGCUGAAUCUUCUGGAAUUCUAAAAUGAUUGGCUCAUGCCUGCCAUUCUGACAAAUUUGUUUUGUGUGUAAUAUUCUUUAUUAGCUGUCAUUAUUUUCUUGUCUCUAUAUAUACUACAUCUGCUCUGUAAUACGAUCAUCGAGUAUGCAAUAAUAAAGAAAAAGGAAACUUUGUCUUGUUCACUCUGCUAGCAACACCAAAGCAAUUCUCUAGAAUUUAAGUUGGUAUCAGAGCCAUCUUUUAGCUAUGGCAAGCAGCAGUGACAAUGAAACAAAUGUUAAUCCAACACAGGUUGAUUCAAGUGAUCAACCAGAUGAAUUGAACCAAAACACUGAGCCACAGAAUCCAGGCCUUAAUACCAGAAACACAGCACAAAUAAGUGCAUCACCAACCCAGCACAUCACUAGCAACACCUAUGUCUUCACUACUCCAAUCAAACUCACUCAAAGCAACUUUAUGCUCUGGAAAUCACAAGUGAUUUCUAGCAUUCGAGCAAAUGAGCUUGAGGGGUUUGUUGAUGGCAGCCAUGUCUGCCCUCCUAAGGUCUUCAUGAGUCCAGGACCAAAUCGAACCACCAUAACCACACCUAACCCUGAAUACCAGAUUUGGAGGAAACAGGAUCAUAUCCUACUGAGUUGGCUACUCUCUUCACUAAGUGAGGGAGUCCUAGGCACAGUGGUAGAUUGUUCCACCUCCUGUGAGGUGUGGACAACUCUAGCCAACCAAUUUGGUGCUAGAACAAGGGCAAGAAUCCUAUAUCUUAGAACUCAAAUUCAAACCACUAAAAAGGGUUCAUCAACCAUUCAUGAAUACUACUCAAAAAUGAAAACUUUAUUGAACUCACUUAGAGCUGCAGGGAAUAGCAUGAAUGAUGAUGAUUUCAUCAUGUGUGUGCUUGCUGGGUUGGGGCCUGAAUAUGACUCAGUAGUCACCAACAUCAACUCAAUGCAAGAGAGUCCCUCAAUCUCAGAAGUGUAUGGUAUGCUUUUGAGUCAAGAAAACAGAACUGAGCAAAACUUGAGCUCAGGGAAUAUUGAAGCCAACUAUGCUCAAAUGAGGAAUGGAAGAAGGAGCUGGAAUAAUAGUGAAAGAGCUGCCCAUCAACAGCUGCCUGGAAUUGUUUUUAGAAAUCCUGGAAACAACCCCACAAACAACCAAACCAAUCAGAACCCUCAAGACAAAGGGAAAGGAAAAGCAGUGGCUGAUGACAAUGGUUCUGAUCCAAAAGGGCCAUGCCAAAUCUACUGGAAAAUGGGACACACAGCAGCUGAGUGUUGGCACAGGUUUAAGAAGAACUUUGUACCUCAGCCAAACAGAAGAAGAGAGCAGAGGGGUGCUUAUGUUGCUGCAGCUGAAGGUCAAAGCAGUGGAGCCUGGUACCUUGACAGUGGUGCCACCAAUCAUGUGACUAACACUCUUGGAAAUCUCAGCAUCAACUCUGAAUACCAAGGUAAAAAUAAGCUAGCUGUUGGUAAUGGUGAAAAGCUUUUAAUUAGUCAUAUUGGAUACUCUGCCUUGCCCACAUAUGAUCCACACAUGCACAUUACCUUGACUGAUAUAUUAUAUGUGCCUGACAUAACCAAAAACCUGAUUAGCAUUUCUAAAUUGCUGCAUGACAAUGAUGUUGAUGUUGAGUUUCAAAAAUCUGUUUGUUUUAUUAAGGACAAGAGACAAGGAAAAAUUCUGGUGAAAGGAGUGGCUAGAGAUGAGCUAUAUGAGCUGCUAUCCUGAGCAGGAACAAAAAUCCUCAUGCUGUUUUAUUUUCUAUUUUGUCAAAUUCAGAGUCAAUAAAUAACAGUAGUUGUCCAGUGUCCAUGUUGUCCUUCAAUUCAAGUAAUGAGUCAGUCAAAGUUAGUGUUGAGUCAAAUAUAGCUGAUGAGUCAAGUAGCAACAAUCUGCAAGCUGCUGAAGAAAUUGAUGUAUGGCAUUCCAGACUAGGACACCCUAGUACUUCAGUCCUGAAAAAUACCUUGCUAUCUUGUAAUCAGCUCAAAAUUAAUAAAGAUAUUGUUCCUUCAUUUUGCUCUGCAUGUCAAUAUGGAAAGCAGUCAAAACAAUCAUUCAAAAGCACUGAAACCAAAACUAAGACAGCCCUUGAAUUGAUUCACACAGACCUUUGGGGACCAGCACCAAUUCUGUCCACUCAUGGACAUAGAUACUACAUCUCCUUUGUUGAUGACAAAACAAGAUACACAUGGCUCUUUCCUUUAGUAGCCAAGUCUCAAGCUCUUGAAACCUUCAUUACCUUUAAAAAUCAGAUCGAAAAGCAGUCGAACUUAACAAUCAAAGCACUACAAACAGACAUGAGAGGAGAGUUCAAAGCCUUUGAACCAUAUUUGAAAAGAGAGGGAAUAACACUAAGGCAUUCAUGUCCAUACUUACAUGAACAAAAUAGCAAGGUUGAGAGAAAACACAGACACAUUGUGGAGACUGGACUUACCUUACUUGCCCAAGCCAAAAUGCCCUUAAAAUUCUGGCAAGAAGCUUUCAGCUAUGCUACUUUCAUUAUUAACAGACUUGCUUCACCUGUGCUCAAGAACAAGACACCAUUUGAAUUAUUAUACUCUCUCAAACCAGAUUAUACACAAAUUAAAAUCUUUGGCUGUGAAUGUUUUCCAUUUCUUAGACCAUACAACAGACACAAAUUUGAUUUUCAUACCUCAAAAUGCAUCCUAUUGGGGAUCAGCAGUGCUCACAAAGGUUAUGUUUGUAUGAACAAUUUAGGAAGAAUCUAUAUCUCAGCUAGUGUCAGAUUCAAUGAAAAAUCCUUUCCUUUCGAAAAUGAUUCUAGCUUUAGGAAACAAGAGUCAGUAAAGGAGAGUGAUGAAGUUGCUUUACUUGAGAAAUUUCAGGUUGUGUCAUUCUUUGUUAAUAGUUCCCAUGAUCUUACACAAGUGGCAACAGCUCAUAGCAACUCUCCAGACACUACUGGAAACACAGAAUGCAUCCCAAGUCCAAUCCAGAAUGAAAUACAACAGGUAAAUGACACUGACACAAUAUCAGGUAGCUUUUCAACUUACAGUCCACCUCACAUUACAGAAACAAACAACCAAAACCUUCCCACACAAAAUGCCUUACCUUCACACCCCAUGGUAACAAGAUCCAAGGCUGGCAUCUUCAAACCAAAGUUAUACCAGGUUUCCAGUAAAACACAACCUUUCCUUCCCAAAAACACAUUUGAUGCCUUGAAAAAUCCCAAGUGGAAAAGGGCAAUGGAGGAAGAGUAUCAUGCAUUGAUGAAAAAUAAAACCUGGACCUUAAUACCAAACAAUCAAAAUUUCAAAUUGAUUGGAAAUAAGUGGAUCUACAAAGUAAAGGAAAACUCAGAUGGCAGCAUCAAUAAGUAUAAGGCCAGAUUAGUUGCAAAGGGAUUCUUGCAGACUCCAGGACUUGAUUUCAAUGAAACUUUCAGCCCUGUUGUUAAGGCUGCAACUAUUAGAAUCAUCCUAACCAUGGCUGUGAGCAAUGACUGGUUACUUAGGCAAGUGGACAUAAAACAAUGCCUUCUUGAAUGGUGACCUGACAGAGGCAGUAUACAUGCCACAGCCUGAAGGUUUUGAAGACAAGAACAGGCCAAGCUACAUUUGCAAACUGGAAAAGGCUUUGUAUGGAUUGAGGCAAGCUCCGAGAGCAUGGUUUGAUAAACUAAAAGGUGCCUUGAGUUGUUGGGGAUUCAAGAAUUCCAAGAGUGACACAUCUCUAUUUUUCAGAAGAAUUGAAUCAAAGAUAGUCAUCAUGCUCAUAUAUGUAGAUGAUAUCAUAAUCACUGGAAGUGACAGUCAAGGUAUUGAGGAAGUCAUUAAAGAUCUAAAUACAUCUUUUGCUCUGAAGGAUCUCGGAAAUUUAAAUUUCUUUCUUGGGAUACAAGUUCAGAGGAGUCAAAACUCUCUUCUUCUCUCUCAAGUGAAAUAUAUUCAAGACUUGUUGACCAAAACAGAGAUGACAGACUGCAAAGGAAUAGAGACACCCUUCAGCACUUCUGAGAAAUUAAAGAAGGGUGUUGGGAAUAAAUUCCAUGAUCCUACACUCUAUAGAAGCGUCAUAGGAAGCCUGCAAUAUGCGGUGCUGACCAUGCCAGAGCUUGCUUUCUCAGUUAACAAGCUCAGCCAGUUCAUGUCUGAUCCCAGACAGCCACAUUGGGUGGCAUGCAAAAGAGUGCUGAGGUAUCUCAAAAACACAAUGAAUAUGUGUUUAAGUUUCAAAAAAUCUGAGCAUUUGGAUCUCAUUGCCUACACAGAUGCAGAUUGGGCAACUGAUCCAGAUGACAGAAGAUCCAUAAGUGGAUACUGUGUGUACUUGGGAGAUAAUCUAGUUGCUUGGAGCUCGAGAAAACAAGGCAUGGUUGCAAGGUCAACAGCAGAGUCAGAAUACAGAGCAAUGGCUCUAUGCAGCACUGAAAUCACAUGGAUAAAUUCUCUACUUGGUGAGUUGAAGAUGGAAGUUGAAAAUGUACCAAUUAUCCUAUGUGACAGCACCAGUGCAGCAGCCAUAGCAGCAAACCCAGUGUAUCAUUCUAGAACAAAACAUUUUGAGAUAGACCUUCACUUCCUCAGAGACAAAGUUACAAAAGGUGAAUUGGAAAUAAACUAUAUUGGCAGCAAUGAUCAAAUUGCAGAUGUGCUGACCAAGCCAUUACCACACCACAAGUUUAGCUGUUUUAGAAGCAAACUCAAAGUCAUUGACAAGACCUUGAAUUUGAGAGAGGGUGUUGAAAACAGCAGCAGUGAGGAGGCAAAGAUUGACCUUGAAGCCAAGCUGGCAUGCCACCUAAGCCUCUGUAAUCUGCAGCCAGCUGACAUGGAAGAUGAGUCAAGAUUAUUGAGGUGGCAGAACAGCUGUGCUGAAGAAUAUCAGCACAUAAGCAUGGAGCAGCUGAAUCUUCUGGAAUUCUAAAAUGAUUGGCUCAUGCCUGCCAUUCUGACAAAUUUGUUUUGUGUGUAAUAUUCUUUAUUAGCUGUCAUUAUUUUCUUGUCUCUAUAUAUACUACACCUGCUCUGUAAUACGAUCAUCAAGUAUGCAAUAAUAAAGAAAAAGGAAACUUUGUCUUGUUCACUCUGCUAGCAACACCAAAGCAAUUCUCUAGAAUUUAAGUGAGAAUUCUUCUGCAUAUAAAGGUGCUUCACUGACGAUGAAGGAUUGAAGGGAUAUAUAAUGGACCCAGACAAAUUAUUUUCAGAGACAUCUAAAAUUUCAAGUGCUUCAAGAUUGUUGAGUUGGACUGGAAUAUCACCUUCCUAAAGAUUUUUUGACACUGAAAGAAGCAAAAGACUUGACAAGUUACCUAUCCAACUAGGAAUCUGCCCAACUAACUUGUUGUUGGAUAUAUCUAACACUUCCAAUGACCUAGCGGAGCUCAAAAACCCGUUCGAAAUUCUGCCACUGAAAUUAUUGUUGUCUAAAGAUAACCAACCCAAUUGAGUCAAGUUCAUAAACUUAGGAGAUACUUGCCCACUGAAACUGUUAUGCGACAGGUCCAACAACAGUAGUGAGAAGCAACCAGUGAGAAGUGGCGCAAACAAUUCUCCCGAAAACUGAUUUCUAGACAAAUCCAGAAUACGAAGGUCUUUCAUCUCACUUAUUGAAGAAGAAAUACUACCUUCAAAUUUAUUUUUUGACAUAUCUAGGUACACCAAUUUUUGCAAUAUGGUACUCAUAUUCUGGGGGAGCCUACCGGAGAAACUGUUGCUAGAAAUAUCUAGAUGAUGAAGGAAAUCAAGUUUGGAAUUGGACAGUUGGAGACUUCCUGUGAAUGAGUUGUUUGUCAAACGCAAAACCUCUAAUUUUGUGUUAUACUGUAGCAACCAAGCAGGAAAAUUGCCAACCAACUUAUUAUGUGAGAGGUCAAGGGAUUUUAAGCCAUGCUGUUUUUGAAGAAAACCAAGGGUUCCAUUUAGGUUGCAAUUGCGUAAAUGAAGGACCUUCAAUUGGGAUGUAGGAAGCCAAUUUUCAGUUUCCACUUCUAACGUAUUGUUUACUAAUGAGAGCAUGAAGAACUCAAGAUUUGAAUGAUUACCCAAGGAACUGAGAUAGAAUAUGCCUUGAAAGUAGUUGUCAGAGAGAUCCAAAUAUUGGAGUGAUGUGAGGCUCGCGAUAACAGAAUGUGGGCUCCCACUUAACUGAUUGGAGGAAAUACCAAAUACCUUGAGGCGGGUUAAGUUUUUGAGACACUGGGGAAGAGGACCCUCAAUAGCAUUUCCUUCAAGAUUCAACUCAAUAAGAUUUUUCAACUCACAUAUUCCUGAAAAUUUUCAAGAAAAAGGGUAUACAAUUAGUCAGAAGAGAUCGACACAAAUGUUUAAGAGUAUUUUUAUUUUCUUUUAUGGUGCUGGGAUGGAGCAUUUGUGAACUCUAUUAAAGUGUUAUUCGGUAUGGCAUUUCUACCCGUAUAUAAGGGGAGGAAAGAAAAGACAAUUCUAUAUCUUAAGUUUGUUUAUUCGGUCAUAUUAGAAAUAAGUUAUCGAAGUUUUUUUUUAAUUAUUUUACCUUGAUUUUCCAGAGAACCAUUUAUAUCAGUAUAGCUCAGAUCCAAUGCUUUUAAGUUUUUAAAUUUUGCUAAUCCUGCAUUAAGAAAAAUGAAAUGGUCUUAGAAACCGUAAUUUUUGAAGGGUAAACAACUCUCUGUAAAUGCAAUUGUUACCUAAUCCUGAUGCAGAUCCACUCAUUCUAAUUUCACGUAGUUGCAGAACUUCCAGGUUUGUCAGGUUUUCUAAUCCUGCAACAAGGAAAGAUAAUUAAACCAGUAAUUAACUAUAGAGGAGUGAAAAGAAACAGCUUCCUACCAAACAUGUAAACAAAGACUUGAAUAAUUGGAUGCUAAGGAGGUUGGAAUAAGAAGAAAAAGAUUUUGGGUGCUAGAAGAGGGAAGCAGAUGUACCAAAAGAUCACCAAAAAUUUGCAGAGCCUCUCAUAAACGGAUAAAAUCCAACCGUUGAAUUUACAUUUAACAUAAACAUUUUUUCACAACAAAACAGAUCAUGCUCAGUACACUCAGAGCCUGAAACCAACCUUCAAUUAAAUUCUCAAGAUUCUCAUUUACCAAGCAUAAAUCUAGAAAUCCUUGAGCAACAUAUGAUGAAACAGAGUACGUACUAUCAACUCAAACAGAACCAGCUUAUGUAUCAAACUACUAACCCAGCUUGCAACCUAAGAACGACCAAUGCCAACUCACCCCAUGAUCACGGGUUCAAAAUUAAGAAGAUUUAAACCCCUAAAAAAAAAAAAGAAAACAUUCCUUCAAGUUUGAAAUAAGCCUUAUCAAAUCUUAAGUGGAUAGAUGCAAUUAAUAGAUCAGAAUUCGAAGCGAUAGUCAAUAAUGACUAGAUUGUAUAUGUUCUAUCAAUUCACACCAAAAAUCAUUAAAUCUACAAAUUCUUAACAUUUUAUCUACUCUAAUAAGAAAAUUAAGUUGACAACAAAGAUGAUUUAUUUUCCAUUCCACAAAAAUAAAUGGAAACUAGGAAAUAAAACAGUCACCUUGACUCGUUGGAAAGCCGCUUAUCAGAUUACCACCUAGACCCAAUCUUUUCAACUUUCUCAAAUUUCCCAGUUCUACACCAAGAAAAAGGAAUCAGUACUUGAAAAUUAGUGUGAGAGCUGUUGUAAAAAGCUGUGAUCAGUAUGCUUAGUUAAUAACAUUGCUGCUCUGUCAUCACAGUUGCUUACCUAGCCUUGUUACAGAGCCAUUUAUUCUGUUACCCCUUAUAUCCAAAGCUUCUAAAUUUGUCAAAUUCGCUAUUCCUACACAGUAAGUCCCACAAAUAGACGGAAAAACAGAAGGUAAGAAAGUGGUGAUUAGUAGUACGCUUGAUAUCAUUGCUUGUCUGCUCCUUAAGUAGCUUACCUAGCCUUGUUACCGAACCACCGCUUAUUCUGUUACCAGUUAGAUCCAACACUUGCAGGUUCCUCAGAUUUACUAAUCCUGCACCCAAAAUAAAAGUUAUUGAAAAGGACAAUAUUGGAUUUUGAAAAUUAGAUAUAGAUUGAUUAAGAUUUGUAUAUAUAUGGAAAUGUUGUACCUUGCUUGGUUCUAGAACCGUCGAUGUUAUUGCCAACGAGAAUCAAAGUUGUAAGUGAAGUAAGUGUAUUCAAAUAUGGUAGUAUGAUGUCGUUGAAGAGAUUAUAACCGAGAUUUAACAUCUUCAAUUGCUUCAAACUCCCAAAACUAUCAUAAGCUGCUAAUCAAGGCACGCAGGUGAAAUGAAUUGGUUAAUUUAGUUGCAAAUUUUCCUUUCAGGAUGAAUGUGGAGACUACUAAAAAUCAAACAGGAAAUGAACACACCUUUACCCUUGUAGACACCUUCAAACAAAUUGAAAGACAAGUCAAGGCUUUGAAGUUCUUCAAAAGGAAGAAGCAAUGACAUAUUCAGAAGCGGAGAUCCAUCAAUGAAGUCAUUAUAUUUGUUUUGCGGUAAAAUAUCGAGAGAGAGUUGUGUCACUCGUCGCGUGGUGGCGUUGCACUUAACUCGCUCCCAAUCACAACAAUCAGACAUCGGAUCAUCAUCAACCCAUGAAUUAGGAAUAUUAUACUUGUUUUCACUAUCACUGAUUGAUAUAAGGAAGCUCUUGAGUUGCAGCAGACCAAUCCUCUCUUUCUCCAGGCACCCUUGGUAUCCAUGCAUUUGAAUCAAAGCUAGUAAAGUCAGCGACACUGAGAACUUGACAAUGGAAGUUUCCAUUGGAAGCCAACCUUUCAUAGUUUGUACUUUGUUCUCAAUCUGCAGCUUCACCACUCAUAAAUCACAUAUAUUUAAUGUGAGUAUUGCAUGUAAUGACGGAAGGAUAUUUCUAAACAAAAAAUCUAAAUUUUUUCUUCUUUUCUUUCUAAAUUUUUCAUUAGAUUAAUGUUUGAAUAAUGUUUAUAGAAGCAAUAACAUUAACAGAACUUAUUAUAUAUAUACACACACACAGAUACACACACAAAACGACAAAAUUAUGAGUUUAGUUAGGUAUAUAUAAGCAUUUAAUUACCAACACAUUAAUUACAGCACCGGUGUAUACACUUUGUAUUGGCAUUUAGUUUCUUUAUUAUUUUUGUAAAAUAUACGCUUUUAAUAUAAUUAAAAACAUAAACAUUUUUUUUAAAUGUGUAGUAUUAUCAUAAAUCAUUUUGUAUUUAAAGAACGUUAAAAUAAGAAAAAAAAUCAGUUAAUUUCAUUAACAAAGAUCCUUAGUUAGUAAGGAUUCCUUACGUUUAAAGGAUUUAGAAACAGUUAAUUUUCCCGCUUUCAACAGGGUUUCCUAAACCCCGGGCAAACUCUCUCUCUAUGUAUAUAAAAUAAAAACUCUCUUCGCAGAAUGGCAAGUAAACCUAUCAAUCAAUCAAAGAAAGGCUAAAAAAGAAAUAAAGAUCAGACAACAAUGGCGAAUUCCGUGAAGAGAUUGGUGGAAGUAUGCAGCAAAGAAGACGGGUUUCUGGGCUCAUACUUCGAGGCCAAACUAGUACAGAGAGUCAGCAAGACAAGUUCUUGGUGGAGUUCUUGACGCUGGUGUCGGAGGAAGAUGAGAAUGAGAAGCUGAGGUAGGUGGUGGACGCGACGGAAGUGAGGCCCUCCGAGUAACUGGAGUUUCCCGUCGCCGUCAGUUGAAAUCCGGUCACCGUUGGUCGGCAUGGGUAUUUUGGUAAUGUUCACAUGGAUGCAGUUGAAAUUAACUUAAUAUUUGUAAAGUAAAGUUAAAUAAAAAAGAGUGAAAGGGGUUAUAUAAAAAUUUGCCACAAAAGACAAAAGAAAGUAGCACGGUAGCACUGUGGUACCAUAGGCAGAUCCCAAUCUUUAUAGCAAUUGGCACAGAUAAAGAUAAUUAGUUUUGGUCUCUAUAAUGACUGACGAAGACUUGUCGGACUUGGACCAAUGAGGAAAAACACUUCAUUAAUACUCCAUGGAAAAUAAAAUGUUAACUGACUUUCAAAUUAAGCCAACAUACAAAUGGUCGUCAAUUCUAUUUUUUACAAAAAAAUUGAUGGAAAUAGUCAACUAAUAAAAUAAAAGUUGAUUGAGGUAAUUUAAAGAAUUUAGGCGUAAGUUUGGGUUUUAAAUUAUCAAAUAAUUUAUUCCACUAUUGAUACUUAAAAAAGUACUUUGGAAUUAAUAAUUCAAUAGGAUGUUUGAUAAAUUGGAAUUUGUGAAAAUCAAUAAUCAACUAUUUUUUAUCCAUGUUUAGAAAUUUAUCCGGUGUGUAUAAGGGCUUGUAUAUUUCACAAUAAACUGAGAUUUGUUUUUUGAAAGCCAAUAGAAACAUGAAAUAGUACAUCCAUCGAAUAAUCAAACACGCACACUACAAGGCGACCUUCGAUUGACGUAUUAUGUCAACUAACCCGUGGGACAUGGAGGAUGUGUGUUAACGUUAACCAAUAGUCAAGCUUAUGAACACAAUCAAGCAAUCGUAUCAUCAAUCAAAGCCACAUUUAGCGCAUGACUAGUAAAUAUCAUAAUUGAGUUUGAGGACCACAGCCGCACGGUGAAAGAAUUUGAAUGAAGGAAAAGUAAAAGAAAAUGAAAACGAAAAGUGGGGAAUGCUAAAGAAAAAUAAGCUGAUUCAUCAGUUAUUCAAUAUGACAAUUGCACACAACUUUUGGAUGUUUUUAGCUUCCGUGUGAAUCAAAAAAAUUAACAGACUGUCCCGCGUGUCACAUGUAACUAACUUUGGCGCCAUCUUGAGCUAAUUCUGUUAAGGCCUUCACUACAUAGUCUUAAGAUCUCAGUGAACAAUAAAUUCUUCAGAUUCAUAUGAAUUGCACAACAAGGCGUAAACCCCGCUUGAAGGCAACCGGCUAUAAUUAAUACAUUUCAAUUGCUCAUAAAAGAAAGAUACAGUAAACUAGUGGUAUUGUAGUAUAAACAAUACUCGUUUUUCUAUCUUGGUGGUUUCUUGACUGUGUUCAAAUAUCAGUACUCGAAGAAAGAUAAAGGAAAGCUAAAGAAAAAUAAGCAAAUUCAUCAUUGACAUCAUAAGAAGGAGGUUCAUCAUCAUCAAACCAUGAACUAAGAGUUUCAAUUACUGUUUCAAAAAUGCCUUUCUAAAAUUACGAUAAAUUUAAUAGCUAAUAGAAAUAUUUCAUUAUAUAAAUCAAAUUUCAAACUUGUAAGGAAAUAUGUAAAAAUAUUGGUUUUCAAAUAUUUUUCUAUAUAUUUUUUUUAAAUUUAAAAUUAGUGAUAGAGUCAGUCAACCAAUAAAUCAUCAAGAAUUAUCCAUUGCGUCCCUAAUUUGAUCAGCAUUCUUGAAAGCAUGGAAAUUUUCCAGUUUUUACAAGUCAAGCAUGGAGUGUACGUUUUUAUGUUAAAGAUGGUUGAGUGGUGAUCACGUUUUAUUUUGCAGCCUGCCUAACCAAUUUCAAAGCGUGUUUCACGGAUGACUUAUUUUUAUGAAUUGGAAGACUUUUCUCCUUAAAUAUAAAAAGUUCAAAUGAAUACUUUCAAUUAUUGUUUCAAAACUGUCUUUCUAAAAUUACGAUAAUUAUUUUCUAUUGAAUUGUAUACUUUGAUUUGCAUGGAAUUAUCGAAUAAUUAAUCUAUGCAAGCAUUGAAUUGUAAUGACUAACGAAGACUUAUAAGGCUUGGACCAAUGAGGAAAAAUGCUUCAUUAAUACUCCGUGGAAAACAAGCCAGCUUGGACCCAGUUGAUCGAGAUAGUCAACAGUUGAUUGAGAUAGUCAACUAAUAAAAUGAAAGUUAAUUGAGAUAAUUUAGCGUAAGUUUGGGUUUGAAAUAAUCAAAUAAUUUAUUCCAGUAUUCAGAAAAGUUGAAUUCCGUUAUUUUAUUGAGAAGAGAUCCGUCGCUCCCUCCCAAUCAUCACAGCAAUCAGACGACAUUCCUUCAUCAUCGUCAAAUCAUGAACUAACAGCUUCGUCAUCUCAGCUUCCAAACAAGCCUUGCAUCAGGGGUGGCUUUAGGUAUAGGCGAACAAGGCCGUCGCCUAAGGCCUUAUAUUUUAAGAAGGCUUCAUUUUUUAAGUAUUUCCUUAAUAAUUCUCUAAUUAAUGAAAUAUUUUUAAUACAUAUUUUAAGAAAUUAAAAAGUUUAUUAGAUAUCUCUCUAUUCUUAAUUAUUCUAUAAUUAAGAAUUAUUUUUUAUAAAAAAUCAAUAUUUAGCAACCUUAAUUUUAAAUAAAUAUAAUUAAUAAUAUUCUUUAACCAUUAGUUCAUUCCUUUUCAAUUAUUCAAUGUUAGCAUAUUUGACUUUUAAUAUUUCUUUUAAUUUCUAUUAAAAACCUCAUAAUCUCAAGAAUUAGUAAAUGAAAAAAAUUUAUGGUUGUCUUCCCUACAAAUAAAAUUAUUAUAUUCAUUGGUUCAUUUAAAAUAAUUAGUUUCUUAAAAUAUAAAGUCCAUUUUUAUUUUUGAACAUCAAUUCAUCAUUUUAAAAUUUUUAUAUUCUAUCAUUCUAAAUAUUCUAUUUGAAAAUAAAAUUGUUUUUAUUUAUUUGUUUGUUUGUUUUUUAACGGUUUUAAUGGAAUAAAAAAAUCUAUCUUCUUGACUAUUUUUUUGGUUUUAUUUUUUAAAUUUUUAUUUUUUUAUUAUUGUUGAAAUUUAAGAAUUAAAGAUGGAAUAAAUUUUGAUCCUUUGUAUAUGUAUUUGAGUAUUAAAAUUACAAAAUAAUAGAGGUCUUAUAAAAAAAUUUCGCCUAAGGCCCCUCAAACUCUAAAGCCGGCCCUGCCUUGCAUCCAUGGAUUUCAUCCAAAACAACAAUCCAAAGUAGUGAGGUUAAUGAGAACUUAAUGAAGGAAGUACUCUUCCAUUGCAAAACAACUUUUUAUUUGGCUAAAAUUAAAUGUGAAUUACAUAUCUUUGACUGGUGAUAUAUAUAUAUAUAUAUAUAUAUAUAUAUAUAUAUUCAGAGAUAUGAAAUACUCAAACCAAAAUAAUAAAAAUAUAAUUAUUAUAAAAAAAAUUGAUGAAUAAUAUAGUUCCAGGAAGUGCUAAAACCAUAAUGUACGCCAGUAUGAGUUUAUCCAAAGUCACCGGCUACACCAAUAUCAUUGUGACAUAGGAAGUGAUGAGGAAAUUUACGAAAGAUUUAUUAACUUGACUUGUGCACUAUAAGAUGUGCAACUGCGUGCCCUUUGAACAAAAUCAUUACUACCAAAGCGUUAGUAAUAAUAAUUAAUUAUGUAACUUUUUAAAAUAGUGUGUAUGCGUUUUUUUGCAAGCGGUGUUAUCUAAGAUGUUUCUUCUCGAGCAUAAUUGUAUCCAUUUAAUUUGAACAAAGAGUAGUGCUAUGAUUAGACAUUGUGAUACAAAGAGUGUUUAUGGCUAUGUCAUUUUUUUCCAUUGCUAUUGCUUUAAAUGCACUGACCUCAUCUUCCACGAUGGGACAGUUGAAAGCAUGUUUUCCAUUUGCUACUUCUUCGACUGCACUAGCACCAUCCUUUAGUAAAUAGUAUUUGUCAUUUUGGUAUAAUUUUCCGCUGCGUUUGAACUUAUAACAAUUAAUAAUUCAUCCUUUAGCUUAUAACAAUUAAUAAACCCAUGAUGUCUUAAAUCUUUUAACAUAUAUAUGCAUUAGCUAUUAAUUUUGUUGAAAUUCGCUGCCUUAGGCAGGCAUAAUUUGUCAUGAAAUCAAUGAUCAGAGACUUUCUGCAAUUUCAUUGACUUGAUAAGUCUAUGUGCAGUUCCAGUUUUGGUAGUUCUUAAAAAGGAUGGAACAUGGAGGAUGUGUGUUGACGUCAACCAAUAGUCAAGCUUAUGAACACAAUCAAGCAAUCGAAUCAUCAAUCAAAGCCACAUUCAAUGCAGGACUAGUAAAUAUCAUAAUUGAGUUUGAGGACCACAGCCGCACAGUGAAAGAAUUUGAAUGAAGGAACAGUAGAGGAAAAUGAAAACGAAAAGAGGGGAAUGCUAAAGAAAAAUAAGCUGAGUCAUUAGUAACUCAAUAUGACAAUUGCACACAACUUUUGGAUGUUUUUAGCCUCCUAAAUUUCAACAUUAAUGAUAAAUUACAGAUAUGUGGAGCAAAACUUAGAAACCAACUUUUGUUCACAGAGAAAAUGUUAAAAAAAUAAAUAAAAAUAAAAGAGUGCAACUAACUUUGGUGCACAUAAGUAUGAUUGUAUGAAGUGAGCCCCAAAUAUAUAUUCAUCAGUAUACCCCACCUGUAAUAAUAUCCUUGUCUAGCUUUUUUUUGGUUAUUUUUUCACAAAUAGGAAAAUUUCAUUGCUAUAGAGAAGAUAAAAUAGAGGAUGCCCUAAAAUGAACAUUAAAUAAAGCCUUCGACAUUAAGGUGAAACGUAUUUUCCGGUACACCGAUUGUAUGCACUGCACUGAAAUUCUAUAUUGAUCAAAGUGGCUUUUCAUUAUAAUGCUCUAUCAAAAGGGCUUCUAAUUCUUGUUUUCCCAUGCCAAAGACAAAAGCAAAUUAGAAGAAUUGGAAAGCAGCAAUAGAAUAUAUUUUAUCACUAAAAUAUUUUUCUUUCUUUAUUUUUUUUGUGAAAAAAUCAAACCCUUAUAGUUAGAUUUUUCUAAAGGAUUCUUCUCCUCUUGGCAUGCCAAUUUUGUUUUUAUCGUAUAAUUUGUGUUAUAAUUCUUUGGCUUGUGAAUCAAAAUAAUUAACAGAGACUGUCCCGCGUGUCACAUGCAACUAACUUUGGUGCCAUCUUGAGCUAAUUCUGUUAAGGCCUUCACUCCAUGGUCUUAAGAACACUAUGCACAAUAAAUUCCUCAGAUUCAUAUGGCAAAUGAAUUGCACAACAAGGCAUAAACCCCGCUUGAAAGCAACCAGUUAAUACAUAAAAAGUUCAAUUACUCAUAAAAGAAAGAUACAGUAAACAAUACUCCUUUUUAUAUCUUGGUGGUUUCUUGGUAGUGUUCAAAUAUCAGUACUCGAAGAAAAAUAGAGGAAAGCCAAAGAAAAGUAAUCUAAUUCAUCAUUAACAUAAUAUGACAAUUGCACGCAACUCUUGGAUGUUUUUAGCCACCGAAAUUUUUAACAUUAAUGAUAAAUUACAAACAUGUAAAUGAAAAUUUAGAAACAAAUUUUUGUUUACCGGAAAAAUGUAACUGUGAAAGAGAGUAAAAGAGAGCAGAGAAACUAAAAACAGAGGAUUCCAUUCGUCAUUUCAUAACUGAUAUUCCUAGUGCAAAUGCGCAAGCUUGAACAUUCAAAAUACAUCAUUCUAAAUCAAAUAUAUAUCACCAACAGACACAUUUACAUGAAUUAUUCAGGCCUUCACUCUGGUCUUAAGACCUCAUGUACGAGAAAUUUGUCAGAUUCAUGUAGCAAAUGAAUUGCACAACAAGGCAUAAAAAUUAGUAUAUUUUUCAAGAAUCCGGCUUGAAAGCAACGAACUAAAAACUAAUGCAUAAAAGUUCAAUUACACAUAAAAGAAGGAUAACGGUAAACUAUGGCCUAGCAAGAUCAUGGAUGAAUUAUAUAAAUUUCACAAGCCAAUAUAAACAACAACCAGUACAUGCAUCAAUGAAAGAAAACCAUGGCCAGCGCCAAUACGAGUUCAACCAAAGGAUUCGUCUUAGUUGCAGAUUCAUCUUCGUCUUCUCCUGGAUUGGAUGUUAUUGCUGGAUUUUCCUCUGUUCUGGUGCAACUCUUAUUAAUUGUUGGACCACAAAGAGUGAGAUUAUAACUCUUUUCAUCAAACCUGCCAAAUUGUCUUUUGUCUGGGAUCAGACCAGAUAAGUUCUUGUAUGACUCGUUAUAGUUGGAUAAAUAGUUGAUUAGUGAUCUGAAGAUCACUGAUCAGAAAUUUUGUCAUUUAUGUUUGGUAAAUUAUUCAUAAAAGUAUGGUCUACUCUGAAAUUACAAAAAUAAGCAUAAUAAAUUUGAAUAAUGGAAAGGAAAAUGAGAAGGAAAACAGAGGAAGGCUAAAGAAAAAUAAGCUGAUUCAUCAGUAACUCAAUAUGACGAUUGCACACAACUUUUGGAUUUUUUUAGCCUCUGAAAUUUCAACAUGAAUGAUACAUUACAAAUAUGUGAAGCAAAACUUAGAAACCAAUUUUUGCUUAUAGAGAAAAUGUUAAAAAAAAAAUAAUGAUAAGAGAGUGCAGAGAAACUAAAAACAGAGGAUUUCAUUAUAACUGAUAUUCCCAGAGCAAGGCUGAACAUAAUUCUUGGGUGUGUGAAUCAAGAUCAUUAACAAAGAGAUCACGCAUGUCACAUGUAACUAACUUUGGCGUGAUGUAGGAUGGUUGCGUAGGAUGAGUAGGGUGUCUUCCAAAGGUCAUAACUUGGGUUACAGGUAUAACUAACAACGACGGUGCUCAAAUUUGGUUAUCGUCGAUGUUUGCGGAUUAAUGUUUGUGGCUCCUCCUAUAUCAAGGAAAUGUCAUAAUUACUUUCCAAACAUAAGAAAUACAACUAAUUUUAUGUGAUAUGAUUCACAAUAAAUAUUUAUCCCGUAGCUUAUAACUCUAGAAUCCAUUAUUUUUAAAUAAAAAUUACCCUAAUACUCUCAAAACCAUCAAUUACACCUUAUGCUCAAAAUUCCAUACUCCAGCUCAAUAAUUAAAUUUCCAUAUCCUAUAAUACUAAUAAAUCAUCCACAUUAUCACCAAUCUCAUUAUUAACCAUGAACUACCCAAACAUAAUAUAUAACAAUAAGCUAUUUACAUACCGAAUGGAGGAAAUAGUGAGGGCUACACAUUUUGGCUCUAAUGCCUUGGUGCCAUUGUGCACCUAAAAUGAUCCACCAAUUACUAAAAUUAGCUUGGGACUGACUACACCCAUUUGUUGGGAACCCUAACUAUAAUCAAAGUAUACUAAUCUUUAAAUUAAUUUUAUUUUCAUGUAAAUGCAAUUUCAGGUAAAGAUAAAAUGAUAGAAAUCUUACUCCAUUUGGUGAGAAAUUCAACUUGACAGCUUGAAUCACUUCCCUCUCACUCAAAUCCUUCCUCCACACUUCCUACAUUUAAAUUCCUCUCCAAUGAAUUUCCAAAUGAACUUAGGGAUAAAAAUACCCUAGAAUGACUCUCGAAUCCAAGUUAUGAAAGACCAAACUCAAUUUUGGAAAAAUCCUAAAUCAUGAAAAUUUUCCCAUUGUCUUCCUCUCAUGCCCGUGAGCUUUUGCAAAGCAAUGGUAAGUGCUUUCUGUUUUAAUUCGCUUUAUAUAUAAAACUUAUUUUAUUUUUUUGUUUAUGGGGUUUUGAAAUAUUACUUUAGGCCCAAUUAAAGAAAAUCUAUUUACCCAAUUAAAGAAAAUUAAUUUAUAUACAUUCAUAUUCAUAAGUUAUUAUUAAAAACUUGUAUAUACAAGUCAGGGCAGUACACAAAUUUACUGAAUACAGAGUAAAGUUGUACUUUAAUUGGUGAACUCUGAAGGCACCAACUAUAACAUCCAUUUCUAGCAUAUAUAUAUAUAUAUAUGUAUAAUAGAAAUCUAACAUGCUUAUACAGAUCACAUACAGGAUUCAAAAUUUAGAAGAUUCUGAACUAUUUAAGGCCAGAGAUUGGGCCAGCUUGUUUAGUUAGUAGGCAACGAUGGAGGGUUGCUUGGUAAAGCUGCUACAUCUUUAGAAAUUCAGAGAUGACGGGCAGCAAAGAGUGAUAAUUUUUGUUUUCCCCAAUCACCUUGAACAGAGUGAGAAGAAACCAUUAUUUCGAUAUGUGCGGUUCUUCCAUCAUAUUGUUAUUUAAUGGUUGUUGUUAUUGAUUCUAGAAAAACAUUUUUCGAUUUGGCAAAUGGAGUUUUUCCAUCUUCAAAAGAAGAGUCCCAGGUUCCAAACUUUACUGCCAUGGCUUCCAAGUCGCUGUUCUACAAAGAAAUAUCUGUGGCACCACGAGAUCCCGUUGAUAUUACAAUCAACAUAGUAUUUGGGAAAAUUGCUCCUUCGGAUUGUAGCAUUUCGAGUCUCAGAUUCUUUCAAUCAACACAAGCACGUUCGAGAUACAACAUGAAGUUGUUAAAUUUAUAUUUGCAACCAACAGAAACUGCAGAAGAAACAAUAAGUCUAAUUUUAACGAAACCACUUGAAGGAACUUCGAAACUUGAGCAUAGUUUUAGAACCAAAUUAAGAAUUUUAGCAAACACAUACCUGAUACAUAGCAGUUUGCAGAAAAGCUAACGGAAUACGUAACACAGCAUGACAAGUUAUACUCAGCAGACCCGUAGGAACUUACUACAAUGGCCUAGCGUAAUCACCGAUAGAAUGCAUAUUUGAAGAGCCAAUAGUAGCAUGUGUCAAUACAUUCAUCAAUGAAAUAGAACCACCGUCUACGCCAAUAGGAGUUUAUCCAAAGGACUGCAAACAAACCCAAAAUAACUGUCACAAAGGACGCACCAAAACUCCAUUUUAAUGCCACCAUAUCAAUCAUCGAAUCGUCUUCUUCUUCUCCUGCUUCUUCUGUUGGUGUUGCUGGUGGUUUUAAUGCACUGCUGCAUUUCUUCCUUAUCAAGGAACCACAAAGCUCAUGGUUUCCUGUAUAACUGCUCUCAUCAAAUGUGGCAAACUGCUCUUUGUCUGGGGUUGGACCCGACAAGUUGUUGUAUGACACAUUGAAGUUGGAUAAAAAGUUGAGCCCAGUGAGUUGAGGAGGAAUAUGACCACUUAAUCUGUUGUGGGAAAGGUCUAGGCUCUCUGUCAUUUUUAGAUUGGAGAAGCUCUCUGGUAUAGCACCUGAUAAAAAAUUAUUAGACAGAUUCAGUGCACGAAUAUUUUGAAGUUGCCCAAUUUCGCGGGGAAUUUCUCCGCUCAACUCAUUGCUUGACAAAUCCAGUCCAGCCAUGUACUUUAAGUUUGCUGCCGAUGAAAAAUUCAUAUCUAUUCUUUGUCACAAAUUCUGCUUCUACUCUUUGAUUUAUUGAGGCAUGUGGUUCAAUGGGCGGUUGUAGAUCAAGAGUAGAAUUGUAGUAAGUAGUAACAAUAGAAUCGAUGUAGAAACCUUGAUACGCUGUGUAUUCAUCAGGCAAACCAUAGUCAUACAAAUAAUAAUUAGUUCAUUCUCUCCAGAAUGACACGUUACCCAAGCAUGAAGGUAUUGACCCACUAAAUGUGUUAUUUGAAAGAUCCAUGAUACGUAAUUUUGCUCACUGGCACAAUUCAUUAGGAAUAUGUCCUUGUAGAGAAUUCCCUCUUAAAAGAAGAACAUGCAAAUUCGAAAGCUCAUUGAUCUGAUAAGGAAUCCUACCAAAGAAUUUAUUAUCCCUCAAAUCUAGAGUGAUUAAUUUAGAGCUUCUAAACAAUGCAUUGGGAAUUUACCCAGUAAUAGCAUUCUUCUGCAAAUAAAGGUGUUUCACUGAUGAAAGAUUGAAGGAAGAUACCAAGGACCCAGACAAACUAUUUUCAAAGAUGUCUAUAAGCUCAAGACUUUUAAGUUGGCUAAGUUGGACUAGAAUAUUAGCUUCCAAAUAAUUUUUUGACAUUAAAAGAACCCUAAGAGUUGAGAUGUUACCAAUCCAAUUAGGAAUAUUACCGGAUAACAUGUUGUCAGAUAUAUCUAACCCCUCUAAUGAAGUGGAGCUCCUCAAACCAUCAUCCAUCUUCCCACUGAAAUGAUUGUUGUCCAAAUAUAACCAAUGCAAAUGGGUCAAGUUCAUAUAUUUGGGAAAAAUUUGGCCAAAGAAAUUGUUAUUUGAUAGGUCUAACAAAUCUAGAGCGACGCAACCAGAGACUAUAGGUCGGGGUAAUUCUCCUGAAAAAUUAUUUCUAGACAAAUCCUGCAUAUAUAACUCUUUCAUCUCACCUAUUGAAUAAGGAAUAUCACCUUCAAAAAUAUUUUUUGGCAUAUCCAAAUAAAUCAAUUUCUGAAGGACAAUACCCAUAUUCCGUGGUAGCUUACCAGCGAAAUUGUUAUUGGAACUAUCUAGAUGACGAAGCAUAUCGUGUUUGGCAUUGGGAAGUAGAUGAAGAAUUCCUGAGAGUGAGUUGUUCGCCAAAGACAAAUAUUUUUAUCUUUUGUUGUUUUGGAACAACCAAAUUGGGAAAUUGCCAACCACCUUAUUAUUAGAGAGGUCAAGGAAUAUUAAGUGGUAAUGUUGUAAAAGAAAACUAGGAAUGACAUGUAAGUGGCAGUCGGAUAAUUUGAGAACCUUCAAUUGAGAUGUGGGGUGCCAGGUUUCAGUUUUCACUUGUAACAUAUUGCUUCCUGAUGAGAUUAACAAGACCUCGAGCUUCGAAUGAUUAGCCAAUGAAUUUAUUGAGAUUGUUCCUUGGAAAUUAAUGGAAAAGCGAUCUAAAUAUUCAAGUGAUGUGAGAUUAGUCAAGGUAGAAGGAACUUUUCCACUUAAUUGAUUAUUAGAAAUAUCAAGAACUUUGAGAUGCGUUAAGUUGUUGAGACACUGAGGAAUGUGACCCUCAAAGUUAUUUGAGCUUAGAUCCAACUCAAAAAGAUUCUUCAAAUUACAUAUUCCUAAACUUGAAAAUAAAAGAUUAAAAUUUUAUAGAAUGAAAACUAAUUAUAGCGAAUUCGGUCAAAAUCCAAUACAAGACUUAAAAAACAGAUAAAAAUCAAAUUUCCUAAUUAUUUUGGUCAGCGGUUUUAUUCCAUUAAAAUAAAUGAAUUAAAACCAUGUUAAUUGUUUUACGAGUUAAUAAUUUUAUAUUAAUUUAUUUAUUUUACCUUCUAUUUAUUAGUCUUAUGAAUAAUUUAUAAGAUUUAACAAUUGUAUUAUAAGUAAUAUUUAAAAAAAAAUACUAUUAGCAUUUAUUAUUUAAUAAAUCUAUUUAGAUAAUUUAAAAUUUUGUUAUUGAUGUCAGAGUUUGGGUCAAUGGUCAACAAUUAAUAGUUACUACGAAUUUUUUUUUCCCUCCCUUUCUAAUUGAUAGAUUUCAUGUGUUCCGAAAACGAAGUUUAGAGAAAAAGAAAAGGAAAAGGAAAAGGAAAAGGAAAAAAAAAAUGACUGCGAGGCCACUUUCCCAGGGUCUUGGUUGCAAUGCGCGCAUGUACACAGGCUGAAGCCAGCAAGAUGGUAUCAAACAUAUAUACCUUGCUUGAUUCUGGAACCUUCAAUGUUAUUGGAACGAAGAUUCAGAGUGGUAAGUGAAGUUAGUGUAUUCAAAUAUGGUAAUAUGUUGUCGUUGAGGAAAUCACCACCAAGAUUUAAGAACUUCAGCUGUUUCAAACUCCCCAAGCUGUCGUAAGCUGCAAAUGCAUAUGAAUUAUUAUCAUUAAUUAGUCACUGACAAAAUAAUUACGAAUGAGUAAUAUAUACAUAUGCUUGUACCUUUAUUCUCAUAGAAGCCUUUAAACCAAUUAUCAGAUAAGUCAAGGCACUGCAAUUCUUCGAAAGGGUGAAACAAUGACAUAUUCAGAAGAGAAACUUCAUAAGAAUAAAAGAGUUAUAAUCAGAGCAGUUGAUUUUUGUUUUCUGAUUGAGUGAGAGUUGCGUCACCCGUCGGGUGGUGGCGUUGCACUUAAUUCUCUCCCAAUCGUUACAACAAUCAGACGACAUUCCAUCAUCAUCAAAUCAUGAAGAAAGAACUUCGUCAUCAUAUCCAACAUCACUGGCUGAUGCGAAGAAGCUCUUGAUUUCCAACAGAGCAAUCAUCUCUGUUUCCAAGCAUGCUUUGUAUCCAUGUAACUGAAUCAAAGCUAUGCCAAUCUACAAUGACAACUUCAUCAAAAGCAUUUUCAUUAUUAAUAUUAACUGCGAGAGAAACACUCACAAGAUUGACCAGUCAAUUGUUGCUCUCUUGAAUUUUUUCUGGUUCUCUAGCAAAUAUAUGACUUAUAUAUACAAUGGCAGUUUUGUGCAGAAUGAAAAUUUUGCGCAUUUUCACGUGCCUGUCAAUGAGAAAGCAUGCAUUGAUUGAAAAAAGUAAGUGAGAGAAUGUUACCUGUUGAUACAUGUUAUCUGCUUGUGACGUUAGUACCGUCCAAAGAAAUUGAAAUGUGAAAUAAUUGAAGAUGCAAAAUGGUUGAUUUCACGGGCCUGGCCUUUGGCAAAGUGAAAUGUUAGCCACACACUUUACCAGUCAGUCAAGUGUCAACAUUUGUAGCAUAAGGAAAUUGCGGCAUCUUAGCUGGAUUUUGAGGGUCGCUAUUUCGUAUAUCAGUCCCAUUUGUUAGUGGGGACUCACAUUCUGUCCUAUAGUGGGCUCACAAAUAUUUAACAUAAUUUUGAUAAUUACUUAAACCGCGUUUCCUUGAUAAUUAAAGAAAAAGAGAAGUGAAUGAAGUAAAAGAUACUGAUGACCGUAAUUAUGCAAAUAAAUACAAGACUUUACAGUAGAUUAGACCACCAAUUGUGCUUUUUCGUCCCAUAAUAAUGCAUCUGCUUUAACAAGAUACGAGUGAACUUAGGCUUAUCUUUCUUUCGCAAUGUAAAUUCUUGCCAAAAAAUACAUGUUAUCUACUGGUGAAUUAGUUUGAUAAAAUAAAGGCUUAAAGUUUAGUUGAGUAAAAUGUUGGCGUAAAGAAAUUAGCUACUGGAAAAUCACCAAGUGCUUGUUAAGGUAAUAUACAAUUUCAAUUGAACAUCAAGUGAUGGAAACAUCAAAAACCCCAUAAAAAAUUAAACAAAACCAGUUGCAAUGCAAAUAAACAAGUUUUCAGUUGAGAUGGCAGAACUAAUUCCUUCACAAUCAAGUGUGAUUUCUCAAUUUGUUCUAUUUGCCCAAAAAGACAUGGUCAAGUAUUUGAAAGCAUUUUUAUUUAGUUGACUAUUCGAGUUUGAAUUUGGAAUAAGAGGUUAAAAAAUAAUUUUUGUCUUUACUCACCUCUUCCUUUAGAAAAAGAAAAAUUUUAAUUUUUGAUCAAGCUCACUUAAAUGCAUCAUGUGCAAAUCACGUGACAUCUUGAGUUACCAUGUAAUUUGGCUUUAUAAGUGUUUUCUGUUUCUGAAAACGAAAAAUAAUAAAAUGGAAAUGCCUUUAGCUAUUGGCUAGACAUUUUCAGAAACGUUUUUCGUGAACAGAAAAAGUUUUUGUAAAGAGGCAUUGAGCGAUCAGGCUCUUGUCGUGGCCUGCGGCCUGCAGUCCUCAACAAUCCUCAUUUGGCCUCUUUAUAAUCCAUUUUUAAUAAAGUAUAGAUAAAAAUAGAUAUAUUACCGGUUUUCAAAUUACACUUAAUAUUAUUAAAUCUUUAGACGGAGCUUUAAAUCUAUAAAUUCAAACUUCCAACAUAUCAUAAAUUAUUUUUAGAGCCCGCAUGUUGGAUUGUCUCAUUUAAGUUUCACUUUGAUUUCUAGCACAUCAUUCAAAUGAGUUGCUUUAGUAUAUCUAGCUAGUUUUGAACAAAGCAAGUGAGAAUAUUACAUCUGCUUUAGCAAGAAACGAGUGAAUGAAAACAUUUGACCAGAUUCAAGAGAGAAAAGAAUGUUGAAAUAUUGACUUGAAUAUUAUGGUAAAAUGAGUUUGACUUUAGUACCGACCAAAGAAAUAAUUGAAGAUGCAAAUUGGUUAGUUUGACGUGCAUGGCUAUUGGCAAAGUGAAAUGUUAGCUUCGCACUUCACUUGUGAAUGUACAACAACAUUUGCUGCAUAAGGAAAUUGCGGCGUCUCAGCCGCAUUGUGAGAGUUGUUUUCAAAUCCCAUUUCUUUUCUUUGUAUUUGUUCAUUGCCACGACCUUUUUUUUUUCCGCAGCUCACGUGAUCACCAUAAUUUUGAUAGCUACUCAAACGCGUUUCUGCAAUAACUAACGAAAGGAAAAGUGAACGAAUAAGUAAAAGGUACUGAUGACCGUAAUCAGGUAAAUGAAUACAAGGCUUUACAAUAGAUUAGACCACCAAAUCACGACCAUAACGAAUAAACAAUUUGUGCCUUUUGAAUACAUCUGCUUUCACAAUGUAAACUUGCCAAAAUACAUGUAAUCUGCUAGUGAAAUAAGUUUAUAAAACAAAGGCUUAAAGUUAAAAGCUGACUAAAAUAUUGGCGUCAAGAACGCUACGGGGAAAAUUCAACUGUGAGCUGCAGUCUGCAGUCCUCAACAAUCCGGGAAAAGGCUGAGGAGGCGCGCGCCUGCACACUAAUUGGGCAGGUCUGAUGGGAUUUAUAAAUUAAAAUAAUGUAAUUUUAUAUUUUUUAAAUGAAAAAUUUGUUGUUGCCGUUGUGAGAUCCAUUGGAUCCUCGCGUGCCUGCCCCACAAAAGUUUCUCCCUAACAAUCUCCAUCAAACCUCUUUACAAUCCAUUUUUGAUAAAAUAUGAAUAAGGAUACAUAUAUUUAUCCAAAUAUUAGUAAAAAAUAGAUAUAAUGCUGAUUUUUAAAUUAUACUUUAUGAACAUUUAGACCGAGCUGUAAAUCUAUGAAUUCUAACUUCCACAAAUUAUUUUUUAGCCGUAUGUUGGAUUGUCUCCUUUAAGGCUGUGUUUACUAAACCGGAAUGGGAAUCGAAAUGGAGAAAUUAGAAUGAAUAACUUGUUUACUUGUUAAAUUGAUGCUAGGAAUGGGAAUAAGGUGAGUGGGCUCCAAGGUCUUGAAGAGGAAAGAUCACUAUGGCUCCAAGGUCUGGAAGAGGCAAGUCCAAUAAAGCCAAGGCUGACAAGGAGAAGAAAGAAGAGAAAGGUUUGAAUUGUUAAUCCUUUUUAUUCACUUCUUUCAUUGGAAAGUGCUUUCUGUAAAGUGCUUCCGCUUUCUAGCUUCCUUAUGUUCAUUGAUUCUUUUGUUGUGCAGUAGUACCCAGUGUUCUUGAUAUCACAAUCAUCACCCCAUAUGAAUCACAAGUUGUUCUCAAGGUAUACAUUUAUAAUUAUUAUUAAUACUGUCUUGUUUUGCCCUCACCAGCCAAGAUUAGCAUAUUGUUUUUUAAAACUUUAUAAAUAUAAAUGAAUUAUUAAUUAAUCAUCUUUUUUUUUGUUUGAUUGAAAUUUGCUCAAAGGGCAUCUCACCACCAGCCCCAUUGUCUUUGCAAUCUACCUUCACGACGCAUGACACCACUGCCCGACACACAUUUGCGACGCUCCACCAUCACUGUGAGUGGCUUUAAAAGAAGGAAAAAAAAUAAAGAAACGAGAGUGAGAGCAGAGCAUAAUAGAAUUGUCAAGCUCUUUGUUAGAAUCAUCACAAAAUUUAUAUUGGAUCGGAGCUAUUCUAUGUGAUGCAUUUGGAUUUGCUAUAUGCUAGACAGGCAACAACAUGUAAAAGCUUUUUGUCCCCAUUUUAGAUUUACUAUCUAGUAUCUUAUAGGCUUAAUCUAAAUAGAAACCAUGCAGGAUACCGGACACAAUUCUAAUGUUAGACUUUAUUUUUCAACUUUCUUUUAGCGAUAUGUCAAGACCCCAAGUUUAUGUCAUGAUAAUUGUGUGAUUGAUAAGAUAUUUUGUGUUUUGGACUUUAUCUCAUGGAUUUAGAGUUCGAUUAUGUUUGUAAUCGGAAUAAUGCAUUCAUUUACAUAUGAUGUUUGAUGAAAUUGCCAUAAGAUUAAUUCAAUUAUAUAUGUUUUUUAUGCUGAAUUAAUAUUAAUACAAUUAUGUAUGUCUAUGGUGCUGAAAAAGUAGAGCAGAAAAUUUAUCAAUGGGUUGGUUUCACUAGUUCAAGAAAGUAAAGCAAAGAAAUUGUCUUUAUACACUUAACCCUUCCUCUAUUUAAAAUAAAAAAAAUUAUUGAAGUUUUUGGAAGUGAUUUGUUCAUUUUGUUUGUGCACUUAUGUAGAUGGGAUUUACUUUUGAUUGCUUAACCCUUCCUCACUUAUGUCUUUUUAGUUCAAGUUGCAGUAUUUUGCUGCUGUGCAACAACAGAAGAGGCUGUUUUAUUGUUGUUUAUGCAGAAACACAGCACCUGGAAGCAUCCAGGUGCUGUUUAGCUGCUGUUAUGCAGCAAAAGCAGCACUUGAAAGUUUCCAGGUGCUAUUUUUACUGCUGUUCACGCAGAAACGCAGCACCUAGAAGUGUUCAGGUGCUGUUCAGCUGCUGUUAUGCAGCAAAAACAGCACCUGAAAACUUCCAAGUGCUGUUUUUACUGUUGUUUAUGAAGAAACAAAGCACCUGGAAGUAUCCAAGGUGUGCUUUACUGCUGUUUUGUAAUUAAAAUUGCACUUAGAAAUUUUGGGUGCUAUUUCGCUGAAAUUUUGCUACUAACAGUGCAGCUGAAUAAUUUCGGGUGUUGUUUAGUUGUUGUUUUGGACCUUCUUUAGUUCUUUUCUCUUAUGUCUAUACUUAAUCUCCCCACCCUCCUCCCCCCCCCCCCCCCCCCCCGCGGCGCGGGUAAUAAGCAAGUACAACUUUUGCAAGGUAAUAUCCAAGCAUGCCAUUAAUUAAUUCUUUGGUUAAUCAUAGUAUUCUAUACAUUAGGUCUCAUUUUUUUUUUUUAUUUCCAAGUGUAUAAUGGAUAUGUAGUGGAUGUCUUAUGGAUGGUGUAGUCAAUGUUUUUUUUAUUGUCUCUAUUUUGUCAAAUAUUGUUGGUUCAUUUAUUAUCUAAACACAUGGUUGAUAAACUUACUUAGGUAAGUCUAAUUAAUAGCAAUUUGGUACUUUAAAGUCUUGUUUUACAACUUAAGUCACUAAAAUGAUUUAAUAUUUACGAUUUAUAAUAUAUGAAUAUAUCUUAAUUUCUCUUUAUUCUUUGUAAGAAUGACGUAGAUUGCUGACGCUGGUGAGACUUGUUUGCAAUUGAAGACUUGACGAGAAAUUAGAUGUACUCACGCAUGCCAAUCUCUUUGGUUGCUAGUGCAGUCAUUAGUAGAUAUUAAGUAGUUGUGAGAAUUUUUGUAGAGCUAUCUCUUUGUAUAUGAAACAUUUGCAUCUUUUUUGUUUGUGGAAAAAUAAUUGUAAAGAAUUUAAUAUGAAAUUAGAAUUAAAAUGAGGCUUGAAAUAGUCUUAAAUUUGCCAUAUUUAUUUUUUAAUAAUAAAUAACAAUGAUGACGGUUAUUUGAAAAGAACCGUCAUCAAAUAUAGUGUUUAGAAACAAAGAUGACCGUUUUUUUUUUAAACCAUCAUAAAAUGUUGUUCAAUAUUUAAUAACGGUUCUUAUAUAUAUAUAUAUAUAAUGACGGUUCUUACAAUAAACCGUCAUUAAAAUGGCACAUUUAAUGAUUGUUAUAUAAAAAAACAGUCAUCAAAACAUAUAUAAUUACUAUAAAAAGUGACUAUUUUAAAAAAUAACCGUCAUUAAAAAUAUAUAUUUAAUGACAAUUAGUGAACCGUCAUAAAAAACAUACCCUCUUUAAUGUUGGUGCCUAAGAUGACCGUCAUAAAAGAUUAAUUUUGUAGUAGUGAAGCAAGGAAAACACAAGGAAUAACAAUAUUGUUAUUCCUCAGUCACUGGGGCGCCAACAACAUCAUGUACACCUAAAACCAGAAUAGAUUUAACAGCUUAAAAGGCAGAAUGUUCAACACCUUCAUAGUCAUUUCCAAUGGCAAGGGAAAGGCUUGCAACAUUAUCAAAACUUAAAUUUCUUGGAUACAUUCUUUUUAGCGAAAUAACAUAUGAAAGCAAAACUAUAUCUAAUUUUUUCUAUUCACCUAAGAAUUAAUUAUAUCUACAAAAAAGUCAUAAUAACACAUCUUUAAAAAUAUUUCACAAUAUGAUUACAGAAGUGUUUGUUAUGCCCCUGAAGGAUCCGCCUUGCGCGCAAUCGUGAUUUCACGCACCUCUUUUUUUUUUUCAUAUCCAAUCAUUAGAUUCAACGCGGGAGUUGUAAAAGGUGUUAUAGCUGCAUGAAGAUAAUCACUACUAACGUUGUAGCCCUUCCUAUUUUAUGAAAUUAUAAGGAAAUGUUAGGUUUUAAAAUUUUAACACAUAAGCCCUAUCUAUUAUUUUAUGGGUCAACACUAUUUUAUGAAAUGAACAUAUUUAAAUAUUAAUACUAUAGAUGGAUUACUUUAACUUAUUAAAAUACUCUACACACCCAUUUACUUCAAAUACGAAAUUGGAUUACAAUAUUCUUAUCUUUUGUUUACUUUAACACAGGAUUGGACAAGGUCUUACAUACGUUUUGGCAAUUUAAAGUGAAUAUAUAUUAAAUAAAUGCUUUGAUAGCAAUUUACGUGUCGCUAUACAAUCUAUGUUUAGUACAUUCAAAAUAAAUAAUUUCUAUAUGUAAAUUUGAAUUUAUUUCAAAUUACUUAUACCUAGUGUCAUUUAUGAGUCCAACAUUUUUUUUAGAAAAUUAUUAUCCCAAUUAUUCAUUUAAUGUGAAAACAAAUAAAUUGUGUAAUAUUUAUGCUAUUAUUUAAUUUUAAGCUUGUCAACAAUGAACAAUACUGUAAAAUAAUAUAUUAUGGGAGAAUGUCCUAUCAAAAAAUUAUUUUAUCAAAUAACUUACUUUUACGGCUUCUAACAUAACCAUAUCUUCUGUUGUUAACAUAAAAUUACAUUCGACCAUAUUGCUUUUACUUCUCUCUAACAUUUUCACAAGUAUCCUUACUUCACUAGUUUGAGAAAUGUUCUAAGCUUAUUUAGCGACUUGCAUGCUAGAAGUCGUCUAAGUGUCGCAUGAGUUUACUGCGCAAAACACUCAUCCCGUGACAGACUGCUAAUAAAAAUAGAUAGGAUAGGGUGUUUGGUUCAACAAGCCCAAGAUAGUUUUCUCUUUAUUUUUUUUCCUCUUUUAACUUAUCCUUCACCUCAAUUUAGAUUGUCAUUCUUGGUUGAUCAUAAUUUAUUUAUUUUAUUAUUAUUAUUAUUACUACUACUACUACUACUACUACAUGGUAUUUAAUUGUUCUUCACAUUUUUUUUAUAUGGUUUUCAUUUACUUAACUCACACUCCUAUUUUCCACAAAAAAGAAUUAUAGGGCAACUUAACUGUAAAUUCAAGCAAGGCUAGUUUCGGGAUUAAAAUUGAUAUUUCGCCCUUUUUUCCCACUAAGGGUAUGUUUGGCGGGCGGGUCUACAAGGGUCUGUCUUGUAAGAUAAAUUAAGACUCGUGUUUGGUUGCAAAAAACAAUUGCCUGGCUUGAAAAGAUUGUGCGGCAAUUGAGGUGUAAAAAAGACCCGCCUCCCCCUGCGUGUCUAAAUUGUACAUCUCUUUUUCUAUUUUAACUAUUAUUUAUAUUAGUUAUUAAAUUCAAUACAAAUCAAAUAUAAUAUUUCUUUAACAUAUUAAUUUAUGUUUAAUUGAUGAAUAAGAAAAGAUGCUGAAAUUUACUGCAGAUAAUUAUAUUUUUAUUAAUAAAUCUAAAUAAUAUAUUAACUUAAUAUUAAAAUAUUUAUUAAAUUCAUAUAAUAGUUAUUUAAAAACUAAAUAAAUAAUAGCUAUUUAUUAUUAUUUAAUAAUUUUAAAUAAUAAAAAUAUAUAUAAUAUAUUCCAUACUCUACCAAACAUGGUACUGUAUCAUUUAAUACAUUCCAAUACAAUAUAUUUUAUUACAAUUCAAUACAGUCCAAUACAGUGCGGCACACCAAACGCACCCUAAGUGCGGAAUGCAUUACCUGAUCACUUAAAUCCACUUCCAAAUAUUUUCAUCACUAUUUUCGAAAAUUUCAAAUCAAACCCCAACCCGUACUCGCACGCUUCCAGCGACUUGUUUACAACCAUUGCUUGGAUGCGUUACUUGUUAAAUAACUUCCAACCCAUUACAUGUGUUAUUUUGUCAAAAAGUUGAUUCCCUGCAGCUUACCGGCCCAUUGCCUUUUUGUCAGGUUAUUCCCUAACGUCUAUGUGUCUCUUCUGCAGCCGUGAGAUGAAAUCCAACGGUGACUGUGCUACAAAACAAACGACUGGGGUAACAAACCCAUGACGCAAUAUAGCUGCCCCCGAAUAAUGAUAUUAAAGAGUAGAUACUUUGUUUUUCCACCUUAUUUUUAUCUGUUUAUUUCUUUAUGAUAUUAAUGCAUUAUUAAUUUUUUUUUUUUUGGAUCAGGUCAGGGGGCAGAAACUGAAUGAUAGAGUAGAGGUUGUUACUCUGAAGUCAUGUUUGCUCAGAUGGUUGAAGGUAGGUGAAGCUCUCUCAUGUCCAAUUUUCUAAAUAAAAAAAAUCUCAUACAUGUGGACGUGGGUCUUAUUUUAUUUGUUAUUUUGUAAGUAACUUAUAACCGUUUCACAUAAAUAGUGAAUAGACCCACAUCACUCACUAUUCAUAUAAGAGAAUUGUAAAUUAUAUGCAUGUAACUUAACAUUAAUCUAUUUUUAAUUAUUAACAUUUAAAGCUUUUUGGUUGUGCAUUCAUUGCCAUACUAUUUCAGUAAACUAUAUUAAUUUUCUUGUAUGUUUUUUAGAUUUUUUAAUUCGAAAUUAUUUUUUUAAUAUUGUUGAAAAAGACAGGUUAAAGUAAAAAAAAUAUUGACUAAAUAAAUAAAUGACAGUAUUUUAUUUUUUACAUUCAAAAAAAAAAACUAAUUGGAUGCAGUCCACUUAGUCCUGCACACUUGGAAAGUUACCAUGCUUUUUAGAGCUGUACAUUUUAGACUCAGCUGUCCUUUGUCAUUUCAAGUAAAAGUUGAAGCUGUCGCAAAAGUACAAUAAUAACGUGGUUAAUGCUAUGUAACUUAUAAUCAUCUAGUGAAUAAUGUGGAAUUACUAUUUAUAUAUGAGGAUUGUAAAUUACAUAUACGUAACUUUAGGGGAUCCUAAUAACGUGCAUUUAAGUAACAGGCCUAAACUUUAGAAAUUUCAAAAGCUAUAGUAUACGCAGGUCACAUCUACGACCAUUAUUAGUUUAAUCAUUAAAUGACAAAAUUUUGCCAAUCUUGAGGGGGUACUUAAAAAUGCAAGCAUCUCGUCCCUUGCCUGCUUCAUAGAUGCUCUUACUCAUCCCCCCUCAUCUCACUUGUGCAAACCAAAGAAAAAAGAAAGAUUAUUAUUUUCCUUUUAUUGCGGAAAAAAACAAUAAUUCCUUUUUACUGCUCCAUGUUUAUUAUUUUAUUCUAUUUCUCCAGAAUCUCUCUUUAUCAAUUAAAUUUAUGUUAUAGAUAUUAAAGAUUUGCUUAAAUCAGAAAACUUGUUCAUAGUUUUGGUCAAUAUAAUACAUCCCUUAAAAGGUAAACAUAGGAAAAAAAAAACAAGAAUGAUGGUUUUUUUUUUUUUGACUGUUUUAGGCAAUAAAGAAAUAUUUUGAAAGGGUCGGAGAUUACAAUGAAUUUGCUUACUUGUGGAAAUUUUUUUUAAGGCAUAAAUAAGUGCAACUUGAGAGCAUUUUGUUUUUGUUCCACUAUACAUUUUAUACAACUGCCGCCUUAGAUUGGGUGCAUCACUUCAUUAUAUAAUCAGUAAAAAUUAAUUAUAUAAAUGGAAUCAUUCUCUAUUACAAUUAUUCGACUUCCUGAAGUAACAACUGAUGUUUUUUACCACAUUGUCAAAAGAGUUCAACUUUUAUUUGAGAAUACACCAUAUAAAAGAAAAAGAAAAAAAUAAAACAAGAGUACACAGAAAAAAAUAAAACAAGUUUUAGAAUUAGUAGAUUAGAAUUGUUAUAAGAAAGAGUUGUCCCUAUAACUUCAAUAACCUAGCCAUGUUUCUGAAGUUUGUUUUACUAGCCUUACCAAACUUUUUCUAGUUGAUAUUCAAUUUUUUUUUUUUUUCUAGUCAAGCAUACUUAAUUGAACAGUCAAUUCAACAUGAAAACGAUUUGUCGCUUUAUGAUCCUAAUUUUCAACCAGCCGUAAAUUUUAAUCUAUUAAAAAAAAUUAGUUGGUGGAAAUGUAAACAGAAGCAAGAAGGUUAGAAUUAAUAACUUUAUCAUGAAUAAUUAAUAUGAUUAGAAUUUAAUAAAAUUAUAUGUAAAAGCUUAUUUCAAGAGCAAAAACUUUAUUUUUUUAUCAUUUUUUAGUGCUUAUAAUUAUAACUAGAAAAUAGAACCGCACUUCGUGCGGCUUUAAAAAAAAUUAGUAUUAUUUUUUUAUUACUUUGUAAUUGAUGAAACUAAUAAAAAAUAUGAAUUAUUUUUUUUAAAGAUGACGCAGUCUUAUAAAACUAAUGUUAUUUAUGAAAGUUAAUUAUUUUUUUGUUAACAUUAAAAAUAUAUAUUAAUGUGUAUAGUUAAGUGUACACAACCUUUUCAUCAAUAAAAAUUAUGUUCACACUAAUCAACUCUCCAUUUUUCUUAGUAUUAACAGACUCUCACAUCUUACAAAGUCUAACCCUUAUUAUCCAACUAUCUUUAUCAUUGUUUAACUCAUGAAGAAAAUAGUACUCCAUGAAGCAUACAUUACUAAAAAUUUAAAUAAGUCAAAAAAUAAAAACACAAAAACAUUUCUAAAGAGAAUGUUGGUUAAAUAAUAAAAAAAACUCAAACAUAACAAAUCUUAAAUGCUUAAUAUUUAUAGAGCUUGAAGAAGCCAAAAGAUACUAAAUAAAAGGUUGCAUAAUUAAAUAUAGGAUUAUGACAUUAAAAUUAGGUCAUAGGGCAUUGGUGAGGGAAGAGGAAGGAACAUUCCUUCCUAUAUUAAUUAGUUGAUGUAUUUUAAACCACUAAAGUUUAUUUGUUGGCUUAAUAAAAUAAAUGAAUGUUUCAAAAAUUAUAAUUAAUUUAUUAUUAAUGGUUAUAUAUUGUUGAAUUUAAAUAGAAAGAGGAAGAGGCAUGUAAUCUAUUAAUUAUUUUAUAUUUUUAAUAUUUUGUAAUGUAAUUAUUUUUUAAUCUCAACCAAUAUAUUAGAUAAUAGAGAAUAUAAAAAGAUGAGAAAUAAUAAUGUCACAAAUCUUAACUACUUAAUAUUUAUAGAGUUUGAAGAAGUCAAAAGGUACUAAACAAAAGGUUGCAUAAUUAAAUAUGAGAUUAUGUCAUUAAAAUUAGACUCUAAUGGCGUUAUUGAGGGAAGAUGAAGGAAAAUUCCUUCCUAUAUUAAUUAAUUGAUAUAUUUAAGCCACUAAAAUUUAAUUGUUGGCAUAAUAAAAUAAAUAAAUGUUUCAAGAUUUAUAAUUAAUUAUUAUUAAUGGUUACAUAUUAUUGAAUUUAAAUGGAAAGAGAAAGAGACAUGUAAUCUUUUAUAAUCUAAUAAUUAUUUUUAUUUUUAAUAUUUUAUAAUGUAAUUAUUUUUUUAAUAUCAACCAAUUUAUUAGAUAAUAGAGAAUACAAGAAGAUGAGAAAUAGUGAUGUCAUAUCACCUCCUCUAGUCCCAACUUUAUAUAUAUAUAUAAAAUUACUUUCUUCAGCCUUACCCAUCAAAUCCUGGAUUGAAGUGGUUGAAGAACAUGGCUCCCAAUACAAAUCUAUUUCUUCUGAUGACCAAGUAAAGCAAUGGAUGAAUUCCAUUACAAAAUCUCCUAAGCUCAUGCUCGCCCUCCAAAACCUUUCUCAAAGCCAAAUUUCUCCUAAAAAAGAAAUUGAAAUUUCAAAGCCCUCUUCCCAAAAUGUUGUUGUCUCUGCUGAAAGCUCAUCUUCCCAAAUUGUGCUUUCUCAGCCAACACCUUCAAAGAAAACCUCCGAUUGGUUUGAUAAAACCCAUUUUCAAAACAUUAUUUCUAUGGAAGAUGGAUUUUACCAUACUGAUCCUUUUCAAAGCAUUUCAAAGUUUUUCCCCAAAGGCUGGUUUUUCAAACCAUGGGAUUUAACAAAACCCCAGUCUUAUUAUCAAAGCAUUUUGGAAAUAACUGAAUCAGUUAAAUUCAAACAUUUCUUUCUUGACAAAGCCCAUCCAGAACCGGCUUAUUCCACGGCCACAAUCCUAAAAGUUUUGAGCCCAAAUCAGUGGGGUGACCUACUCCACAGUUAUAAAACCUUCCCUUUAAAUUUUGAGACCCGUUUACCACAUUGUCGGACCUUCUCCUAUUGGGACUACCAACAAGCGUGGUAUAACACCUUUUUUAUCCAGAACCCUAAAAAAUCCCAUUCUUGGUUAUUUUUCUUCAACACAAAAAUAACCGUUCAAAGUCUCCCAAAUUGGUUUCAUCACUGGUGGAAUCUUUUUGGCCCAAUUCCACAAAUCCUAACACCAAACGCCACAAAUUGCCUAAACACCUUCAAAGCCCAUUAUUUACCUUCUGACUCAGAAAAAAGAUUUCCCCCCUUUCUUUGCUUUUGUGCAAAUUUCUUCCUACCUUGGGUUUGUUCGUGGAACCUCCGUUUCCAUACCCAAGAUUCCCAAGUCAUUCUUCAAAGAACUUUUAAAGUCAAAUGGUGGUCAAAGUUUGAUGAACAGUCCAAAUUGACCGUUGACAUGAUCAAGGACUGGCUUUCCUCUAAAGGCCUCCUCCAACCUACCAUAACCACCUCUAAAGCCCAACAAACCUUCUUAACCCAGAAAUCCAAAGCCCAGUCACUGUUGGCAGGUGCCAAGACUGAAGAUGAGUAUUUGAAAGCCAUGGAACAGCUCCUCGCCUCGCGCUCAAAGUCCUCCGUUGCAGCUUCCUCUGAAGAUGAAGACGAAGAGGAUGAUGAUGUCGAAGAGCCUUUCAUUUCUCUCGGAGAUGACAAUGAAGAUGACUGUUUCGGCAUUUUCUCUCCGAUAAAGCAUUGUAAAUAAUUAUUUGAUUAUUUACUUAAAAAAAAAAAAAGAAAAAAAAAAGAGAAAAGUUAUUUAUUUUCGGGUGGUCCUCUGGACACAAGUGAGAGCGCACAUGUCUCUUCACCCGUAUCGUACUAUUCAAAGCUACGAUCCAUUUGUUACUGUGCACUUAAAACUCCGCUACAGUGAACAGUGCAGUUUGCCAGAUGUUACUGUGCACUUAAAAUCCCGCUACAGUGAACAGUUUAAAAGUCUUGUAUAUAAACCAAGAGGAAGACUAAGACUCCUCAGGUUUUUUCAUUUCUCUUCUUCUCUUCCUUCUCUCUAAAACUCUCUCUCUCUCUCUAAAGUCCGAAGAGUUCAAAGAAAUUUUCUGCUUACACAAUAGUUCUAUCACAGAGCUUUGGGUGAUCAGACUAGUUCUUUAUCUUCAAUCUUCCCGUCUUUCAAUCUUCCCUUCUGGAAAGAUUUGAAAAUUUGUAAAAGCCAACCAAAGCAAAGAUGUAUGUUUAAAUUUCAGUUCUUUAAAUUUUUUAAAGUUCAAUGUAAUUUAAAUUUUCGCAAUUUACUUUAAAGCAUUUACUUUUCUGCAAUUUAAUUUUAUGCACAUUUAAAUUCCAGCAAUUUAUUUUAAAGCACUUUUCUUUUCAAAGCAUGCUUGCAGACUGAUCUGUAUCAGAUCUGCCAUAUAAAUUCUACAUUCCUCUGAGGCAAAGAGACCGGAUCUCGAUCCUCAGUUGUAAAUCUUCUCUUCUCCCUCCAUUCCUUCAGAGCACCAUUUCCGGGAUCCGGAUCUGGUACUGUGUAUGUACCCAAACCUUUAAAAGAACCUAAUCUAAAUAUGAUAAUAGCCCAAUAAAAAGAAUCAACCACGUUUAAAGCAACUUAACUUUAUUUGGUAAAAUAAAGCUGAUUUGGUAUAUCGGCUGGAAACCCGAACGUGCGGACUAUUGAUCUGUUCUAAGUCAGAUCUGGGUCCAAAGGCUUUACUUUGUGUAGCAUCGGUCUGGUUUAACAACGCCACGUACCAAUUAGUUAUAAAAAUUUGACCAACCGCGUUCAAAUUUGUUUGAACACUGUAUGAUCUAAAGCAAUUCUACUAAGCAAUUCUACUUAUAUUCAAAGCUGGUAAUUUAUUUUAAAAUUUGGAAAAGCCGAUCCAUUAAUUGUUUAAUUUGAGUUUUUAAUAUUGAAAUCCAACGAAAACACAUCCAUCCUUCGAUCCUAUUUCCUUCUGGUAUAUAUAUAUAUAGAUUUUUAAUAUUUUGUAAUGUAAUUAUUUUUUUAAUCUCAACCAAUAUAUUAGAUAAUAGAGAAUAAAAAAAAAGAGAAAUAAUGAUGCCACAAAUCUUAAAUAUUUAAUGUUUAUAGAGUUUGAAGAAGCCAAAAGGCACUAAACAAAAGAUUGAAUAAUUAAAUAUGAGAUUAUGACAUUAAAAUUAGGCUCUAAUGGCAUUGUUGAGGGAAGAUGAAGGAACAUUCCUUCAUAUAUUAAUUAAUUAAUGUAUUUUAAGCCACUAAAAUUUAAUUGUUGGCAUAAUAAAAUAAAUGAAUAUUUCAAGACUUAUAAUUAAUUAUUAUUAAUGGUUACAUAUUGUUGAAUUUAAAUAGAAAGAGGAAAAGACAUGUAAUCAUUUAUAAUAUAAUAAUUAUUUUCUAUUUUAAUAUUUUGUAAUGUAAUUAUUUUUUUAUUUUUUAAUUUCAACCAAUUUAUUAGAUAAUAGAGAAUAUGAAAUGAUGAGAAAUGUUGAUGCCACAUCACCUCUUGUAGUCCCAACUUUAUAUAUAUAUAUAUAUAUAUAGAUUAAUUCAUAUAUUUUAUGCCACUAAAGUUUAAUUGCUAGCAUAAUAAAAUAAAUAAAUGUUUCAAAAGACUUAUAAUUAAUAUUAUUAAUGAUUACAUAUUGUUGAAUUUAAAUAGAAAGAGAAAAAAAUUACAAAGAGCAUCCACCAAUAUUUUAGAUAUUUUAGAUAAUAGAAAAUGUAAAAAGAUGAGGAAUGAUAUAUAUUAAUAAAGUUACUAUUUAUUAAAUGAGUUAAAUACAAUCAAAUUAAUUAUGAGAAGAUGAAAAGUCAAAUCUAAAAAAAAUCUCUAUUUAUUAGAUAAUAGAGAAUGUACAAAGAAGCAAAAUGGUGAUGCCACAUCACCUCCUCAAGUCCUAACUUUAUAUAUAUAUAUAUAUAGAUAGAUUAUUAUUAAUGAUUGCAUAUUGUUUAAUUUAAAUAGAAAGAGAAAAAAAGUACAAAGAGUAUCCACCAAUAUUUUAGAUAUUUUAGAUAAUAGAAAAUAUAAAAAGAUGAGGAAUGAUAUAUUUUAAUAAAGUUACUAUUUAUUAAAUGAGUUAAAUACAAUCAAAUUAGUUAUGAGAAGAUGAAAAGUCAAAUCUAAAAAAAAAAUUCUCUAUUUAUUAGAUAAUAGAGAAUUUACAAAGAAGCAAAAUAGUGAUGCCACAUCACCUCCUCAAUUCCUAACUUUAUAUAUAUAUAUAAAUAGAUAUAGAUAUAUAGAUUUAAUCUAGAAGUAUUUUAAUUAUAAAAAAUAUUUUUAAAAAUAAGUUUGACGAAUAGUUUAGUGCUUAUAAUUAUUUUCUACUUAUAAUUAAGUUAAUAUUUAAUAGAAAGAACUAAAAUAAUAAAAGAAAAAACCUUUGCCCGGCAAUUCCUUGUUAUUUACAUUUUUGGCACUGUCCUUGACAGAGGACUACACCGAGGAAUCUCAGGCCGUGGCACACGUGCGGCGGCUUCUCGACAUCGUCGCGUGCACCACACGGUUCUCCAAGUCCAGAAACUCCCGAUUGCCGCCAUCGUCAGAGUCAUGUGCCAGAAAGAACGGCAGUAGGCCCCACCCGCCUUCACCAAACUCUGCCGCUCUGUCUGAUGGAGCAGCAACAGCAGCAGCAGAUAACCGAAGCGGGACCCGCGCCACGUCAUCGCCAGUUUCAUCGGCGGUUUCUCCGAGUCUGGACAUGGCGGCCAUUCACCCGACGCCAAAACUCUCCGAGUUUUAUGACUUCUUCUCUUUCUCUCACCUCACUCCCCCCAUCUUAAGUAAGCCUAAUGUUCAUUUAUUUAUUUGUCUUCGUUUUUUACAUGGUUGAUAAAAAAAAAAGGAAAAUGAUAUAAAUAUAUGUGAUUUUUUUGAAUAUGAAAUUUGUUUAUUGAUUUUAAUUUUUAAUAAUUUUGAUUUUGAAGAUUUGAGAAAAUGUGAACGCAAAGAAGGAGACAAGCGCGACAGUGAUUAUUUUGAAAUUCAGGUGCCAUUUAAUAUAAAGUUCUGAUUAUUGUGGUUUGUUGUUGAAGGACUAAUUAAUGUUAUUUUUGCUGAUGAAUUGGCCAAUGAGUGUUAAAGAUUUAAUAAUCAUUGUCUGCUAAUUAAUAAGAAUGCAUGGAUUAUUUUCAUGUCUUUGUAAGUAAUGUGAGUAUUUGAAAGUGCGGGAAACUGUAUUUUGUGCUUACAGAUAAAAAUCUGCAAUGGAAAGCUUAUACAAGUAGUUGCAUCAGUAAAAGGGUUCUAUACUUUGGGAAAGCAGUUUUUCCAAAGCAACUCCCUGGUGGAUCUUCUGCAAAAUCUCAGUCGAGCUUUUGCCAAUGUGGGUACUCAAUAGUUGAAUCUACAGAUUAUUUUUUUCUUUUUUAUCUGAAUGCAUCUUUUUUUCCUCUGUAAAUUCAAUUAGCUUAUCCUUCAAUUGUUUUGUUAAUAAUUAUGGUCAUUAUGCGUGAUGCAGGCAUAUGAAUCCCUAAUGAAAGCUUUUGUUGAACAUAAUAAGGUAACAAUUUCUGUGCUGACAUAGUUUAUUACCAAUUCAAAUGUGAUUUUAACUUGAUUUUACUGAUAUAGUAUAUUCAUUAUCCUUCUUCAGUUUGGUAAUCUUCCCUAUGGAUUUCGAGCUAAUUCAUGGCUUGUACCUCCAUCUGUUGCUGAGUCUCCAUCAAAUUUCCCAUGCCUACCGGCAGAAGAUGAGAAUUGGGGUGGCAAUGGCGGAGGCCAGGGAAGAGAUGGAGAACAUGAUUUACGACCAUGGGCGACGGAAUUUGCUAUACUGGCUAGGCUUCCUUGCAAAACUGAAGAGGAGAGGGUGGUUAGAGAUCAGAAGGCCUUUUUGCUUCAUAACCAAUUUGUUGAUGUCUCAAUUUUUAAAGCUGUUGGAGCAAUACGCCGUCUCAUUGAUUCAAAUUUACACACUCAAGAUACAAUCAAUGUCCAAAGGGGGGCAAUCUUGCAUGAAGAUCGUGUGGGAGACUUGUCCAUUACAGUAAAACGUGAUACAGUAGAUGCAAGCUUGAAGUCUGAGGUUACUAUUAAAGGAAAUCAGUCAUCCGGUAUGUCUGCUGCAGAUGUUGCUCAAAGGAAUUUACUAAAAGGUGUUACUGCAGAUGAGAGUGUAGUUGUUCACGUAAGUCGAUUUCUCCUUUACUUCUUAUGCUUACGUUCACAGAACACACACAUAAAAGACAUUCAUCAAAGCUGAAAUUACUUACGUGGGCGGAAUAAUAUAGCUCUACCUUUGUCAGGGAGUGUUUUUUCAGUCGGAUUAAGAUGUUUCACUCUGUAUCGGAUAUCUAGCAUUUGAUGAUGGCCUAAAAUACCCAUCCUCUUCAUUCUCUCUUUCUACACAUUUAUGAAUGCACAAGAAAGUCAAUUUUAGGUUCUUUCCUAAGAAUCACUACUCGUUACAAACCUUAUAUAUCUGGUUUAGCUUCAUGAAUCUUAUGUGCCAUUCUGUUUGGUGACUCCCUAUUCUGUUGAAAUCACUUGAUAGCAGGUCUUUCUACUCAUUUUAUCCAUAUCCCUCUGAUUUUCCGCUUGUAGUUUGCUCCAGCUUAAUGUCAUCAACCCUUUUUGGGGAAGCCUAUUAACCUUGGUUGGGCAUGCUUGUAUUAUAUCAACUAGUGAUACAAUUGCUAAAGUUUUCAGCAUGGUAGAUCUUGAAAUAAAAUUUUCUUGAAAUAUCUAGAUUUAUCUUCCUUUUCUUUUUCUCUUUCUUUUAUUUUAGUUUGAAAGAUUUUGUGAUAAAGAGAACUGAAACAAUAUAGUUUUUGGCAGGAUACCUCCUCAUUGGGUACCGUCAUUGUAAGACACUGUGGAUACACCGCUGUAGUAAAGGUUGUUGGUGAUGUGACGGAGAAGUUUGGCACACAAGAUAUUGAAAUUGAAGAUCAACCUGAUGGAGGAGCUAAUUCUCUUAAUAUUAACAGGUCUGAAAUUGUAACACAAUUCUUCCUCUGUCGAUUCCUCUUAGCACACAAAGACUAGGAAAUCUACAGAUAGAGAAUGGCUGUAAGAUAUGAAAAAUUAUCUUUCAACCACUAACCGUUUUAAGCUAUUCUGCAAGAUAUCUUAGAAAUGCUAACUGGUAUGAGCUUCUUUGCUUAGUGUCUAUCACAGUUGAAUUCAUGAUGCAGAGCAUUGUUAUUCUCUUUAUUUUUACCAAAUAGAACAGGAUUGAAAUGCUGGUGUUGGGGAUUCUUAAGAAAGGAUAGCACCUGUUCCUUUUUCUUCCUGUUUAGAUGGGAUCUAAUCAGUAGAUGUCUGAACUCUUAAGGGGAGUUGAUGUCAGAUUUCUAAACCAGGUUUUCUUCAAGUGUUAAGUUUAUGAAUAGGCCAAAGAAAAGAAAGCUGAUAUCUAGUUAGGGAUAUGUACUCCUCUUUCAGCAUCCUAUGGACCAGAAAAUGGCUUUUCCUCCAUUAAAAUAGGUGCGAGAUUCUUCACUGUAUGGGGAUGCUUCACCUCUGCAUAGUUGUAGACCACCUAAAAAAUAACGAGUGGUUGCAGGAAACAUUAAGUCAUGGCUUUCACAAUAAUGGUUGAGUGUUUAUAGUUAUGUGCCCUGACAUUGGUUUGUAAUUGUUAUAUUAACAAAAUAACCAACAGACAUCGUUGAUGAUGUUCAAAUAAAGGAUAAAGGAAAGUAUAAUUACAGUGGAUGCUCAGUUGCUGAAAUAGGUCAUCAGCUUUUUGGAUUGUGCUAUUUCAGAAAGUAUUUAGACCUUCUUUGGUGGAUUCUGCCUUUGUUUCAUAUACUCUUAUAUCUUUCUCCAUUUAAGUUCUGACAGGGUAAACUAUUUAUUGCAGCUUAAGGCUUGUACUUCAGAAGUCUUUCAGUGCUGAAUCAGCUAGAGGAGACCGGUCACCUCUGUGCAAUUUGGAUAAUUCAGAAGCUCUUAGAAGUCUUGUACGAAGAGUUAUUAAACAGAGUUUAGCAAAGCUAGAGCUGGAGCCAACUGCAUCAGAAAGAUCUAUUAGAUGGGAACUUGGUUCUUGUUGGGUGCAACAUCUACAAAAGCAGGAAACCCUAACAGAUACCAAGUCAAUGAGGUCUGGCGAUGAUAUUGAGACUGAACAUGCUGUCAAAGGUCUUGGGAAGCAAUUUAAAUUUUUGAAGAAGAGGGAGAACAGACCUAACCUUGUUGGCAGCAAUAAUGAGGCUAACGAAGAUGACAAUGGACCGUGCAGCAUGAAUGUGGGAACUAAUGGCAGACAGCAAAGCAAUGGCGAGCUCAAUUGUGAGAUGGAAUUGAAAAAACUAAUUUCUGAAGAAUCCUUCUUGCGAUUGAAAGAAACUGGCACUGGCCUUCAUUCAAAGGUUUCAAAAUCUCAAGUUUGUUUUGCAUUUCAACUGUAAAGUUUGCUACUUUUUGUGUUUUCAUUAUGCUAAAUUUGGUUUGUUUUAUUUUCAUAUGGAACUGGUAAAAUUAAUUUCUUGUGCAGGCAGUGGAUGAGCUUAUGAAAAUGGCAUACAAAUAUUAUGAUGACAUUGCUUUACCAAAGCUGGUACUAUUUAAUUUAUUUAGGGCCUUUGUUGCAGCCAAUUUAGACGUGUGGGGAUGGUUUAUGGACUAAUUUCCAUUCUUUAUUAGGUAACAGACUUUGGAUCACUUGAACUUUCUCCGGUUGAUGGCCGCACACUGACAGACUUUAUGCAUUUAAGGGGACUACAAAUGCGCUCUUUAGGUCGCGUGGUGAGGAAUUUCUCCCUCUCUUUCUCUCUCAGACAUGCAACCUAUUCACCCGUGGAAAUCAGAAUAAACAAAUGUUGUCUUUCUUUAUGUAAACAAAGCCCCUAAGUUAUCUUUCUAUAUGUAAACAAUCUCCCCAAGUCUUCCUGGAUUGAAUUAUCAAUGUUCCUUUUUGAAAAUUGUACUACAUGAUAGAAUUUUUGACAUGGUGACCUUUUCCAAGAUAUUGAAUUAUUGUCGUCUUUAGAUAUUACUGUAUGUUGUAUGACAUACAAUAUUUUGAGAAAUUGACAUGCUAAUACUUGAAAGCCUGGUAUUCUUCUUCUGUUGGUUCUAAUCCCAUUUACAAAUUCAGGUUGAACUUGCAGAGAAGCUUCCUCACAUACAAUCACUUUGUAUUCAUGAGAUGGUUACUCGAGCGUUCAAGCAUGUACUUAAAGGAGUCAUCGCAUCUGUUGACUAUUUAUCAGACCUAUCUGCAGCUAUAGCUUCUUCCCUAAAUUUCUUAUUUGGCUGUUGUGAGAUGGAAGAUGAGCAAAGCUUGAAUGAAGAUCAUAUCCUUAGAUUGCAGUGGCUACGAACAUUUCUUGGCAGAAGAUUUGGUUGGUCCCUGAAAGACGAGUUUCUGCAUUUGAGAAAGAUUUCAAUUCUACGUGGGCUUUGCCAUA
rnacentral:lncRNA from 1 species